rnacentral:lncRNA from 1 species
CUUCAUCUUCUUCUCAUAAUAAAGACGAGGAAGAGAGGUAUUGUUCGAAACAUUUCUAAAGAAAUCCCAUGAAGCGCCUCUUCUUCUACCCUCGGGAAAACCAUAAUAUCCAGUUAGUUGCCAUUUUCCUUUAUUUAGAUCAUUAAACUCUACAUUAUUGAUGUGAUUAGAAGAAUAAUUAAGUACUGUACAAACAAAAGAGUUUCGUCAAAAUAAUGUUAAACCACCACUUCGACCAUUACUACUAACAGAAAAACAAUUGUCAAAGCCGAGCAAAUAACGAAAUUCAUCUGUUUUAUUUGAGUGGACUAACGUCUCACAUAAGAAAAGGGCGUCCGACUUAUAGCAACGGACUAAAAAUCUUAAUUUUGGUGAUCCCAAUAAUCCAUAUCUGUCCUUUUAAAAACUCACUGUAACAAAGCAAAUGAGAGUGCAGAACAGAACCACACAGUACUGAUUCGAAUUUUGAUCAACAAAUAACAACCGUGACAAUCUUAAAAUAAGUAGAGGAAACCCAUAAUUAAUACCUUAUGUUAAAAUAUAUAUAUAUAUAUAUAUAUAUAUAUAGUGUCACUUGGAAGGAAGAAACAAGAAAACUCAAUUCAACGUGAAGGCAAAAAAUUAUUAUAUAUUUCGUAAUAAAUCUAUAGUGUAAUAAAUUAUAUAUUUUUUUUCAAUGACACCAACAACAAUAUAAAAUUUUUAUAAUUUUUUUUUAAGGGUAUAAUUGAAAGUGAAAAAGUCACCCCAAACCAUGAUUCCAUUUCUACAAGUAAGAUAAGAAUUUUACUUUUAAUUUAUAAUUUCUUUUGUUAUGAAUAUAAAUUUUAAAAGAUAAAAAUAAUAAAUAUAUCAUUAAGUUUAAAUUAAAAAAAUUAAUAUUAAAAAAAUUAUAAAUCAUACACUACUCAUUCUCUUUUUGUCUUCAUCUAUUAAAUAUUCUCUUAAGCAAAUGUAAAAAAUAUGACCCUUAAAGUCAUGCAUGUUAAUAACAAAAAACACUACCAACUACAUGCAUUAUAUAACCAAAAUAUCCUUUUCAUUCUUCAUGUAUUAAAUAUAGUUUAAAGAUUCAUACAUGUCAUAUGAUAAUAAAUAUUAUAUGUAAAUGAAAGUGAGUGUAAUUUCUAACCCGUAUUACAUCCGAUCUUUUUUUAAGUAUAAUUAUAACCCCUAUUACAUAUCUUUUACAGAAUGAGCAUUAUAGGUAUUUUCGUUUCAGAAAAUUACAUAUUUUAAAGUUUUUUUUUUUUAAUAGUUUGCCUCUGUUUUUUUUGUUAAUCUUAAUAUCAUAUUAUAGAAUCAUUUUUUUAUUGCUAUUAAUUAUUAUAUCAUUUGGAAUAAUGACCAUAAGAAACACGGAAUAAAUAUUACUCAUUAAUGAACGAGUAACUAAAUUAUAUUGUGGUGCAAUUCAUACACGGGUCAACAUCUAGUCACUUUGUUCAAAAAAAAAAAAAAACAUCUAGUCACUAAUUAAUUAUGUACAUGAAAAAAACCGACACAUCAACAUCAUCUUUAUCAAUUUGUAAUAUUUUGACAUAUUUUUAGUCCAUCAUUAUUUAAUAUUUGGUUACAGUUAUCCCUAAAAAAAACUAUCCCAAUGGUAAUAAAUUAGUUAAAUUGAGAAUUUUAUGUAAUUUAAAAAAUUAUGAAUAAGAAUAAUUAUAAUGUAGUAAUUUUAAUUUGUUAUGAAAAUAAUGCAUAUGAUACCUAUUUAUUUUGUAUAAAUUGUGUUUUAUAUGUAUCAUAUAUGUAUAAAUGUCAAUGAUACAUAUAAAACAGAAGACAAAUGAAUGUCAUAUUUAUAGUAUUUUGACAUAUUUUGAGUCUGUCACUACAUAAUAUUUAGUAACGACUAUUUAAAUGUUAAUCAUUUCAAAAAAAAAAAAAGAACUAUUUAAAUGUUAAUAAUCACUUAAACUGAUUCCUAAAAAAAUCGGUUGAAUUGAACUUUUUAUGUAUCAACUAUAUAAUAAUAAUAAAUGUAAUAAUAAUAUAGUAAUUACAAUUUAUAGAAAAAAUACAAAUAUUUGUCAAUGACAUAUAAAAAGCAUAGGACUCAUUAACGUCAUCUUUAUCAUUAAUUAUAUCUUUUUUGUGAUAUUUUUACAUAUUUUUAACCUAUCACUCAAUAAUAUUUAAUAACAAUUAUUUAAACUCCCCUUAGUAAAAAACUAAUAAUUAUUUCAAUGUUUUUAUGAUUACUGUUUUAUAAAUCAUUAAUUUUUCUUCAAUGCAAAUUUAAAUAACAUUGGAGAUGCGUUUUAAUGCAUAACCUGUGCUUCAACAAUAAACCCAGUGUGGAACAUAGCAUUCAUGCGUAACACGAGUUAUAUUGUUAGUCAAGUUUUAGAGUUACAAAACUUUCGUAUCAUUUAACUUAUGGAUUCACUAAAUCAAACACCUACUAUUAUGCCUUCUCAGAUCCCUCCCUCUAAACAACCAUGAUUUUUUGGUAUGUUUCAGGCAUCAACAUUUAAUUUUCGUUGGGGUAAAAUGGUCACUUAUAUAAGUCACGUUUAAAACAAUAUUUUAAAAACAAAAACAAUAUUUUCAAAUCACGAUCAUCGCGUUCGAUUUGAAAUCCACCAUGAAUAUCGAAAAUGCUUGCGCUGCACACAUCCUUUAGCAAUUUCAACUUGACGGUCAUCCUUUCAGUAAAGUGCAAAUUCUAGAAAAUUUACUCCCGGUUCUACAAGUUUAUGGGCCACUAGCUGCAGGGCUUUAUGCAGUCUUUUACGCUAGCACGAGCGUCGCAAAUAGCUCAACCUCUCACUACAAAAAAACGCGUUUAUUUUGGCGGUCAAAUUUCGCUUAUUUCGACGGUUUUAGCCGCCACUAUGUACCAAACUGGCGGUUCACAAAACUGCCAAAAUUUUUCCUGCCACAAAGAUUAAAACGGCAGUUUAGUACAAACCGCCAUAUAAGCCGCCAGAAUACAUAUUGAAUAAUGCGGCGGCUAGUUUUUUGUGUAAAGCGGCGGUUUCAACCGUCAUAAUAUACAUUAUUCCAUAAAAUUAAAAUUGCACAUAGUGGCAGUUUGAACCGCCAUAAUAUAUAUUUAUUUCAGGAAAAAAAAUUGAAUAUAGUGGUAGUUAGAACCGCCGUUAUGGUCAUCUUAUUAAAUAAAAAAAAUUGCAUUGAAAUAACAAUUCCUAAUACUAAUAUAAAUUAUUUUUCAAACACAGAUUGUAAUAUUACAUAGUGUAACAUAAAUAGUUCAACAAAUUAUACUACCUUGUAAUGUUUUUUUAACAACCAAUAAAAUUGAUUACACACAAACAGGAGCACAGAUUAUAAACUGGCUGCAAAAACAGAACAUACAAAGGGAAUAACAACGCUCAUAACUCAAGCAGUAUAAAAUUCCCAAAAAAAACAAUACAAGAAACAUAUAUGGAUGUGCAAUCCAGUUCACAAACAACCAAAAUGCAGGCACAUAUCUUCGUGUAUCCAUACCACCGAUAGCGGGCUGGAGCUUAAGAAAGAACAACAUGCAAAUAUUUAGGAGUAAACCAGAUCUCUCAGCAGCAAAAGAGCCCUUAUAUCAGAGCUGCAACACUGUCAACCAACAUAGACUACAACAACCAGACCCUGCUGUAGCAUAGUACACCAAACACACAUUCAUCAAGCACAUAUAAAUCCAACACUGUAGCUGCAAAAGAACCAAAAUCCUGCAUAAUUAGAACAAAUUAAGCCCCACCCACAAGCUAUAGCAAAGACGGAAAGAAAAAAAACUAAGUACCAAUAAUAUAGAAUGUUAUAACACGUUCAAUAUUUUAAUUCUAAUCACAAACAUGCUUAAAACAUUGUCUUUCUAAAAACAUGUAACCCUGUUGUGCUUGAAUUUUUGUUGCUUGACUUUCUAAACAAAGAAUAGUGCAAGAAAGCUUCACAAUUGAAAAUAUUAGAAAACGUAAGUCUCAAGUCAUCAUCUUACUCAAGGGUAAAAAAUUGAUGUUAUUCCCCAAGAUUUUGUAAUCGUCAACAUAAGAGUGAAAUCAUAGACUUGUUUUAACAAAACACUUUAAAAUGGAGAGAUUACCAUUGGAUGAUAUACCUUUAAGAAUAAUGAACUUAAACUCAAAUCACUUGCAUUUUCUAUCUCUAGGACCUUCGCUCACAAGAAUCCAUAUUUGUUCAGCCACAAAAUAUGCAGCUUUAAGAGUAUGCCUGCAAAUUUUCACAUAUAUAGGUGUUAGCCUUCAAGCAUAACCUGAGAUUAAAUUAACCAGACAAGGAAACUUUGCCAUUAACACAAGUUUUAUAUAAAUCAAACAAGGCCACCAUUUUUCAUCAACCCAAGUUUCAUGUAAAUCAAAAAGACACCCAUUCUCCAUCAAUUAAAACAAAUUACUAACCUUAUACCUUUAAUGUAAAUUUGGUUUCCUGCACUUCACUUAUUCACUAGAGGUAGUUUUGUUCCCAUACCUAUAGUUCAUUAUAAUCAGAUAGCAGAUAAAAAAUCCAACAUAAAACAACUUCCAAGAAGAGGUAAAUAAACCAAUACCUAAAUGAUCUCAACCAAAUGAUGGACCUCACUUUUCACUAGAAACAAUGGCUGAAAUAAUAAAACAUAGUCACCUAAUAGUUCAGUUCAACACAAGAAAAACAGGUGAAAAUGUUCAUGAAAAAAUAGAAGACAAAACAUUAUCCAAAUCAACGGCAAUCCAUCUACUUCAAAACUCUAAACAUUUGAAGUUCUAUAUUGAUUCAUUCAUAGUCGUUGUUAAAAGAACUCACUUGAAGAUUAACAAUAAUGAGGAAAAUUUCCUUUUCAGAUGCACUCUCUAUGUAUAGACAUCAAAAGGAAAAGACCCAUUUGUCAACAAAGGCUACAAAAGAGAAAAAAUAAAAUAACAGGGCAACUAAACACGCCAACAACUUGAAUAAAUUAUAAAUAGUUGAAUUGGGGAAUCAAUUUUAGAAGAAUAUUUACCCAUGUUAGUUUGGGCAUUUAGACGACAAAAGAGAUCACACAAAGCUAGGAUUUAUCAACUCAGAAUAAACAAGCCAUUUAGGGUUAUCCAAAACAUCAAAAACCAAAAACAUAGAACCAAAACUUUUUAGAUUUAAAAAAACAAAAAAUGAAAGGCUUCGAAACAAAGAGAGACAAAAAUAAACACAAAACGAAAUAGAUAAGAUCUGAAUAAUACCAGAUCUACGAGGAAGAAAGUCUCCUUCCAACAACACUUUGCAACACAAAAGAUUUCCCUCAACAAAAAAGAGAUUAGAUUUUAAAAAACAAUGCAUUAUCGAUUUGAAUGAAAGAAGAGAAGAUCGAGGUAGUUACCUGUCCUCCUCCGACGGCGACUGAGGAGAGAGAUUCCAAAGAGAUAAACCCUCGCCGUUGUCAUAUCCUAAAACGCAAAUCAUCGCCACCGUCAGAUCCGAAAACUGAGAGCAGAUCUAUGAUUGGGGUUUAUGUGAGAAACAUAGAAAGGGUUUGUGAAAGGUUUGUGACAAAUGGAACGAUAGAGUGACGGUGCCACGGUGAGGCUGAAUCUGAGAAAGAGAAAGAGAAAUGGUUUGAGAGAGAUAAGGGCAAUAAAAAUGUAGCUUAAAAAAAAGGGGGGGUAAUAUAAAGGAUUAAAGGAAAAAGGGGGAAACAAAUGUUAGUGCACCAAUCUAAAAAAGAGUGCGCCAAUCUAAAAUCAAAUAAUUGUACAUACCGGCAGUUUAAACCGACGUAUUGUACAAUAUAAAUUGUUAAGGAAAUUAUUGUCGAUAGUGGCAUGUAAAACCGCCGUAAUACGCAGAUAAUACCGGCGUUUAUUAAAACUGCCAAAAUGUACCGUGAAUAGUGACGGUUUAAAAAACCGCCAGAAUUCUCGCGUUUUUUUGUAGUGUCUGAUUUACUUUAAACGGACAAUUCCUCAAUAUUGUUUGUAUGGCAAAUUAUUUAAAACGUGUUAUAACAAAAUAUAACCAACUUUAUUCUAGAGUGACAUAGUUAAUAGACUAUUACAAAAGAAUGUUAUUACUUUUACACGGGUACAAAUCCACAUUAUUGAUUUAGAGAAUUUCAUGGCUUGUUAUUCUAAAAUGGUGUAUGUACGUUUAUCUAUGUAUUGUGCUCCCCCCUCAAGCGCUCUUACUUGCUUGUAACACUAUUGUUGCUUUCUUCGCAACGGACCGACACAAGGAGCUUGCACCACUGUUGCUAGUUUCUCCGCAACGGAUCAGCUGCCUUGGUCGUACUCUUCAUCGAAUCGGGACUCUGAUACCACUGUUAGGUCAUGAGGGGAGCUUAGGGGACCGUUCACAUCGAGGCUAGAACAACCACACAAGUGAGAGAGACGCCACACUCUUACCCAAAACCUUAAGGUCAUAGGUUUAUGAGUCCUUUCUAUUAUAAAGUGUUCAAACUCCAUUUUUCUAUCUGAUGCGAGACAUAUAACUCACACUUGCACAAAAUAUAUAUGUUGAUUACUUUUGCGCAAGUUCCUUCUUUUUAAAAAAAAGUGGAUAAUGGUCGGAUGAUGGUGCCACUAAAUUCUCAACCAUGACAUUAGGAACCAUGCGAAACCAAUCUGCAUUGGCAAGUGCUCUAUCUAGCUUGACCUCAACAGCUCUAGGCGUGCCUAAACUCUUAAACCAAGUAUAUGGAUAACCUUUCAUAUAAACUCCUGUUACCCCUGCAUCGGACAUCGCUUGCCUAAACCCAUUAAUAAGCCAUCUAGGACGUAUAGCACCUCCCCUCUUUUCACGAGCAUUAAAAAUAUCAUUAAAGUCACCUAAAAUACACCAAGGAAGAGAGGUAUUGUUCGCAACAUUUCUAAAGAAAUCCCAUGAAGCACGUCUUCUUCUACCCUCGGGAAAACCAUAAUAUCCAGUUAGUUGCCAUUUUCCUUUAUUCAUGUCAUUAACCUCUACAUUGAUGUGAUUAGCAAAAUAAUUAAGUAAACAAACAAAAGAGUUUCGUCAAAAUAGUGCUAAACCACCACUUCGACCAUUACUACUAACAGAAAAACAAUUGUCAAAGCCGAGCAAAUAACGAAAUUCAUCUGUUUUAUUUGAGUGGACUACGUCUCACUUAAGAAAAGGGCGUCCGGCUUAUAGCAACAGAUUAAAAAUUUUAUUUUUGGAACUACGCUCAGGUUCCUAGGUCUCGGCAGUUCCAUGCUAUGAUACUCAUUUUUCUCGACAAUUUUGGAGAUCCCAAUAAUCCAUAUCUGUCCUUUUAAAAACUCACUGUAACGAAGCUAAUGAGAGUGCAGAACAGAACCACACAGUACUGAUUCGAAUUUUGAUCAAGAAAUAAACAACCGUGACAAUCUCAAAAUAAGUAGAGGAAACCCAUAAUUAAUACCUUAUGUUAAAAUAUAUAUAUAGUGUCACUUGGAAGGAAGAAACAAGAAAACUCAAUUCAACGUGAAGUCAAAAAAAUUAAGAUACCUAUGAUAGCAAUUGAUGGAAUCGUGAUCUAUGCAUACUAGCAUUGACUAUCUGUCUGUCAACAUCUUUAAUAAGUAAUACAGUAGUUUUUAUGAAAUUUUGAUUAAAAUUAUACAUAUAGAUAUUUUGCAUUUUUAUAGUGUAAUAAUUUUUCUUUUUUUCAAUGACAUCAACAGUAUAGUAAAUAUAAUAUAAAUUUUUAUUUUUUUCAAUGACACCCAACAACAAUAUAGAAUUCUUAUAAUUUUUUUUAAGGGUAUAAUUGAAAGUGAAAAAGUCACCCCAAACUAUGUAUUCCAUCUAUACAAGUAAGAUAAAAAUUUUACUUUUAAUUUAGAUUUUCUUUUUAUGAAUAUAAAAUUUAAAAGAUAAAAAUAAUAAAUAUAUCAUUAAGUUUAAAUUAAAAAAAAAUUAAUAUUAAAUAAAUUAUAAAUCAUACACUACUCAUUCUCUUUUCGUCUUCAUCUAUUAAAUAUUCUCUUAAGCAAAUGUAGAAAAUAUGACCCUUAAAGUCAUGCAUGUUAAUAACAAAAAACACUAUCAACUACAUGCAUUAUAUAACCAAAAUAUCUUUUAUUCUUCAUGUAUUAAAUAUAGCUUAAAGAGUCAUGCAUGUCAUAUGAUAAUAAAUAUUAUAUGUAAAUGAAAGUGAGUGUAAUUUCUAACCCGUAUUACAUCCGAUCUUUUUUUAAGUAUAAUUAUAACCCCUAUUAAAUAUCUUUCCCUUUUUUCAAUGUUUUAUUCUUAUAGAAUGAGCAUUAUAGGUUUUUUCUUUUCAGAAAAUUACAUAUUUUAAAGUUAUUUUUUUUUUUAAAUAGUUUGCCUCUGUUUUUUUUUUUGUUAAUCUUAAUAUCAUAUUAUAGAAUCAUUUUUUUUAUUGCUAUUAAUUAUUAAUUAUUAUAUCAUUUGGAAUAAUGACUAUAAGAAACAUGGAAUAAAUAUUAGUCAUUAAUGAACGAGUAACUAAAUUAUAUUGUGGUACAAUUCAUACAUGGGGGAACAUCUAGUCACUAAUUAAUUAUGUACAUAAAAAAAAACGGACAGGUUAACAUCAUCUUUAUCUUUAUCAAUUUGUAAUAUUUUGACAUAUUUUUAGUCCACCACUAUUUAUAGUAUUUGGUUACAGCUAUCCCAAUGUUAUCCCUAAAAAAAACUAUCCCAAUGGUAAUAAAUUAGUUAAAUUGAGUAUUUUAUGUAAUUUAAAAAAUUAUGAAUAAGAAUAAUUAUAAUGUAGUAAUUUUAAUUUAUUAUGAAAAUAAUGCAUGUGAUACCUAUUAUUUUGUAUAAAUUUAUAUAAAAAUAUAAAUUUUUGUCAAUGAUACAUAUAAAACACAAGACAAAUGAAUGUCAUAUUUAUAGUAUUUUGACAUAUUUUUAGUCUGUCACUGCAUAAUAUUUAGUAACAACUAUUCAAAUGUUAAUCAUUUCAAAAAUAAUAAUAAUAAUAACUAUUUAAAUGUUAAUAAUCACUUAAACUGAUUCCUAAAAAAAUCGGUUGAAUUGAAUUUUUUAUGUAUCAACUAUAUAAUAAUAAUAAUAAUAAUAAUAAUAAUAAUAAUAAUAACAACUUGUUCAAAUAAUAAUAAUAAUAAUAAUAAAUGUAAUAAUAAUAUAGUAAUUACAGUUUAAAGAAAAAGUACAAAUAUUUGUCAAUGACAUGUAAAAAGCAUAGGACUCAUUAAUGUCAUCUUUAUCAUUAAUUAUAUCUUUAACAAUUAUUUAAACUCCCCUUAGAAAAAAACUAAUAAUUAUUUAUAAUGUUUUUAUGAUUUCUGUUUUAUAAACCAUUAAUUUUUCUUCAAUGCAAAUUUAAAUAACAUUGGAGGUGCGUUUUAAUGCAUAACCUGUGCUUCAACACUAAAUCCGGUGUGGAACAUGGUAUUCAUGCUUAACACGAGUUAUAUUGUUAGUCUAGUCUUAGAGUUACAAAAUUUUCGUAUCAUUUAACUUAUGGAUUCACUAAAUCAAACACCUACUAUCUCAGAUCCCUCCCUCUCAACAACCAUGAUUUUUUGGUAUGUUUUAGGCAUCAACAUUUAAUUGUCGUUGGGUAAAAUGGUCACUGAUAUAAAUCAUGUUUAAAACAAUGUUUUAAAAACAAUACUAGUUACAAACUCGUGCUUCGCACAGGUUGUAUUAUCUUUUUUCGAUAAAUUUUGUUAUAGAGGAAUGGAUUAUUGUAGGCAAACACAUAUUUGUUAAUUCGUUUAAAAGGAAACUGAUUCAAAUCAUACAUAUUACAUGUAUAUAAAUCCAAAUAACCAUAAACGAUAACAUACGAAAUUCAAGAUGGGUCUACCAUGCUAGUUAACUUAGAGUACAAAGAUUCUAAAGUACUUGCGUUUGAAGGAUUUAAAAUUACAUUUCCAAAACGAUCUGAUCAUCUUCAAUUUGAAAACGAACCACUCUCUUGACUUGCUGCAGUGAUAUUAUAUGGAGUAAACAUUACCUAUUACGUAAUUAGGUAAUGAGGAUCUUUCAGAGAAAGCAAAAUUAAAGCAUGUGGGGCUAAAAUGUUCCAUUAUCUCACCGGGAUUCAACUGGAAACUUGUCUAUGAAUAUGGGAGAAGAAUUAGGAUAGUUUGGAGGAACCAGCAAGUGCAGAGGCUGAAUAGGUGAUUGUAAGGUGAUAAAACACAAAUAAGGCUAAUAAAAACUAUUAUUAAAAAAAAAAAAAAAAAACAUAAAAAAAACAGUUGCAAAAUCUGGGAGUCCAUACAUGUAGUGAAGCAUAUUGAGAUUUUAAUCUGGGAGUCCAUACAUGUAGUCCCAGUCAGUAAUAGUUGUAGUUGAAUCAACAUCUUCAUUACUUAUGUCUACUACUGUGUCAAUAAUUCGGCGAUUAAUUUGCUAUAUUUCUUCCAAAAGGGCAUGAUUAACCUGCCACAGUACACAAACUCUAUAUCAGAACCAAAGACCAAAACAUCAGAUUGGUUAUUGAACACAAAUUUAAGAGAAAAUGUAGAGCUACAUAGUAGUGUCAUAUAGAGCUGUCAAAACGGGCGGCCCGGUCCGUUUAGGCCCGGCCGGGCCAGGCCAAGGGCUUUUAAGGGUCGGGCUAAAAAGCCCGGUUUGAAUAUGGGCUAGAAAAAUAGAGCCCGAGCCUAGCCCUUUACGGGCUAACGGGCCAGCUCAGGCCCUUUUUUUUUUUUUUUCAUUAUUUAAGGACUUAAAACAUAAUAACAUAAAUGUACACAAAAUUUAUAGUGAACAAAACAUAAAUUAAGUUUGGUCCAAGAGAAUAACAAUUAUACAUACUAACAUAGUAACAUUAACAUAAUUGAACAAGUAUAUUUAUUAAAUUUAUUUGCUAAUCAGUAUAGUUACUAUAUAUAAUUUUUUUAGGGAACAACAUAGUCACUAUAUUGUCUUGCAAGAUCCACAUAUAUGAUAUAAUUAAUUAAUUAGCCAACACAUGUAAAAAUAAAUUAAAAAAAGAAAGAAAGAUAAAGGGUACUAAACUAAGUUGACAGUGAGGAAAGGAAAUCACAAUGCAACCAGAAGCAAAAGGGUUUCAAAAGCGGGGAAUAAAUGCAUAACAUUUUUAACAUCAUAGGAGAACAAGAGUUAAGAAACAAUGAUGAAACACGACCACUUUGAUUUUUGUUUUUCCUUCAUUUUAAUUAGAAGUAACAAAAUUUCGGUAAAAAAAAAAUUAAAAGUAACAAAACAAAUGAACAUAAUUAUAUACAAUUUUUAGAAGAGCAAAUGACUUAAAUACCAAAUGAACAUAAUUAUUUGGGUUGUCCGUCCAGUCCAGUGUAAAAAAUAACGUUUUUUUUUUCUGCAGGCUGCCCUUAGCCCUAACGGACUUCGGGCUUUUUCGGGCCGGGUUAAAAAGCCCUGAAAAAAUUUGGGCUGCUAUUUAUCGGCCAGGCCCUACAUUUUAUUCGGGCUUUCGGGCGGUCCAUUUUAACAGCUCUAGUGUCAUAGCAAUGACAGAAGUGUAUUAAAAAAAUUUACAGUGGCUUAAUGGGAGAGAAAAAAAUAAAUGUAAACUAAUCAAACAUGGGCAUAGCAUGUGUUGUUAAAUUUAUUUGACCAAAUCAAACAUAUUCCAAAUGAAACCAACUUAAUGACAGUAGCAUAUCCCUCUAAAUCUAAUUGCUUUUAUGAGUUUACUUACUCAAAACAAUACAUUUCAAUUUGUCCCUUUUUAGAAAAGCAAAUCAACAUUGAAGCAAGUACUUCAAAGACGGUUUAGAGAAAUAUGGAAUAUCGGCCUACAUGCAUGCUAGAAUAAUUUAUAAACAUUAAGAAAUACCAUAUAAGAGUUUAACAUGUCUUCCAUCAAUAUAAAACAACUGACCUCUAUUGGCCAUAUUGCUUCAGUGAGUUCACCAACAGUGGCACAAGGGUUGAGAACAAUUUCGUCGUCAUUCAAGCCAAAAGUUUAACAGUUUAAAGGAUGGUGUCUACCAUAACAUAUUAAUGGCAAUCUUUCCAAAUUCUGUUUCAAAUACAGGGUGACCUGUAUUUCCUUCCAUAUAAUAUGUACUCUCAGUGAAGUCUCUGACUCUUGUUAGAUGGUUGUGCAAAUUUUUGUAUGUUUAUCAGAUAGCUGAAAGACGGUCUAUUCCAUUAGAAGUGGAAGUAGAAAGUUUAGAGAAUUUACCUUCCUGUGUAUCCCAAUUAUAUUGUCGUGAUUCCCAAUCACAACGGCAGUGUUCCAAAUAACCUCUUCGUGGUUCAUAUCCCUCUCAAGAAAUGGGCUUAUAAUCACCAUGUUAUACUUCAGUGCAAAAAUUCGCAAAAAUUCAGUUGAUUCCCUGUAACAGGUUCUACAAAUUCACACCAUUUCUUCUCUCAUGUAGAGAAACCAAAUGGCAUCAUCCAAAAUUCCUACAAUCAAAUUUUGAAUUUUAUAUAAACAAACAUCGAUGGUUUUACUUUCUCAAAGAUAGCCUUUUCUUGGUCGAUAAAGUGUUAUUUGCAAAAUUGUAAAACAGCCCUGCAAAAUUUUUAUAAAUAGUUAGUAGAUAAUUCCUUUUCCCCUUUCUUUGUCAUGAUGGAAAAUUUAUGCUUAUUGAACUAAAACGGUUUUUAACAAAUUGUGUAUUCAAUUGUUUGCAGGUUUUAGUGAGUAUAAAGUAUUAGGAAAGACACUAAAAGAUAUGAAUAGAGAGUGAGAAAAAUUACAAUCUAAAAUGUGAUGAUAACAUUAAUUACAUGCAAUCAAUGGAAAAACAACAGAGAUUCAUUGAAGUAGAAUUUAGUUUCACAAUAAUAUUUCAAUUCAAACGUUGUAGGUUAUACAUAUUCAGCUUCAGAUUAUCUCUGUCAAAAUCUGCAAAUAAUGGAAUCAAAUUCUCUUUUGGAAACCAAUAAUGGUUCAACCAAAACCAUACAAUGAAUAGGUUCUUGGCCAAAAUUUAUUCUUCCUUAUUUAUGUGAGAUGGGGAAAGGGUUACAAACAAAAUAACAAAGCAUAGACAAUCAGAGAAAGAAAGAGAGAUUAAUUCAUGAUCUUUAAACUAUAAUCAAACUAACAACAUAACACCACAGAGAGGCCAAGAAAGAUAAUCUAACAUCAGACUUCACAUUAACUUCAUAACGGGCCCAUUAUACAGACAAUAAGAAUACUCUAUGAUCUCCUAGCCAUUAAAUAUUCACAAAAAAAUCAAAUUGAUUGUUAUUAUAAUUUGAGAUAACCCUGGAAAAGACUUCACAUGACAGCUUAGAUUCCAUCAAACAGUGAUUCCAUAUUAUAAAGUUAGUACACUUUGGAUCUAUGCACAUACAGCUGAAGAUCAUAGAGGAUUUCACAAAGAAAUUUCAAAUAUGCUCAAGAAAGAAUACAAUAUCCAAUCAGGAUCAGUAAUAGACCAAAAAAUUAUAUGAUAACAUAAUAAUGAUAUCCAAAAAGCUACGAUCAUAAAAUAUAAUCCAAUUUUGUUAUGUAUUUUGCCAAAUACUCUUUUUGUUUUGCAACCCGAGAUCAAGAAUAGACACAUACCAUCCCGAGUUCAGCCUUAGGCGGAGGAGCCUCAUAGUAGAAACUUGGUACCGGCUUUGCUUUAAUUACUAAGUUCUUUCUCAUCUGCUUGAUGGCUGCUUCUUGCUCUCCCUAUAAACGUUAUUAUUAAGUAAAUAAUCAUAAAGAAGCUCCAGCCACCCCACGAAUCUUAAAAUCAUUAUAGACCAUGGAUCACACUACUUUGCUAAAUACAGUGGCAAUUCUUCAAAAAGAAAGCCAAACAUAAAACGGACCACUCCUUCUUCAUGCGUUUGGCUGGAUGACAUUCACAUUUCCCAACAGACAAACAAUUCGCAACACCACAACUUCCAACCUGAUACAAACCAAAUAGCUAUCAUAAAUUACAAAACUCCAACAAACCAACUCUUAUAUCAUAUUCACAGCAUUGAAGUAAGAUACCAAAAUAAUGAAUUUAGGUUAUCACAAGAUCAACAUCUGAGAGAAAAAGUCGAUGAAUUGAUUGAGAUUUUAUUUUGAUUCAUGAAUACAACAAUUAAUCUCUUAUUUAUGAUAUCUUAUAUUUUAAUAGAAGUUAUGAUGUAAUGUUUGCACCUUCUUGAUUCGGGACCCCUUCGUCAAGAAACCUCAUCCUAUCCUCACUUAAAUAACUUACACGUCUAUUUGUCUGCUAUUCUAUGCAUAAAUUAAAAUCACUUCAAAGAAUAAAUUGGACAUACCGUAACAGUGGGAUCUGAGUUCAAACAUUCAGCAGAAGAAACAACAUUCUCAACUUUCACUGUUUGAGGAAGAAGAAUAACUCUCGAACAUUCACCAGGACCACUCAUUUUUUCAGGAUCAGAUGGAAGGGUUGUAUUAUUACGAACAAUACUCAAUAACAACGCAGUCAUUAACGAAACAAAAGCCGAAAAUGAAUAAAUAGACCAAACAAUAAUAGAUGCAAUUACACAAAAGGCAACCGUAACGAACCUGGUUAACCUUCUGCACCUCUGGCCGUAUCUCAUCAGGAUGAAGACGAGCCUUAAUAUUCUUAAUAACAAUUUCAUCACGUGAAAACUCAUUCACAGAUGCCUGAUGAUAAUACGGCUGAUACUUUACACGCAAUGCAAAUUCAAUCUUAAGCAACUUGUCUAGAACUUCAGGAUAUAUAUGAGGAUCAUCCUCACCAGCCUUCAUAAACAAACACAAUAUCAAAAUUUAUAAAACCUAUAAACAACAUUAAAAGAAGAACUAAGACUAAAUAAUACAAAUAGAUUGACCUGUUGCAUUGUCUUUCUAAGAGUAUAAGCAGCAAUUUCAAGAAUUUGAAAGCAUUCCUUGUCUCAGAAUAAAAAUUCAGCCUUAUGAUCACGAUACUCCAUUAUCACAACGACCUUAUACCUAAUAGAACAAAUACAUUUAUAAAUAUUACUCAAAUACAUUGAACAAAAAAUCAUCAGUUAAUAACAAAAAAAAUUAUACGGACAACCUAGUCAGAGGAACCUCAACUUCCUCCCACAUGAGCAUUUGUAACUCGCACCACCCGACCUUGAAGCUUUGGUACACUUAGUGCAGGUUUCAUAAUACCAUCCAUAUCGAUUAGGAUUGAACUUAAGUGUCUUCGCAACAAUAAUGCAAAAGGUAUCCUAACAUAAAUCAAAAAAAUCAAAUUAAAAAAAAAUUAUUAUUAAUCAAACAUGUAAAAAUAUACUCAUCUUUAAAUAAAACUUACCUUAUCGAAAUCUCUAAACUCAGCAAUAGAUUUAACACCAGAGAGAUUCGAAAACUCAUCAUAGUUGACACGUAGAGAAGAGGAUGAAACCUGACAUAAGCUCUGAUCAAAGCUAUGGCCUUGAGCUUGAAGACUACAAAGUACAUAAAAAAUAGUCUUAAAUUUGUAUUUCAUCCUUGCAAUUAGGGGUCGUUUAAAAAUUGCUCCCUGUAAUCGCUAAUCAUGGCAAUUUACCCCUGCAUUGUUUAAUCAUUUAAAAUUUCGUCCCUCUCCCCACUUAAUCACUGCCAUGUCACUAAUUUGAUGAUGUGGCAAUCACUGUCAUAUAUGAAAUUCCAAUUUUACCCCUGUGUUUCCAAUUCUUUCUUCAAUAUUUUGUCCUCUUCUUAAGGGCAAAAUUGGAAUUUCAUGUGUGGUAGUGAUUGUCACGUCAUCGAAUUAGUGACAUGACAGUAAUUAAGUUGGUCAAAGGACGAAAUUUUAAAUGAUUAAUGAUUGCAAGACUAGUUUGCAAGGAUUAGCGAAUACAGGGACAAAUUUUUAAACGACUCCUAAUUGCAAGGAUGAAAUACAUAUUUAAGCCUAAAAAAUAUUAAAAAACAACAUAAAAAAAAUAAAAAAACCAACGACAAUAUAUUCGACAAAAUAAAAUUUACUUAUCAAACACAUAAUUUCUAUGCAAGAAAAAAAUAAUUUAAGAAUCUUUAAAAUAAAAAACCAUCAUCUUGAAGAAAAAAAAAAGAAUGCAAUAGAACUACUAAAUCAAACAAGAUUGACUACAAGAUGCUAUAAACAUCAUUCACAUAAGAAAAGAAGCUUACCUAGAUCUAAACGCCUCAACAACUGGAUGCUUUAAAUUAAUAAGCAACUUAGAACCCGACCAAUUGUUGCAAAGAUUUGGCUUACCAUUAUCUAGAAAAUAAUUAACAAAAACAAAAUGGCACACAUCAAAAAACAACAAAAAUUACAAAUGUGCAAAACAAUAACCCGCAAGCUUGCAUUGAGCGUGAGUUAGUAUCAAAACAAAUGACCCUCUAUCUUUCCACUCAGUAAGAAAUGUCAUCAGUUGCACAGAAUAUCUAUCCCAUAAGGUCACAUCCACCAAAUUUCCACUGCAUCAUCAUGGACACUUUCAAAUUAAUACAAAAUUAAUGCAAUAACAAAACGACCUAUAAUCUAGCAUCAAAAAAUCAGAAAGUCAUACCUCUCAUCUCUCAGCACAAUAUUAGUGCAAGGUUUUUUCCCAUCACCAAUCAUUGUUGUCUUACCAAUCUCAUGGAUAACACCAAUGAUUUCUUAAAAAAAAUUAGGGAAUAAUCAGUAAUCUCAAGAUCGAAAAAAGAAAGAGAAGUAAUUUAGACAAUAACAAAGCAAAAAUAUACCAUAUAAAACAUCAGCUUUAAAUACCCCUUCUCCAAUCUCCUUAAAUGACUUAAAUCUAAACUCAUGAGAAGGAAUAUCAGUGAGGUUAUCACUCCUUGUGACCUUUGUACCAGCACCAAAUACCAACUUAAAUGGAUAAUCCACAGGCUUAAACAAAACAUCAUUAUCGAACACAAGAUAAUUGUGCAAAACAUAGGUCUGGUUUUCUUCGAUUGAUGACUUCAAACGCUGAAAGUCGGCCUGUCGAGUUAUCGCAUGAGCUCUGUCACCCUAAAUUCACAGAGAAAAAGAAAAGAUACAUUUCAAUUCAAAUCAACAAAAUCAAACAACAAAAAGAAACAAUAAAAAAAUGACCACUCAGCAAAUUCAAGGUAAUUUCCCUAACCUUUCCAUCAUUGAUUAUAAGUUCGAGAUGCUGACGACCAUUGCUAGCAGUGACAGUCCAUAAGUCAAGAAACUCUAAAACCAACUUUACAAACAUCUACGUCCUUUUUCAAAUCUUUGAUAAAGCCAAAUCCCCUAAACAUCGAGAAUUCUGUACAAAAAUACAGCAAAACGGACACAACAAAAAUGCAAAAAUUCAUUACAGUGUCAAAACGAUAAACAUAUAAACCAACAGGUCCUGCGGUAACGCGCUUACGAAAUUUUCAACUAAGAAUAACGUCAAUGUAUAAGACAAAGUUAACCAACACCAUAUUAACAAACUUUCAAGUAAGAAUCACCUCAAUCAAUCUGAUGUUAAUGGAAAAGCUAACCAAAGAUCGAAAGUACCGGUGUAACAAAUAUGUGUUCAGUUACUUGCUCUCAAAGUCACCAAUCUUAAGCAUCAGAUUUUAACAAUUCAAAUCAAUCAAUUUCAUGCAACCAAAGUGAUCCAAUCGCAUCAUCCAUUGCAAAUUUUGCAUCAGAAGUUUAUAUCAGUUCAAUGUAUGCAAACUUAUUUUAUGGAAUGAUGCAAUGAUGGGAGAACCAAAGGUUAUUAUCAUUCAAAUUUCACACGUAGCCAUAUUUAUGAGUCCUGCACCUAAUGAAAUCAGUUCAAUAUUCCAAAGAAGUUAGCAAAAAUCUAACUGGUUUCAAAAGGAAAUAACAAAAUCAUGAUUCAAUAGCAAACAAAAAUAACACAAACAGCAACCAAAUUCUUAAAAUUACUUAAUGAUCAAGCCAGGGCCGUCCCUAAGUAUUCGGAGGCUCGGCUCUCAUGUUAAAAUAGGCCCUUAAAAAAAUAAAAACGUAAAUUUUUAAAAGAGAAAUUAUCUAUUUAAAUUUAAAAUAAGAACCGUAAAGAUAAAAAAUAAAAGCCUUUAUUGUAACUAACACAUAAAAUAUCAAUAAUAUAAAACUACAAUUUAAGCGAAUAUCUAUAUUGAUUUUCUAUGUUAUAUAUUUCCUUAGUUUGUACAAAGCCGAUAAUAAAAGGUUUAUACUGUUUUUUAGAGAAUAAUUAUUAUGUUUGUUCUUUCAAAUAAAAAAUUUAUAAUAUUUGUUGUUAGAUUUUAACUACCUUAUACAAUAAUCGUGGACAAAAAAUUACAAGAUGUGUUCUAACAAAAGAAGAAGAAAAAAAAUUAUAGUAUGUUUUGAUUAGUAAAAAUAUUAAUUAAAGAAACAAAAAGGAAAAGAAAAGAAGAAAAAAGGAAAAUCAUAGGUGAAAGUGUUGAACCCAAGAUCCAUGAUCCCAACUUGCUUUUAAACCACUACGCCACUUCAGCAAACUCUAUAAAAUAAUCACGCUAGUUGAUUUUAUUACUUAUUAACUGGGCUUUAAUAUUUUUUUGAGGCCCAUCCUUGAGGAAGGCCCAGCUCGUUUGAGCUGUUUGCACCCCCUCAAGGACGCCCCUGGAUCAAGCAAAUGAUAUCUAUGGUCAUCUUUAACAUCAAUUGAUCACAAACACUGAUUCAAAUGGCUUAUAAUUUGUUUAUUUGCAACUUAAUCACAGCUUAUUACUUUUGUCUCAACAUCUUGCAAUUGUCUCAAACAUGCAACCAAAAUCAAAUUUAAAAAAAAAAAAAAAAACCCAAAAAAUAUAAGUCAAUUUUAAAAAACAUUAACCAACACUCAUUAAAAAAACAAAACAACAAAAAACCAAAAACAGAACACAAAGAAACAACAUGCUGAUGAUCAAACCAAACUCAAAAAACUUUCUACUUGCAUAAGAACAAACCGCAGGAAAGAAAAGAAAACUAUACUGAAAAAAAAAAAAAAUGAAACUACAAUCAAAAGCAAAGACAUCAACAACCAUUAAAAAACAGAACAAAAACACAAAAAAAAAAAAAAAAUCGAACAAAAAAAGCACAUGCAAAACAAUUAAAAACAAAACAGAAACCUUGAUGCUUGAUCCCAAAGAAACCUGAAUAAGAAGAUGAAAAACAGGUUCAGAACAUAACCAAAGCAAAAAAAAAAACUAAAAAAAAGUUAUAAAACAGAGACAUGCAAAACGAUGAACCAACAACAACCUCUGAAGAACAAUGAAGCGGACCCAGAAAGUUAGGAUGAGAUGAAACGGAACCGGACUCAAGUGAACGAUAUCAAUGAAGUUAUGAAGUAGUGGGAACAACUGAAAUUGAAAUGGCACAACUACACAUAUAUAUAGGUGAAAAGGAGAAAUUACUAAUUUACGAAAAUGCCUUUCCAUAAGGGCAAAAUGGGAAAAAAAAAAGGACAAAGAUUGUCCUAUAUAGUUUAGUAGAUUUUCAAAUCUCCGAUCAUCGUGUUCGAUUUGAAAUCCACCAUGAAUACCGAAAAUGCUUGCGCUGCACACAUCCUUUAGCAAUUUCAACUUGACGAUCAUCCUUUCGGUAAAGUGCGAAUUCUAAAAAAUUCACUCACAAAAUAUAACCAACUUUAUUCCAAGUGACAUAGUUAGUAGACUUUUACAAAAAAAUGUUAACCUCUGGUUACUUUAAAUGGGUACAAAUCCACAUUAUUGAUUUAGAGAAUUUCAUGGCUUGUUAUUCUAAAAUGGUGUAUGUACGUUUAUCUAUGUAUUGUGCUCCCCCCUCAAGCGCUCUUACUUGCUUGUAACACAAUUGUUGCUAUCUACGCAACGGACCGACACAAGGAGCUUGCACCACUGUUGCAAGUUUCUCCGCAACGGAUCGGCUGCCUCAGUCGUACUCUUCAUCAAACCGGGACUCUGAUACCACUGUGGGUCAUGAGGGGAGCUUAGGAGACCGUUCGCAUCGAGGCUAGAACAACCACACAAGUGAGAGAGACGCCACACUCUUACCCAAAACCUUAAGGCCAUGGUUUUAUGAGUCCUUUCUAUUAUAAAGUGUUCAAACUCCACUUUCUAUCUGAUGCAGGACAUAUAACUCACACUUGCACAAAACAUAUAUGCUGAUUAGUUUUGCGCAAGUUCCUUCUUUGUAUUGUCAUAGUAUUAGUGUUACACAAUAUUGUUCAAAUUCCUGAGGUAAUUUAUUGAUCUUUGGGCUCUUUGGGGUUCUGAGGUCACUCCCAUUGUUUUAAGUUGGCUUCUAUGGAUCAUUCGAUCUAGGUUGCGGUCCGGUUGUUGGUGUUGCCUCCCGACUUAAAGGUUGACUUCUUUAUGGAUCGUUGUGGUAUACAGGUUUGCUUAGGCUGUUAUUUUUUUCAGUUUUCAUUUUCUUUUUUUACUCUUGGAGGGUUUUGGCUUAGUUCCCCCUCUCUUGUAUAUAUUUUUCUCUUUUUUUAAUAAUUUGAGUUUGGCGGCAUAGGAUGGAGGUUCAUUGGAUGCCAACAUAGUUGGGAUGUCGUUGCUUCGCUUUGAUGCUUGUCCAAGCUCCUGGUUUAGAAAAAAAAAUGUAUGCUGUAAUUUUUAUUAUUUUGUUUUACACUUGUUGGGUUAAAUAUUGUUUCUGCUGGCUAAGUUUGUGACAUGUUCAUUCUAUGUGUGGCCGUUAUAGAGGUUUAUAAUCAUAGGUCUCUUUUUACCUUGGAAUCCUACAUGCUCCCGGUCUUCUCAUUUAUAAAGUGUUUAACAUACAACUCACACUUGGACACAACAGUUGGAAAUUCACAGGUAGAUCCUUUUCUUGAGUUAGUCAAUGAUGUCAGGCUGCGGCUGUUAAUAUAGAAUCAGAGAAGAUAAUCUAUGGAUCUCAAGAAGAUGAUGUGGGUGCUAUUAAGUUGAAAGAAACUUUAAUCUCGUACUUCCUAACCAAAUAUUCAAAAUUACUGGAAUAUGAAUUGAUUUAUCCUUUUGCUUAUAUUCUACAUUAGGAUUGAAAGAAACUACUGUAUUUCAGUUUGUCAUUUGUUUUAGCAUAUCAAACAGUAAAAAUAUCACAUUAAACUUGGUUUAGAAGAUGCAAUCCAUUCUUAUGCCAAAAUGAUGGUCGAGUUUCCACUUUGGAAGUGUAAAUGUAAAAAAAAAAAAAUUGACCCUACUCGGCAGAGGAUGAGCUAGCUAGCUACUCAAAUUGAAAAUCUUCUUUAUCAGGUUUACUUGGGCGGAAAGCUAUGGAGCACGAACAUUCGGAUUAGGUGUGUCGGUAUCCGACACGACACCUAUGAUUAAACUGAAUUAUGUCAUUAUCUCAAAUUAUUAUCCGUGUCGACGUGUAGGUGUCUGUCGUGUCUAGUGUAUGUGUUCGUGCUUCAUAAGCUGAAAGAGAAUACUAUGAUAUGUUGUUCAUUAAUAAUUGAAUUUAUUAACUUAAACAUAUAAUUGGUUGAUUUUGGUAUAAGUUUCUGCAUCUGAAUUUGUAUUAUACAUGUCUACUGCACAUGCACACAUUUAUCCUGGAACUAUGGAUUAAAUAGUCACUUUCUUGUGAAGAAAUAUACUUACAAAUACAUGGGGCUUUUGGAUGUUCUCGGGGAAUCUGGAUACCUCAUAGAAGCUGAGGAGUUUAUUGAGAAACUGCCAUUUGAGCCCAUUGUGACAGUAUUGUAGACCCUCAAGGGUUAUGCUCAAAUUCAUGGACAUGUUGAUCUUGAAGACCAUGUUGAGGAGUUGAUUGUUAGUCUUGAUCCAUCAAAGGCCGUUGUCUACAAGAUCCCUAGCCCACCUACCAAAAAGUAUACUGCAAUUAGCAUGAUGGAUGGCAGGACCAAAAUCAUUGAGAGUAUAAGAAUCCUACUCUUUACAAGGAUGAUGAAAAGUUGAAGGCGUAGCAUGAAAGACGCCAGAUAUGUUCUUCAUGACAUUGAUCAGAAAGCAAAGGAGCAGGCCUUGCUCUACCACAGUGAGCGUCUUGCAAUUGCAUAUGGCUCUUAUUAGUACUCCUCCUAGAACACCUCUUAGGAUUAUCAAAAAGGUUCGUGUCUAAGUUGACUGUCACAAUGCCAUCAAGAUCAUGUCUAGGAUUGUAGGGCGGGAAUCAAUUGUUAGAGAUAACAAAAGGUUUCACCAUUUCAAGAAUAGAAAAUGCUCGUGUGGAUUAAUGGUAAGGGAAUCAUUACUACAAAUCCUACAAUAUCAUGAUUCAUGAAUAUAUAAAUUUCUAAGCGCUGGCCGGCUCGUGUUUCAGGAACACACAUGUCGUGCGUGGAAGCUUUCAAAAAGGAGAUGAAUGAAUUAUGUAGUAUACACUGAUUUAAAAAAUAUUUUUAUAUUGUUCAGAUAUCGGCACUAUUGCCUCUCAUUGAGUUUGAAAUUGCUAUUCUAUGGUUGUAUUGUUUUAACUAUUUUUUGGUUCUAGCCACAUCAAAUUUAGCUCUGUUUUAGCUCUUUUGUUGUAGGUGCAAGAGAGAGUUCAAUGUUUCAUAUUGCAAUGGUAUCAUGGCAGGAUUCUCGCUAACUAUCAGAAGAAUUUUAUGCAUCUUGGAGCUCCUUUUUGUAGCAGGUGUAGCGAGGAAGUGGAAACAUCAUUACAUGCUCGUCGUGACUGUCCUGAUGCGAUGUCGGUUUGGCUAAAUUCUGUGCCGGAUCAAUUUCGAAUUCAGUUUUUCAUCUCUGAUUUUUAUUAAUGGAUCGAGUUCAAUCUGGUAGCAGGUUUGGAAAGUGGUGAUGCAGAAGACUAUUGGAGUAGUUAUUGGACAUUAAUGAAGGCAAGGGGCAGUAGCCGAUAGCGUGAAAUGAAUGCCAUUCCUUCUCGCCAAUAAGGUGGUUGCUGGCUUGCUGCCGGUGCCGAGCUGAAAUUCUAGAGGUUUGAAGAAUUAUCUGAGAGGUUUCGGAUUGUACGAGAAGAAUGUUCUUAGUUGAAAAAAAUUAUAAAAGGGAUUUGCACAUGUUGCAACUAUUGUUUUCUAUCACUUUAAAGUGUUCUUUCUUAUCUUGUGCUCGAUUUUGUGUAACGAAAGCAAAUUACAGCAAGUUGGUUGUAUAGUUGAAUUCAUCAAAGGUUUUAUGUUAACCAAAAUUGCUCUAUUUGAAACUGGUUGACUUUGUCUGUGUGUAUACAAAAAAUGACAAUAUCAUAAUAUGUAAGUGAUGAUGCUUGUGCUACAUGUCAAAAUGUCAAAACAAAUUGUUGGGACUAGGGAUCAUAGACAUGGAUAAUAUUUCAAAAAAAUUAUAGAGGUGGUUGGAAUGAUAUGACAUUCGAUGAUUUCAGUUGGGGACGGUUUAACUACAAUCGCCAAUGUCCUCGUGAUAGGGGUCACCACUACUUUGCUGAUAACAUGUACUGAUUGCAUCAGAUGUCAGCACACUAUGUGAAGAGUUCAUGGAAUAUAAAGAGUUUGUUAGAGACUUUGGUUUAGGUAGGAGAAGUGAACGUAAUGUUUUGUGGAAUAUUUUGUUGCUUUCUUGUGCUGAUAAUUUUAAGAUGAAGAGUUUGCUAGGAUGGUUGAAUUAGGUUUUCGUGCAGGUGUUACAAAGAUUAAUAUUCGCGCUUUGGAGUUUUCGAGGAUGACGUUAUUUUAAGAUCUUUAUCUUAGUGUUGAGCAUAUGAGGAGUGAAAAGGUUGUUCCUGAUUUGCUUACUUAUUGUUGUGUUGUGGAUGCUUACUCAGAUAUUAAAUAUGGAAGGAAUUUUGAGUUUGUUUUGAAUAAAAUGGAUGUUGAUGAUUGUCCAUGAUUCGUGAUGAAUCCGUUUGUCAGAGGCAUUUUUGGAAUACAAGACGCAACAACAGAAAUGGAGUUGUAGGGUUUUGAUAGAUGAUUUUGAUUCUUUCUAUUUCUUGACGAAUUUAACACGCUUAUUGACCGUGUAACAUUUGUGCAGUUUUGGUCGAAUAUUUAAUCAUAUGGAUGAACGAGAAAUGUAUAGCAUUAUUAUACUUUGAUUUGAUUCAAAAAGUAUAGAUCAUGAUAUAUAAAAGAUAACAAGUAUGUUGGUACUAAAAUCAGUCUUCCCUGUCCCGUGAGCAUAGCUCAGUUGGUAGGACAAUGCAUUAUUAUAUGCAGGGGCCGGAGUUCGAACCCCGGACACCCCACUUAUUCACCUUAUAAGGUGAAUUCUAGCCACUAGGAUACCUGACCAAAAAAGAAAAAAAAUCAGUCUUCCCUACUGAAAAUGAGACCAAUAUUCCUUUACAAGUUGUCCAAACAACGAUGUUUCCUUCUUCAUUAACUUCAUUGGUUCAUCAUACUCAGCCAACUUUCCUGUAAAAUAAUCAAACAUUUCAUUUUAUUUAAGGAAAACAAAUAAAGAAUCAUAUGAAAGUGUCAUUUAAGGAUUAAUCUAAUUAUUUACUCGACAUUCGAUAUGAACGUACCAUCACUUAUGGAAAGAACCAUAUUGCAAUCCAUCACAGUUGGUAUCCUGUGCGCUACUGUUAUCACUGUACAAUCUGCAAACUCUUUUCUAAUGGUAUUUUGAAGAAUUAAAUCGGUCGCAUUAUCAAUUGAUGCAGUUGCUUCAUCUAGCACCAAUAUCCUACUUCUCCUCAAAAGAGCGCGCCCUAAACAGAAUAGUUGCCUUUGUCCAAUGCUCCAGUUCGAUCCAUCUUCGACGACUGUAUAACAUUUUAAUUCACCUCAAAACAAGUUCUUGCAUCAAAUUUAGUUGCAACAUUCAAAGUUUGAACUAGAAAGAGUACCUGAGGAAUCUAAUCCACCUUUAUCUUUGACAGACUCUCGUAACUGACACUUUCGAAGAACCUUCACAUGGAAGUAACUAUUAAUCCAUAUUUGCUAAGAUAAGAAAACUAUUAAAACAUUUAGAUAUCAAUUAUAAUUACCUCCCAUAUUUCUUGAUCAGAAUGUUGAGAUAAAGGAUCCAAGUUAUAUCUAACUGUCCCGAUGAAAAGGGUAGGAUCCUGAGGUAUAAUACCAAAACUUGACCUCAAGUCAUGAAGGCCAAUAGAUGAUAUGUCUAUUCCAUCGACUAUAAUUUUGCCUCCCGUCGGCUCCACAAGACGAAACAAAGCACCAAUCAGAGUUGAUUUUCCGCUGCCAGUUCUACCGACAAUACCAAUCUUGUGCCCUCCUUCAAAGGUGCAAUUGAUACCAUGUAGUACAAGUGGUGCAUUAGGCCUGUAUUGUAUCUGGAAUUAUAUAAACAAAGAAAUUAUAAUUUCAUUUCAUCUCACAUUUUUUCUGAACAAUACGAUUCACAUUUUUAAAAUAUUUUCGAAUUACCUUCAAGUCUUUUAUUUCAACUUUUCCGACAUCUGGCCAAUUGAUUGGAGGAUGAUUUCCUUCACUCACUUCUUGGGCCUCACUUGGUAUAUGAGAGUAUUGAUUUAUCCUUUCUACUGAUACUAUAUAAUUUUCUAGAAUGCAUCGGUAUUGAGUGCUAUAUACUAAGGCACUGUUUAAUGCAAGGCCAUAAGAAAGGGCCAUACCAAUAAAACCUGGAGCAAUGGUUGAUGAAAAUAAGAAACUUGCAUAAUAAGAUAUAAAAUGCAUUGAUAUGAUAAAAGCAUAUGAUUUUCAUGAAUAUAAGAAAAGUCUCACCAGAUGAUAAAGUCCCUAAUGGAAGCAUAGCGAUGGAUAGUGCUGCAGAGGCAAGAACAACGGCGUACGCUGUUUCUACCCGUUGGAUCAGCCAUUCAUUUGAGGCAAAACUAUGGAAGAAAGCAGUAGCAUUGACAUCAAUUAAAUCAAGAUUCUUGUUGAAAAACCGAUCUUCUUCCUCAAAAGCUCUUAUUGUCAUAGCUCCAGCAACAGUUUCAGCUACAUGAUUAGCAACGGACGAUUUUGUUGUGCCAUUCAUCCGCAUAAGUUCUUUUGCACAUGCAUAGUAGUGUUUCUAUUACAAUAUAAAGGAAUGCCAAAAGUUAAUAAAAGCACAUUACAAAAUGAAUACACCAUUUCAUCACGACAGUAUGAUUUAAAUUGGAUAUGUUGUUUACCUGUAAACGAAUAAUAACAUAAGCCAUUGGUAUACACACAAACAAGACUUGCCAAGCGACCGAUGUUAAAACUAUUAGACCUGAAUAGUAAGUUAUAUUGGAUGAUAUACAAUAUGUGAGGUUAAAAGAGAUAUCAAGAUCCACAAUGCUCAGAUCUAAUGAUACCUAAAAGAAAAAAAAAAGAAGUUAAUUAAACAUUAGUCAAAAUAUAUUAUUUCGUCGAUUACAUAUGUAUGGUAAAAAUAAUUUAAUAAGCUUACCCUACUAAGUAUCCUUCCCAAUGGUGUGGUGUCAUAGAAAGACAUUGGUGCAUGAAAAAGAGAAUUUAUUAAUUGUCCAAAUAAAACCUUCGAUGAUUGAAUUCCCAAAGCAGCUGCAAGUAGAGCUCUGAUUAUAAUGAAAACCAUAGAACUAACUCCAAUCAACAAGUAAACUGUAAUCAAUUGCAAUGUGCUGACUUGAGGAUUGUCAACAUUAGCGGCCAUCCAUGAGUUUUGCGAUAUCUGGCAGAUCACAAAUAUCACAUAAGAAAGAGAACCGACAAAGUAGUAUAUGUAUCCGCUUUUCUGAUUCAGAUACUGUAAGUAAGGCUUCAAUCCUGUGUCUCCUUUUUCUCUCUCUUCUUGCUCAAUUAAUUGAUCACCAUUUUUAGCAUUAGACGAGUUCUCUAUGGAAUAUUGUUUCAUCUCUCGACUAGACUUUGAAUGUAUUGGUGUUGAAGUAAGAUCUAAAAGAUGAUUAGGGUUGCCAAUCUUUUUGUGUGCAUUAACAAGAUCCUUAAAUUCUUGGCUAAAGGUUAGUAGAUCAUGAUACGUAGAAGCUUGUUGGAUUUUCCCAUCUGACAUCAACUGUGGUGAGAAAAAAUGAAUUGUUCAUUAAGAAUUUUGAGUACACAUGUCAAAGAUGACAUUAAGGACAGAAAAAUGUCUGAACAAUAAAUAAGUAUUAAAAGGUCAAAUAUCAAUAUUUAUGAUCAAAUCAAAUAUUUUUCUUCAAAAAGCCUUGAAAUAGUACAAGGAGGCUUGAAAAAGUAGAAACAUGGUAAGUGAUCUGAUAAAAACACUGAAUCUGAGCGAUGAUAAAAGGAGAGAGGUAAAUCAUUAUAUGGAUCUGAAUGUUGGGACACGAGGGGAGCCAAAGGGAUCGCCCGCAUCCAGGCCAGAAUAACCUCCCCCUCAAGUGUGAGUCCAUCAAUUCAUCAUGCUCACCCCCCUCUAGCGGAAGCUCUUUCAUCCACACACACUUAUACUUGUACCGCCGUUGUCUCCACACACAACGGAACCCGCCGCCUGAACACCCUUGGUCAGGAGGACUUUCGAUACAAGGAGCCGGUUGAACCCUUCAACAAACCGCGGCUCUGAUACCACUGUUGGGACACGAGGGGGAGCCGGUCGAACCCUUCGUCAAACCGCGGCUCUAAUACCAGAGUUGGGACACGAGGGGGGCCAAGGGGACCACCCACAUCCAGGCCAGAGCAACCUCACAAGUGAGAGAGACACCACAGUCUUACUCAAAACCUUAAGGCAAUGAGUUUAUGGAUCCUCUCACUUAUAAAGUGCUCAACCUCCACUUUUCUAUCCGAUGUGGGACAUCUAACACACCCUUGCACACAACACUGAAUGGUAUAAGAGCCUGGUUUUUUGAGCACUAAAAUAUAAUUGCUAGUUCAAAGAAUUGAAAAUUAGAAGAACCAAAGGGCGCAAAUUAAAAGGAAACGAUUUACAAUAAUUUCUAGAAAACCCUAUUCACAUUCCUCUAGGUUUCGUACCGUAAUUGAGGCAGAAAAGAUCAACAUUGUGUAACAAGAAGUGAUAUGCAAACCAUAGAUUGAAAAAAGAUAUAUAACAAACAAACAUUCCUUAAGAUACAAGAAAUUACCAAAAUGGAAUCAAAUGAUGGGAGAAAGUCAACUUGAUGAGUAACAAAAAGGACUGUCUUUCCGGCGAGUCCUUCCAAUAUGUAUUCCUAUCAAGUUUCAAUGUCAUUUUUCAAUAAAGAAUGAAUCUUAUGAUGUAAUCGCGGUUUUUUAAGAAAGGAAGAAGUGAUUACAUUAAACAAUUUUUUUGCAGUGUGCGCAUCAACAGCACUGAAAGGAUCAUCCAAGAGAUAUACAUCAGAAUUCUGAUAAAGAGCUCGAGCAAGUUGAAUUCGCUGCUUUUGACCCCCACUUAGAUUAACACCUCUCUCUCCUAUCUCGGUUAGAUCACCAUACGGAAACAACUCAAGGUCCUUCAUCAGUGAAGACCUAUGAAGUGAUUCUUCAUACCUUUGAGUAUCCAAAGGUGAUCCAAACAAAACAUUUUCCUGUAUUGUUCCAGUUUGAAUCCAAGCUGUUUGAGAAACAUAAGCAAACUUUCCAUAAACUUCAAUCUGUAAAUUACAAAAGAGAAUUCAACACCAAUGAAUAAAAGACAUGAAAAUACACUCCAAUUUAAUCUAGUUAUAAUAAAUUAAAGUAUAACAAAGUAUAGGAAUGUUAUCGAAGGAUUAAAAUAGAAGGAUUAAAAGCUUACUUUUCCCUUAGUAUUCGGUACUUCUCCGAGAAUUGCUGCUAAUAAAGUUGAUUUUCCUGAGCCAACUUCUCCACAAAUAGCUAUCUUUUGCCCUGCUCUAAUCGUUAAAUUAAUAUUUCGUAUUGUUGGCUUCAAUAUAUUAUAUUCCCAUGAAAAAUCUGCAGACUUGAUUUUUAUUGAGCCCUUUAACUUCUCAUCGUAGCAGCUCUUUCUGACACUAGUAGUUUGAAGCUCAGGUGCCUCGAGAAAUUUCACAACCCGAGAAAAAGCAACCUUUGCUUGAAUGAUCACUCCAAUAACAUCUCCAAUGGUUGAAAUAGGAUCUUGCACAAGGCGCACGGUUGUGAUAAAUGUGAAAACAUUAUUUGCAUGGAGAGGAACUUUCAAGAGGUAACAAGCCAAAAAGGUAGCAGCAGAGACCAAAGUAGGUGAAAACCAAAAGAGAAUAAGGCUGUAUGCCUUUUGUAAUAACACUGAAGAUAACAAUUUUUGUUCAACAAUUCUUAGGAUUUCAAUGGAAUUUUUAAAAUGCAUUUCCCAUGCAUAUAACUUUAGCACUUUCAUAUUCACCAGAGCCUCAGAACUAGCCUUCAACCUUUCAUCUUGGGCCACCAGAAGUUUACUAAGAUACUUAUGUUGUAACUUUGCUAGUGGAGCAUUCAAAAACACGGUCAAAACUAUCACCACCAAUGACGCAAUUGUUGCCAAUCCAAUAGCACGAAAAAGAAUUACUAAUGCAAUUGAUAGUUGGAGGACUGUUGUCCAUGUCUGGUGAAACCAGAACGGAAAUUCUCCGAUUCUAUACGCAUCCACAUUCACAUAGUUCAUUAUCUCACCGCUAGAGUGAAUCAAUCUAGCAGCAUUGGAUAAUUUCAGUUGUUUCCUAUAAAUAGAUGCAGUAAGUAACGAUCUAACUUUCAUACCAAUAACCCUUGAGCGAAAAUACCAUUGCCUUUGAGAUAGGGACUCUAAAAUCUUGAUAAACAAAAGUGAGAUGGCCAAAAAAUAACCUUCAAAUUUGAAACUUUGAUUACCCUCAGCCACCAGUAUAAAGGCAUUCAAAAUUAUAGGACAAGAAGAAAGAGUGAGUACCUUGAGAAAUGCAAAAAAUCCAGAUAUCAAAAUCUCUCUCCGGUGGCACAAAACGAUUGUCCAUAACACCGAUGAUCGAGAUGAUGGAUCCUUCUGCUUUUUUCUAUUCGAUUGUUCUAUAAAUAACGAAUAACAUACUUCUGCUCUAUCCGGCUCUUGCAACUUUGGGAUGUCCUCGUCCUCAAGUGUUUUAUUUUGACCCUUUUUCAUUAGUGGAUUCAACCACCAAAAUGACAUCCGACUAAGGAGUCCGGCUUUGGAAAAUGGGGUUACACUUAUACGGCCAAGAGGAUCAACAUCAUGGAUCUGGCUAUUUAAAGAAGCAUAUAGACUUCCAUUUAUUUCCUUGUCGACAUCUUCAUCUUUACAUACUUUGUAUGUGCAAAAGAGCAGCAAAAUUACUCCCAAAAAAGAUAGAACAUCUAAAGCUACCUUAAGGGACAUUUCUUUGCUACUAAAUGCAUAAGAUAAUGACAAUGCACAGAAAAUACCAGAAACAAAGAAUAUAAGAAUAGAAAACAUUCGCCACCAUGUUCUUGGAAGUUGUUUCGGCACAAGAUUUAUAGUUAAACCAACUAAGAUCCAUGUGAAUCCGUGAAAAAACUCUAGCGGCCACCAAGUAAGAGGAAAAACAGUGAGGUUUUUCCUUAACUUCUCCUCUAAAAUCCAAAUGCCUAAGAACAAAUGCAACAAACCAAGAGAGCCAUUGGUUAUUGCAGAAACUAGCUGCAACUUUGAAUAACUUUCCACUCUAUUCUGACCUUGAAUUGACUUCACCAAAGACUUUUGGAUCGUAACAAAUGUCAACAUUAUUAGCAACAACAGAUUAAGAAAAAUGAUCAACAAAUGGUUGAUGCAUGAAGAAGGAUUCGUCAGAACCUCCAAAUUGAAACAGAAAGGUUUUCCUCCGAGUAAAGAACAAGCUGAAUCAUCAUCGCCACAAAUCACGUUCCAAAAAUCUUCCAUUUUAUCUUUACUUUCUAUUUUGUGGUAAAAAAAAUAUAAUCUGUAACAUAAUAAUCAUUUGUUUAGAAUGAAAACUUUGUGCAAAAAACUUGAAGCAUACUAAGUCAUAAAUUCAACCAUCAAUAAAAAGCAAACUGAAUAAAAGUUAACAUCCUUAGAAGCUUUGUAAAACAAAAACAUCAUUAAAAGCUAAAUUCCAGAAAAAUAAAGGUCUAAUAUUUGCUUUUUCUAUAGUUCAUAAUGUGUGAACAUUAAUCAUAGAGCAAAAAGAUUUUAAGAAAUUUCGACUAAAAUCCAACAAAUAACUUCGGCAAUGUUGCGAUCACGAAACAUUGUUGUCAAACUCUUACCACUAAGAUCACAACAUUUAAGUUAACAAAAUUGAAGUAAAAAUGCCAUAAAAAAAUAUAAAUGAAAGAGUAGCAAGUGCAUGCAUUGAACUCAGUUGAAGGAAGAAAAAAAACCCUGAAGCAUUUCAUACCACAACAAUAAUAAUGAAAAAAAGUUAGUAGCAAUGCAAGCAACACAAAGAAGAAAAAAGUAGCAAAUUUAAAUGGAUAAAAAAGAAAAGGUGUUAAGUAACAUACUUGUUAAUUGGUUUCUCAGUGAAGUUUUAUGCUUUGAUGGAUGUGGAAACAAAUGUAUAAGUAGAGGAAUAAAGUGAAAACGUGUUUGGUAAUAAUGUGACAGCAGAGAUUAGUAGUGCUAAUGAUACAAUCUUUUGGUUAAUUUUUUAAUGAUAUGUGACAAAGCGCAUAUGUUAUUUUAACAUAUUUCAAAUGAACUCUCUGACUUUGGAUAAUUAUUUUAUAAAUCUCGUUUAAUUAGUUAAAUUUGUAAAUAUCUUUUCAUGGGAUCCAUUUUCCAAAUAAUAGAACUUCAAAAAAACUUGAAGGUGUUUUAUUAUAAUUUUAAUCCAUGUUGUGUGCGCCUUAAAAUCUCAUGAGAUCGCGAGGCGAACCAGAAAAAUCGUUAGGUUAUCUACUUCACAUCUUUUUUUCUUAUUUGUUCGAAUUCACAACAAUAAUCUAUUUUGUUGUUUUGACCAAAGGAGAAGUGUGAAUGAUUGAUUUGAGCAAUACUACUUAGAGAAAUAAAUAAUUCCCUCUAUUUUGCACGUGACUUCCAUUAAUUUUUUAUUUUUCUAUUUCAUGUGGAACUAAUGUGCUUAUUAAUUAAUUAUUUUCUGAGGAAUGCAUGGCAACUAGAAUAUAUAUACUUUUUUCUUUGAUCAUUGAAAACUUCGCACUUCGUAUUAUAUAUUUCUAGAAAAAGCUGUAUAUUUGAUCGUCAAAGUUUCUUUGAAAUUUCAACUUACUUUUUAAUAUUUUAAUUUAAUAUAUGAUUUCUAUCUUUUUAAAAUACUUCAAUGUGAUCGCCGUUUUUUCAUUCAAAUAAAUCUCAAAAAUUAUUUGAUUUUUUUUACGACCAAAUAAACUCAAUGUAUGAACACCAAACGAAAUAAUCAUAUCUAUCUAUGAAAAGUGAAAACCUAAGAAAGACGGUGGACUUGGCUUUAGCUUCACAUUUUUACAGGCGGUUAAGUUCAAAUGUGUAAUGUUACAACAUAUCCUUAAAAUGACUCAAAUUAAGUUGUUGCAAAUUGGGGAAACAAUUAGCAAUGAGGAACAGAUUUGCGGGUUUGUCGCAAAGAAUGAGCCUUGUGAUGUUCAAUUGGAAACUAAAAAUUUGAGAGAUAAGUGCAUCGACGUCACCGCGGAAGCUCGAGAGAUAGAGGUAGGAGAGAUUGGUGAACCUUUUGAAGAGGUGAUGAUCAAGGAAAGGGACUGUUGGAGUACAGAUAGUAAGUGAAAAUCGAAGACGGUCUCUGAUGAAGAGAAAUUGUUUGGAGACUAAAGAGAGAGAAUUCAAAGUCAAGUAACGAUCACGAUGCCUGAUGUGUUUGUCGCAGAUGAUGAGUUUGAGUAAAUUACACUCUCAUUCGGAGAUGUUUAAAUUACAUUAUACUCCUUAAAAUAUACACUCUCCUAUCCUAUUAUGUGAAACAUAUUAAAGGUUGAUGCUAUGUUUUGUAUUGGAAAGGCAACGGUGGAGAAUCUUUAGACUCUGAAGGUGUUGUUGAGACGUUUCGAAAUAUGAUAUAAGACAAUUGAACACUUUAGUGUAGAAUAGUAACGAGGAUAGAAGAGAUGCUUAGAGUCUAGAAAACAUGCAUAUAAUUCUUGAAUGGUAACUUGACUUUUUGGGUCUUAUGUGUUCUUUGUAAUGUUACUUAUGCUUAUUGAUUUAUAAUAAAUGUGAUUUUUCAUGAUAGGGUUCUUACUUGACAACUUUCAGUUUUUUUCUCAAUUAUUUUAUACUGUUAAAUGUUUUCAAAACUCACCCAUUUUUUGUUUGUGUUUGUCUGCCUUGACAUUGCGUUUCAAAAUCGCAGUAAAUACAUCAUGUUGUUAGGUCUCGAGUUUGCGAAAAGAUCUACUCUAAUAGGGACACUAGAAAAGGAUUUGAUAGAAAUUAUUUGGAAUGUAAACGAAUUUAUUUUCAAAAAGCAGAGGAUUUGACAAAAUUAUUAUUAUUAUUAUUAUUAUUAUUAUUAUUAUUAUUAUUCAAAUUGACCCUAUAAUAUGCGUAAAGUCUGAAAAAUGAUCAUGUUAAACAAAAUACUCAUAUUCUAACCCUAUAAUUUAAUAUUCUUCCUAUUUUUAACCUUGUAAUAUACGCGAAAUCCAAAAAAGUGAUAUAGAAGAAUAAUUUAUUUAUGAUUUUUUGCAAAAAAAAAAAAAAAAAAAUACUUAGAAGGUUAAAAUAUGUCUUUACAAAAAAAUAUUGAUUUUUUCAACAGCGGACGAAUUAAUUAUAAAUUUUCGUUCCCCAUAAUUAUGAAUUUCUUAAAUAAUUCAUAAUUAAUUUGUCCCGCAUUUAAAAACUUUAAAAUUUCAUGGUAAAGGUUUUUUUGAUGUUCAAACCAUGUCUAAAAAACAAGGGAAUGAAAUUUGAUCCUUGAGUAUAUGCUUACUCGGAACAAAUGGCUAUUUUGCAUGUUUUGAUUGAAAAAUAAAAAUAAAUCAAGGCAUAAUCAAUCCCUCCUUCAAAAUACGAUAUGCCAUAAUCACUUUCAUCAUCAUAAUAAUCAUACUCAUCUACAUCACAAUCAUAAUAUUUUUGAGUCAUAAGAAUCCAAGAUAUCCAAGCAAUCGUCCAAUAUCUCAUAAUAUCGAAGAACUUGAGGCCCCAAAACCAUAACUAGUAAUAUUUCAAGGCCUAUCGUUAUGAAAUGGAUGUAAUUAAACAAUGCAACAUUCCUUCUCUUGUGGAUGACUAGUCAUAUGCUACAAUAUCUUUUCAAAAGAAAUUGUGUUGUAAAAGUUAAGGACAUCAAUUAAAAAUUUUAUAAUCAUGACAAACCAUAGGGAGAUCUUCUUGUGUGAGAAAUAUCUCAUGAUAGAUUAUGCAAAUGAUUAAGUUGAAGCUUCGCAUCAACAACUGCAAACCCACACAACGUCUUUGUAUCUCUGCGAAUGAAUUUCUUAUCAAAAGUUUCAAGCUCCUACAGUGGUAGCAAUCAAAUGUAAAUUAGACUCAAUAAUCAACUCUUAUUGACAAAGAAAGUUAUAUUAGCACAACAAAAUUUAGAGGCAGAGAAAUGAUUUUUUUUUUUCUUUAAGAAUGAGGCAGAGAAAUGACAAAUAAUAAUUGUCUCAAGUUUAAAAAAAAAAAUUUCUCUAUAACUAAUUUUUUUAUAAUUUAACUUUAUAAUUUUUAAAUUGGAGGAAUGAAAAAUAAAAAAGAAAAGAAAUUUAUGUACAAAAUUUCAAAUUAGAGUUGAAAUUACUAUUCAAAACCAAAUAAGAACGUCCAAUAUCUGGGUGGAAUCAAGAAUAACCAACGAUCAAACCUAACAUAAAAUGAUUUCUUACAUAUUCACGCAUUCAUAUGUUUGAUCUCAACAUAAACUCGUGGAAUUUGCCUUUAUAUAAAACCGGAUCUAAAACAAAAAAUUGAAAUGCACACUAUCGAUUCAAAAUUAGACCAACAAAAUUACAAAUUUAACCAAAGAAUUACUCCUUUUAAAUUUAUCAUAAUUUUUAAAACACUCUCAGCAAAAGAUGAAAAACAUAAUAAAUAAUAUCCAAUAAAUAAAUUAUAUAAAAUCUUACUCAUUAGAAUAAAAUCAAAUAAUUGACAAUAAAAUAUAAUAUAUUUAUUAUAUUAAUUUAAUAAUCAUUAAAAAUUAAAAGAAAAUUAUGUUUCUUCCAAGCUUACCUUUUCUCCAUAUUUAAUCAAAGAAAUCACACCCGUCACAGAUUUGUUGUGGACAUUGCAAAACUAAGUGUGUAGCAACAAAUCAUAAUCGAUAAUGUGUAGAAGUCCAAAACAAAAUCAUUGAUUUGAAUUCGAUCAAGAAGGGAAGGAUAUCCCAUCGAUCUGGGUUUCUUGCCUCACCGUAGAUCUGGUAAAAAAAAACACAAGAUUAAACAAGAGAAAAGAACUAAUCAAUAAAAAAAUCGAUAUAUGACAAAAUAAGAUAAAAUAUAUAGACCGAACACAAACAUACAUAUAAUUGAUUUGACUAAAAUGAUAUCACAAAUGAUAUAUCCCCCCUUACAUAUCAUAACCACUUCAACCGUACAGGUAGAUACGUAUGAACUUGUAUUAUAUAUAGAUGAGUGAUAGAAAGAUAUUAAAAACACAUUUAUAAAGAGCUCACAUGAAGACUUGUUGAUGUAAUUAGGUUAAGUUUCAUUGAUGGGCUUUACUAGUCUAAGAAGUAUAUAUGAUAUAUGGACUCCUUCAUAUCUUGUUUAGACAAGGCCCACCUUUUUAAUUACAUCUCCAAUGUAACAUCCCCAAAAUUUCUUAUUAUUGUAUUUAAGUACUAUUAUAAUAUUAGUAAUAAAUUUGUAUUAUUUGAAGGGUAAUAUUUUACUAUUAGUAUUUAUCAAUAUCUCAUAUUCAUUAAUAUUUUAAAGGAUUAUUGAUAAGAUCAUUGCUGAGGUUAGACAUAGGAGUACUCUAUCCAAAGGUUGUAUGUCCUCUAUUAUGGAGGAUUUUGUGGUUCUUUUUUUUUUUUUUUUUUUGCAAUGUAUUGGAAGCCUUCUCGUAUGGGGUGGAUAAAGGUCAAUAUCGAUUGAUCUUUAAUUUGUUUUGCUAAUGUUGCAGAUAUAAGGGCAACCUUUAGGCUGUGUUUGGAUCUAGAGAAAGAUUAAAGAAAGAUAGAAGAAGGUAAGAAAGUGUGUGGAAAGAUUAGUUUUCCACCCUUUGGCAACAACUCAAAAAGAAGAGGAAAAAAAGUUUUGAGGUGGGACCCACACUCAAAACCUUUCCUCACUAUUUUGGACAGAAAGAUGAAGAAACACCAACUUUUUGAAAGAAAAGUCAAAAAUACCCUUGCUAUAAUAAUUAUAUUACUUUGUUGAACAACCAUUGUAAGACAAGUUGUGAUUCUGAAUUGUUUAGCGUGAUGUUUUGAACAAAAAAUUUAACAAAUAUUAGGUAAAUUAAAAAUUAUUAAUAAAAUAUAUUUAAAUGUGUAGAUAGUAUAAUUAAUUUAAAAUAAACACAUUUAGUUAGAACCUUUUAAGGUUAUAAUCGUCAUUUUGCAAAUAUACAUAUCUUUCUUUCCUCUCACAACCUAUUCACUUUCUUUUAUACCAAACAACUCAAAUAAUCAUCUCACUUUCUUCAACCAUUCUUUCCUUCUACUAUCUAUCCUUUCACUUUCUUUCCUUUUAACUUUCUUCGCUAAACCAAACAUAAUGAUUUAGUCGCUGAGUACUUUGCUAUGAUUUUGUUUUUGAAAAAGGCUCUAGAAAUGGACUGGUUUAGCUUGUGGGUGGAAAGUGAUUCUCAGGUUGGUGUCUCCAUGGAACAACUCAACACAAAGCUAGUACCAGAGGAGAAAUGAGCACAUAGCUGAAUUUUCACAGAUAAGUGUAUGCGCGGAGCGUAUGGUCUGUGUAAAAGUGAGUUGAACUCUUUGUCCAAUGCGUAUGGAGCACAUAAUUUUAUUUUUUAUUUUUUUAAUAAUUAAAAAAUAAAAAAAUUACACACGUGGCGUCCACAUCAACAUUGACUUGGUCAAAAUUAGUCUUAAGAGCCAAAACUGCAAAAAGGGCAGUACUUAGGGGGCUGGAUUGUAUUUUAUUUUGUUAGGAGGCCAAAAUCACAACUUUCUGAUACUUAAGGGACAAACUGCUAUUAAGCCUAAAUAAAAAUGUAUAAAGAUUUUUAUUAAAAAAAUUUUAAAAAAAAUGUUUUAAAAAAGGACAAUUGUCAAAAAAAACAAAAAGGGAAGGGGUAUAAUUUUUACUUUGUUGUCUCGGGAACAUAGGACAGUUGGUAGGACAAUACAUUAUUAUAUGCAGGGGCCGGCGUUCGAACCCCGGACACCCUACUUAUUCACCUUAUAAGGUGAAUUCUAGCACUAGAUUACCUGACAAAAAAAAUAAUAAUAAUUUUUACUUUGUUAUUGGUUAUCUUAAGUCUAUUGUGGAUUAAUUGCAUAUAGAAAGUAAGCCAUCCUUCAUAUUUCUCAUAUAACCCUUCAUAUUGAGUUCCCUCUUUUUGUUGUUGAAACGAUAACGAGGUGGAACAGUGAUAAUAUCAUCGAGUCAACAACAUUAUGAAGCACUUUAUAGCAGUUCUUCAGAUUGCUCUCUCUCAGUUGUGUGCAGUUUUCUACCACAUGAUCCAUGUAGUUCUUUGUUAUCAACUCUUUGAAAUCAGAUAGAGUUCUUCGUUAUCAACUCAUGUAUGUGACAAGUUCAACACCUCCAGUUUGGGAACUUCAAAGUUCAAUCCAUGCAGUUUCACUUUUGCGCCACUAUAGUGACUAGCUCUAGUGAUUUUCUGCCAAUUCAGACUCUUUCAGAAUUUCUGGUAAGCGAUGAUGUUUCAUCCAAUGCGCGAUGAAGACCUCUAAUGCGAGAUUUAGAUAAAUUUAAACUCGCCAAAAACAAGAGAAAAAAUGCUGUACAAAAUAUUAACAUGAUACAAUAUUUAGAUGACAAUGGAACACAUUGUUUCUAGAGACGAGCACAACAAUCAAGAAUCUCAAUGCUUUGAUGGACAAUGUAAACUGUAAAGAGAACUUUUGCCGCAGAAGUGCUUGGGACAAGAUUAAUAUGUGAUUUGCCCAAAAUAACUCAAAAGUGAGCCCGAAAUGAGAAUAUUAUUAUGUACAAGGACCUCAAGAGUGAUGCUCCGGUCAGGUAAUGAGCCGACUCUCUGUUGCUUCUUCCAUUGCAAAUUAGGCCCUGCUGAUUGGACAAACAACUUAAUUAAGCUUAUCAAAUAAGUGCUUAUUUAUUAGCUAUAUCUAUAGCAAAGGAUAAUAUGUCAAACUGUUUUCAUAUAUGUUUUUGUAUGAGCUAUAAAUAGUUUCCAUAAACUGCAUUACUUUGGAAGUGUGUAUGUUUCUACCAUAUCAGGUAUCCACAUGACCUGUUUGAUAGAAUUUGGGAGUCGGAUUCUGUUAAGAAAGCAAUUUACCUCGUCGAUUUUGCUGAUGGAACUGAGAAAAUUGCGACCAAUGUAUCCAUUGAUGUUAACGGAGACGAAAUGCCACCAGUGAAAGUAAUGCAGACAGCUGUAGUAGGUACGAGUGGAUUUCUAAAAUACCGGUUGAACUUAGAUGGUUUUCCUGCUGUUGGAUGUGCAUUCAGCUAUCUUGCAGAGAUAGAAGAUUUUCUGCAAAAUGAAUCUCGAAAAUUCAGGCUAGUACUUCCGGGCCAGCCUAGUGUUAGUAAAGCCAUUGUAAAUAUCAAAGAGAUUGCUCGAGGAAAAUAUCGUAUGUAUCAACCAGGAUUUAUGUAUGCAUCCCUACCGUUUUUGUAUGAGCCUAGUAUUAGUAUUAUGAAUGCAUGCCUACCUUUCGCAGUCAUCUUGAGAACAAUCAGUUGACAGGUGUGCUCCCAGCGACUCUCGGGAACCUUCCGAAUUUGAAGGAAUUGUAAGAUAUCUCAAUUGUACAUGAAUUGCUUUAUCAAAUUGUAAAUCGGCAUAUUUUGAUACAUCUAAAUAUCACUUAUACAUCAUCAUAGAAAUAUCGUAUGUGCGUGUGCGUGCACACAAAUAUUAGUAGAGUUAUCAUGCUAAUUACUCAUUUGUUUUGAUAUUAGAUUAUAUGCUUAUAACCGAUGCAGGUAUGUCGAGAACAAUAUGUUAUCGGGAACUGUAUCGUCAGAACUUUUGAGCAAAGAUUUGAUUAUUAAGUGAGCACUGUUUUAACUAUAAAAUUGUAUUUUACCAAAUUUAGUUUGUACAUUAUGGUAGAGUACUUAUAUAACAGAUCUAUACAAUUGCAACAAGAAUCAGUUAUUGAUCUUAACUAUCCUAACAAACUCCAUAACAGAAAACAGUUAGUUAGUUAGUCACUUUAGAAUGAGACCUUCUGCCCAUGCCGAUUACGGCUUCAAGCGAAAUCUAACUGCAACCGCGAAAUCUAAACUGAGCUGAAAAAAUUGCAGAGUUGCAGCUCAAAGCCUCUACAAUCCCAUGAUCAGACCGCACAAAAAACGCAGAAAUGCAAAGCCAUUUAUGUUUGAGUGGAUUGGUUUUAACAGGAUUGAUUCUAUAAAAUUGAUUUGAGAUAAAAGUGAGUUGAAUAUAAAAUAAUUUAUGUAAAAAUGGAUUUUACGAUAGAUUUAAGGCUAAAAUCAAUUGUACAAGUCAAAAGUUAUAUAUUGCUUAAAAAAAGUCAAAAGUUAUAUACUGCUAAAAAAAAAAGGUCAAAAGUUAUAAAUUCUAACUUAAGUAUUAUAGACUUUUCGUUGAAAAAAAAAAGUUUAAUCAUCCAUACAAGAUAAAAUCAAUUCUACGACUUCUAUAGUCAUUUCUAAACCUAAAAAAAUUGAAACCAAUCAUAUAUUUUAGGGUCAUCUCACUAAUCUUCAAAAGUAAGUGAGACCUAAAUCAAAUUUUGUUAUAUAAAGACUUUUUUGUUUACAUAUGAGGCGUUUUUACUUAUAAAAUGUAAUGAAAAUAUUUUUUUUUUUGGAAGACUUAAAAAGAGUGUUUUAGCGGCUUUACCUUGAUCCCGACAUACUUAAACAAUUUAUAUAGUUUAAUAAAUUAAAAAAAAAAAGUAAAUUCAUAAGAAAGGGAGAGUGUAAUUCAAACAACUUUGAGGGAGGGGAAUGUAAUUCAAACAACUUUCAGGGAAAGAAGUGUAAUUUACAUCUUCCGGUCACUAUUAUAAGCAAAAAUCAACAUUUUAAAUUCAUUUAUUAAAUGAUGUAUGUGAUUUAUAAUAAAGACUAUAUAUAUGAUUUAAUAAAUAAAUCUAAAAUGUUAAUUUUUGCUUAUAAUACUGACCAGAUGAUAUACUAAUUAAAAAAAGUUAAAAGCAUUGCAAAAUAUAUUCUGCAUGAAUAAAGUUGCUUUUUCUUUUGCUAAGUUUAUUUUUUCCUUUCUACCUAAAAAAUUAUAGAAUCUUUGUCAUUUUCUCAUUUAUUUCAACCUUGAUGAAAACAUGACUUUGUUUCAUUGCAUGACAUCUCAAGUUAAAUGCUCUGCCACCUUCCCAUGGGUCUACCCAAUCAUCCUAUUCUACCCUACGUGCCUCCCUCCCAACUGCAAAUUCUUUUUAGAAACACUAAAGUCUAUAAUUAUUGAACUUUUUAUUAUUUUAGAUAUUUUUCUCUUUGCAAUAAAUUGUUAAAGAUAAUUUUGGCAACUAUUUCAAACUUUGAAAAUGAUAAAUAAAAAAAUAUAAAAUAUAAAAUAACAAUUAAAAAAGAAUAGAGAAAGUAUUACACUCAAUAAAUUGAACAAAUAAAAUUCUUUUUUUUUUGUCUAAAAAAAAAAAUUCUUUUUUUGUUGUUGUUGAUGUUUAUUUUAAGGCAAUUCCAUUUACAAAGGGAGACAAGUCUUGGGGAACAAUGUUAGGUUUCACGUGAAUAAAAUAAAGACAAAGAACCCUACCAACUAAGAGGUACUUUCAUUCUUUAUCAAGAAAACGGUACCUUUUUUGUACAAAGUAAACUGUACUUUAAUUUGAUCAAAUAGUUAGACUUAAUCACUAAUUAAUAAACGUUUGUUUUAGGGGAGUUAAUAAACGUUUGUUAAAAAUUGUCAAAGAAGCUAAUAAAUGAACUAGAAUUAAAAUUGUCAAAGAGGUACAUUAGAAAUACCAAAUUUUUGCCAAAAAGAAAAUCCCAAUUUGUUUUAUUUUUACUGUAGUUUACCAAUGACCCUUUAUUACAAGAACUAGGAGGUUAAAAAAGUUUAUAUUUUAAUACUCCCUCCGUCUCUAUAUAUAAGACUCUUUUGCCAAAAUCACGGGAAUUAAGAUAGUGGAUAUUUAUAUUAAAGUUGUUUGUAAUCACUAUUAUUUUUACAAUUUUAUUCUUUAAGAAAGAAGGUUAGUUUAUGUUUUCAACAUGUUAUUUAUUGUUGAUUGAAGAAAAAGAUGUAUAAUAAAUAGGGGCGUGUAUGUAAAGAAAUAAUUAAUUUAGUUGGAAAUAACAAAGGGGUCUUAUAAAAAGGGACAAAAAAAAUUCUCAAAAAGGUCUUAUAAUUAGGGACGGAGAGAGUAACAGUAAUUGCAUUCAAACAUUAAUUUGAAAAGAGAGGUUUAGAAUAGAAAUAUUUAAAAACUAAGGUUAAAGUUAGAGUGAGUUUAUCUCAAUUGGUAGCGACACAUAUUAUAUAAGUGGGGUAUCAUAGUUCAAACAUUAAAUUCUUUAAUUAUUUAUUUUAAGAGGUGAAUUUCUAGCCGUCAAACUAUUUGAUAAAAAUAAGUUAAAUAAGUUUUUUGUCACUAUGUAUAUCUUAAAUUUCAUUUUAAUUCCUUUAAAAAAUUUCAGCAAAUUUUGGUUCUUCAAUUUUUUCGUUAGUACUUUUGGUCCUUAUCUACAAAUAAGUAUUUUAUUUUUUUAAAAUUUUGAAUGACUCUUUGCAUACAUAAUAAAUUAUAGAAAUCUUUAUUUUUUUUCAAGUUAAAAAUUAAAUAAAAUUUUUAAAGUUUUUAGCACUUAAAAAAUUAUAUUUAUUUUAGUUUUUGUUAAAAAAUUCUAAAUUUUUAUGGGAGAGAUUGUAAUAAUAUUUUAAAUAUUUUUAUAAAAAUUCAUUUAAAAAUAUGAAAGUUACCUAUAAGUUACUUUAAAAGUAGAUAUCAAAAGUUGUAAUGAAGAGCAAGAACUAAAACUUUGUGAUGUAUUUUUUAGAACUAAAAACUAAAUUUAAAAUAUUUGUAGAAUUAAAACUAAUGUCAUUGUCUCGACCACUAAAAUGACUAAAAAAACCUUUUUGAUUAUUCUUUACAAAAAUAAAAUAACAUUCAUUUAAAUUCAUAAAGUAUAUCAAAUACAUCUAUUUGCUAUCAUUAAGAAUGUAAACGAUCCUCUAAAAAGAAAACUUAAAAGAUGAAUAUGGAACAAACUCACAUGACCCAAAUUAAUUGUAUACAAAGUAUACUAUGUUUCAUGAUUUUUUUUUGGGUGGGAGGAUCAUAGGAAAAUCUUCUGGAUUAGUUGGAAUUAUAUUUGCGUUCGUAAGAAGGAAGGAGAUUUGGGGGUGAGAAGAAUGAGAGAGUUUAAUUUGGCUCUAUUAGAGAAAUGGUGUUGAAAAAUGUUAGUAGAUAGAAAUGGUUUGUGGUAUAGAGUGUUGGUGACUCGUUAUGAUGAGGACGAUGGUGUUUUGAAUGAAGGAGGGUGGCGGGCUUCAGGUUGGUAGUGUGAGCUCGUGCGCGUGUGUGAUGGUGGUGGGGGAGUGGGAGGAGAGUGGUUUAGCGACUGUGUUACAAAAGUGGUGGGGAAUGGGAGGAAUACUUAUUUUUGGACUGAUCCGUGGUUAGGUGGUAUCGCUUUAUCGAUGCGGUCUAGAUGCUUGUACGAUUUAAGUGUCAAUAAAACACUGCACGGUGGAGGAUAUGUAUGUGUUGGGGUGGGAGGAGGGUGGUGAGGCGUGGCAAUGGCGGAGGAGAUUAUGGGAUUGGGAGAAGGAGUUAGUUGGGGAGUGUCGGGCAAUGCUUGCUAACGUUACUUUGCAGGUCACAAAGUUCGAUGAAUGGAGAUGGCGACUUGACAAUUCAACAAAAUAUUAUGUUCGUUCUGUUUAUGAUUUGUUGACUUCAGGUGGUAAUUCUAUUGUGGAUGAGGCCUCAACUUUAGUGUGGCACAAACAAAUCAAAUGCGGUUUCAGUUUCGGUUGGUUCGGUUUGUGGUUUUUCUAUUGGAUUGGUUUGGUUUUGAACACCCCUACCCUAAUCCACGCACGAACAUGCUGCCAUAAGUCUCUGAAUAUAGGGCAUGUCCCGCUAAAAGGUUUCUAUUCUUGCUUGGAGGCUACUUCGCAAUCGGUUGCUAACAAAGACAAAUUUGGCGGCUCGUGGUAUAUUGGCUCAAGAUGUGCAUCUUUGUGUUUCUAGUUGUGGGGAAGUGGAGACAACUCAACACUUAUUUGUUUUCUACCCUAUAUUCAGAGACUUAUGGCAGCAUGUUCGUGCGUGGAUUAGGGUAGGGGUGUUCUAAACCAAACCAAUCCAAUAGAAAAACCGCAAACCGAACCAACCCAAAUUGAAACCGCAAAAAACCACAUUUGAUUUGGAAGUAUUCGGAUCACUUUUUCCCUCAACCUUAUGGUUUGAUUUGGUUUGCGGUUUUCAUUUUAUCAACCAAACCAAACCGCAACAUAAUAAAAACACAAAUUAAAUUUAUGUAACCUAGACCAAUACUCAUAGAAACUCAAUGAAAAUUUUAUAAAAUGACAUAUUUUUUCUCUUGUUAAGUUUCUUCUUUGAUUUUUAUGUCAAAAAAUGUAUUUAUAUGCCACUUGAACUUUUAGAGAAUGAUAAAAUCUUAGUAUUUUAAUUUGUGUCCACAUUUUUAAUUUGGUUUAUGUUGUUUUGUGAAAAUGAAAAUGUAAUGUGGAAUGAAAUUAUAAACACUGUCGAUAACAUAGUUGAAAAUAUGUUGUGUUUUACCUUUUUAACUUAAUUUUAAUGUUGGAAACAAAAAAAAUUGUAUUGUCUCAAAAAAACUGCACCAACCGAUCUAACGCAAACCACAUUGGUUUGGUUUGGUUCAAACUAUAUUUUAAAAGUCAACUGAACCAAAACAAACCGCAUGUUUUAUUUACCUUGCGAUUCAUAUGACUUUUAGUCUGAAAACCGAACCAAAUUGCACCGCGAACACCCUAGAUUGGGGUUAGUGGGGUUGAUCCCUUUGACACUAACGAUAACUUUGUUCAGUUUUCUUACUUGGUAGGAUCUGCAACAAAAAACCGUUCUUUUAUGCAACUUUUAUGGUUAGCUUGUGUGUUGGUGUUGUGGACUGAACGUAAUAAUAAGCAUUUCAACAAUACAGAAAGUUCUAUUCACCAAUUGGUUGAAAAGGUUCAAAUUCGUUCAUAUUGGUGGAUGAAGGCAGCUAACGUUGUUCUUGUGUCUGGGGUUCACAAUUGGUUUGCUUGCCCUUUACUGUGUUUGGGUAUAGGUUAGUUGUUUCUUGUUCUUUUGCUCUGUGUCUUUUGACUGAACUCUGUUGUAAUCAUGGUUGUUCCUCUCUAGCACUCCUUGUGCGGAAGGAACGAAGCCUUUGUUGUUAAUAUAAGUUUCAUUUUUGCCUCUUCAAAAAAAAAAAUGUAUACAAGUAUACAAUGAUAAAAUGUCUACAAAUAAAUAUGAUAAAAUCAGAGUGACCGUAAUACACAUGUCUCCAGAUUUAUAACAAAUGUCUUGUUAAUCGGUGCCUCCAAAGACAUUAAUUAACAAACUAAAAGUAGAAAGAAAGAUAAACUUUUGCAUUAAAAAGAACACCUUUUCAACUUUAAAAAGUUGAAUAGCCAAUUUCCAAAAAAAUAUUUUCUUUUAUAAUUUCUUAACAAGUGUCCCUCAUAUCAAUUUAUUGAUCUGAAACCACCUUACUAAGGAAGAAAAUAAAGAGUCUAUUAAUAGUGUACCUCGUAUCCAUUUAUUUAUUUAGGUAAAAUUGCAGUUUUACGUUUAGUUUCUUAACUUAAUUUAAAAUAAUAAUUUGGUCAUUUAUCUUCUUUUUUUGACAGAAAUGUCAUUUAUCUUUUUGAAUUUCAAUUUUAUCCUUUUAAUCCAUUUUCAUAUAAAUUUUUAAGUUUAUUCUAAAAUUAAUUUUGUCAUUUAUUUAUUUGUGUGUGUUCUUUUUUCUUAAAAAAAAAAAUUGGACAGAAUUUUCUUCAACUUUGACUAGUUACACUUUUUACAAUCUCUCUUUCAUAACCUCUGUCUGUGUCUUUUCAUUUUCAUUUUAAUUUUUUUUCUGUCUUUUUUUGUUCCCUUCACCGGAGCUUCCUUUCCUCACCGGAAUUCUUCCUAUUCCCACCCCCUUUCCUCACCAACCCACACCCAACAACCCUUUAGCAAUACCCGGUUCAAAAUUCAUCUUUUUCACCAAUCCAAGUCAAUUUCAUGAACUGGGUUUGACUUGGAAUCAUCAACAAAGUUUCUCAAGUUUUGAUUUUUCCAAAAAAGAGUGAUUUUUCAACGUUUCAUUGUGUUCUAGAGAGAGAAAAAAAGUGGGUUUUGAUUUUUAGAGAGAGAGAGAGAGAGGUUUUGGUUGAAUGGUUGUGCAGAGAAGAAGAAGUGGUUGGAGUUGUUGUUUAUGAUGACCGGAGGUCCGGUUAGGGAUCGGAGACGGUGGCGGUGUUUCGGUGAAGAUUUUGCAUUGAAUGGCAGAUCUUGUUAACUUAGGGAAUGCUGCUGAUCGUAACAUUGAGCAAGUAAGUUUUUCUUUUCUCUCUCUAAAUGGUUAUUUUGUUUUUUUCCGUAGACGAAGUGACAAUUACCACCUAAAACUCACACAACUACGAGGUCUUAGGUUUGAACCUGGGUGAUGGUGACAGGGUUCAAUCUAUCAAUACCAGCGUUGUCAGUUGAGUUAGGUCUUACAGACCCUUUAGAAAGGUUAUUAGUUUGGAGUAAGUAGUUAUUUUGGUUUGUGAAUAUGUCAGACGCUAAUGCUAUAGUCGAGUGUAGCAAAGUCGGCUUUUCUAGUCGAGCUAGGCGCUAGGGACUCUUGUUAUUAGUUUGCAGUCAUUUGGGUGCUUGAAUUUCUGAAAGUAUAGUCCUUGGAUUUACCAAAAUAUAUUUGGAUGUGUCUUUUGUUAGUUAUAUUGAUAUUGAUUAUCAAAUGUGUUUUUCGUUUCUCAAAAAGGUUGUUGGUUCGGAGUAAAGAGUCAUUUCAGUCCUUGAAUGUGUUAGACGCCAAUGCUAUAAACCUCAAAUUUAGCAAACUUAUAAAAAAACAUAUUUGAAUGUGUGUAUAGUUUGAUGUCUUUUCCGUUAAUUAGUUUUGUCAUUGAUUGUUGUCUUCAACUAGUUUUGGCGUUAACCCUCGGAAGGGGCCCAAUAAUUUGGAGUUCGACCGAGAGGUAAGUAAAGUCAUUCAGGAAUCGAACUCGGGUUUAAUUAGUUGGUUUAACCCAUCAAAUCACUAUCAGAAGAUAUAGUUCAUGUUUGAAUAAACAGCUUAAUUUGCAUCUUAUAGUAUAAGUGCUUAUUAUAAGCUGUUUUCAUGAGUUCCCCAAAGUCUCGCAAGUGCUUAUGCUAGUAGAUAAGCUCAAAUAAGUCAAUCCAAAUAGGCCCAUACUCUGAUGUUUUUGUAAUUGUAAUUUAAUACAUUCAAAGAAUUCUGUGGAGAAAAGUACAGGGAGGGACUAUAGUGACAGUGCCUCACACAUUUAGGUGUGUAAGUUACCAAUUUGUGUCCAAAUAGGAAUUUUUGUUUCAGUUUUUGUAGUUAUACGCGAAUGGUUGAUGUUUUUUGUUGGCUAUGAAUGUUUUGAUUAUGUAUGUGUGUGUGUGUUGCUUGUUUGGAAUAAUACAUGGGGGCUUUGAAGGAUAGAAGAACAGUGUUGUUACAUAGCGGCUAUAGCUUAGUAGAAUUUAUUAAGUCAUUAUUGCUUCGUGAUAUUUUAUUUAGUACAAAAAGUUGUCAAAUAGCGACUAUAGCACUAUCAUGUAGUGGAAUUUGAACAAACCGGUAUUAUUUGCCAUUGACAGGACUGUAGGAUAGUACGGAGGAGCACAAAUGAAGAGUGUUCCUAUUUUUUGUUUUUUGUUUUAUUAAGUAAAGAGAUACUGGCAUGUAUGUUUGUGUUUGAAUGGAAAGCAGAUAGGUGUAUUUGAGUAGCAUGGUUUUAAAUUAUGAAGCACGAACACGUAGUACAUGUACGGGUGUGAUACGACACGGUUACGGAAAUAGAUGUCUUUUGAUGCCAUAUCAUAAUGUUCAAAUUAUAAUGAUAAAAUUCGAAGUUGCCACACUUGAGAGUCAAUGUAUACCGGUGAAACUCAGACUUGUAAACUCUACUCGUAAAGUCAUAGAGUCUCUAAUACAAAAUAAUGUUAUGAAGCUUACCAUACUGUACUUACAUAUACACGAUUCAAAAUGAUGAACAACUACAUAAAUUACAAGUUAAGUUCACAAAUCAUGACAGGUUCAAAAGUAAUGAAUUAGUUGACAAAUCAUAAGGGUGAAAUUUAUCAAAAAGUGAAGAAUGGUGGGACUGAGUUCCCCUUCCCCUCAUUUGAGCUGGUUUCAACUUCGUAAAGCUAGGACACUGUAAUCGGAAUCUGUUAUAGGAUACUGUAAUGGGAUAAUGAUACUGUAGGAUAAUGUUUAUUGAUGAAGUACAAUACCAACGCUAGGUUACAAACAAGACAUAAUUGAUGACUGUCAGAAAUGUACAAAUAACUGCUGGAAAUUAAACAAUCCUCUGAGAUUUAGAGAGCCUCCUCGUCUCUCCUAAUCCAACCAACAUAGUAAAACAACUGAAUAAUACUAAAUGUCCAUCCUUAUUCUAUUUAAUACAUGUAAAUAAACUAUGUUGGACCUGCUAACAACUCAUUCAAUCAUCCUCAAAUUCAAACUAAUGAUUCUAUGCAAGUCACCAACUCUUCUCGAGUUUAUACAGAAACAGUUUUGUAAGUAAGUUAACUCAAUUUUGAUAUCUGGAGUUUUAAACUCGUGACUCUGAGCUAACUAGAGUUUGAGAACAAUGAUAAAACGUUUUGGUGCUGAAUUUUAUUGUUAUCUUGGGUUGUUUCAAACGGGAUACUUAACUUUACAUCAAUGUUAUUGUAUUCACUUUUGGCAAAUUGAAUUCCCUAUAACCAUGGUAGACAAACUCGCGAUCUGGACCGUAGAAUCGUACGGUUCCACGAUCUUGCCUGACCUCUUCGUGCUCAUAGGUGGCCGGAAUCGGAAAAUGGUAAGAACGGCUUGGAUCGCCGCGCAAAGACGUGGACGCGGUGGUAACGUAGAUCCAGCCGAGUUAGGGUGGAAAACCGGGUUCGCAGGUCGUUUUGCGGCCCGGGUAGUGUUUCGUUUGCCAAAAAUCCGGGUUUAUCGGGUCGGGUUCGUGGCCCGGUUCGCCAAAACGCAUUUCCCUAAUCAGAAAGUAAAAAAAAAAACGUUUUUCACCCUUCUUAAUCUCUUAAACGGUCUCAAAUCUUAUCAUUGAACCCAUUGAUUAUUGAAGAUCUUCCCAAUACAGCCACUAUCAAUAAUUAGGGAAAUUUUCAAUAAACCCAUAAAUCAUGGAACCUUACCAAUGCAAUUUCCAUAUUCAUAGCACUCAACUUCCUCUCUUACGUUACUAUUUAAUCAGUCUUCUACCUAUUACUUCAACAUGAAUUGUUUGGAAAUUAUUAACCAUUAAGAUAAUUAUGAUUAAGUUUUAUUGUUGUUAUGGAGUUGUAUGAGUACUGUUUUGAAGUUUUUAAGUGUUUUUUUUUUCUUUUUCUAUUAAUGAAUUUGAGUUUUAUUUAAAGUUUUUUUUCUAUUAAAUUAUGUUGCUUCAUGUGAGUAUGUAUGAAUUUAUAUGCAAUAUAUAUGAAUUUCUAAAUUUGGUAGGAUCUUACGAUCCGUGUUACGAUCCCCCGAUUCACGAUCUUAUGGGUCCUACCCGAUCUUACUUAGGAUCUCGAGUUUGUCUACCUUGCCUGUAACUGAAGAAAUGAUUGUGCUAACCGGACCUUUUAUCACCUAGUUCUAAGUUGAAGUUAAAUAAUAUAAUUAUCUAGUCAAAUUGAGUCAGACAUGUUUGUUUACAUGAAAUAUCUGUAGUCAGUACAACAUUUCCGACCUUUAGAUUAGGUCACAGUAUUAAGAAGGGACACAUACUUUUCAUGGAGAUUGAAUCAACGUUGUAAUUUACUGGAUUGUUUAUGGAAUUUCACAACAUUUACAAUAUAUAUAAAAGGGCUUCUUAAACACUUCCUUUUCUUCAUUCCUCCGCCCUAAUUAAUGUCUAUCUUACAUUAACUCUGCUCUAUUAUUUUGUUCCUUUUUUCUGGUUUAUAAUACUAUUUUUUCAUCCUGCAGGCACUGAUUGCUUUGAAAAAGGGUGCUCAACUUCUUAAAUAUGGUCGUAAGGGAAAGCCAAAAUUUUGUCCAUUUAGACUCUCUCCUGUGAGUUAAAUGAAAGCUUUUCUAAUAAUUUGUUUUUGGAUUCUCUAUUUUGUUUCCUUUCGAACAUACUGAUUGUGUUUCAUUAAUACUCUAGGAAAGAUAGGUUCUUUUGAUGUUCUCUGAUGUUAUAAUUAUUUGAGUAAUAUAGUACGCAGAUUCUUUUAAUUUGUGUUUUAAAUAUUAUAUUCCCUGCAUACAAUAAUCUUUAAUCUACAACGGCAGGAUGGAUCAUCUUUAAUCUGGAUUUCAAGUGGCGGUGAAAAAAAACUGAAGUUAUCUUCUGUCUCAAGAAUCAUUCCUGGACAAAGAACUGUAAGAUUUCUGUACUUAUAUAUAGUUAAUAUCAUACCAUGCAUAGACUUCUUUGUAAUUAAUGAAGUGAUUAGAUCAAUUGUUCCAUAAGCUUAUACUCCUCUUUUUUCUAUUUUAAAUUUGUUAAUCUUAAUGCAGGCUGUUUUCCAACGGUACCUGCGUCCUGAAAAGGAUUAUGUGUCUUUUUCACUUAUUUAUAAUAACGGAAAGCGGUCCCUUGAUUUGGUUAGUGACAGUUUAUGUGACUCCAUGGUUAACUCAUUAUUUUUUAUUUUUUUUAAAGAACUACAUCAUUAUUGUUGUUUUUUCAUUUUCUGUAUUUUCCAUUAUAAUAAUUUCUGUGUUGUUUUCAGAUUUGCAAAGAUAAAGUUGAGGCAGAUGUGUGGAUUUCUGGUCUCAAAAAACUGAUAUCCUCAGGUCAAGGUGGUCGGUCCAAAAUUGAUGGAUGGAGUGAUGGUGGCCUCAAUCUUGAUGUAAAUACACACCAACUUGUUAAAAUUCAUUUUUAGUAGUGUACCUUGUCAUGUUUUUUCUACUUAUCUAUGAUCUCAAUCUUGAUGUAAAGUUUGCUUAUAAUCCAUUUUUUCUCAAUUAAUUUCAGGAUAGCAAAGAUUUAACAUCCAAUAGUCCAAGUGGAAGUUCAGCUAGUGCGUCACUAGACAUCAGUUCUCCUGACAUUUCUGUGAGUCUUCCAAGCACAUCACCGAACUCCUAUCGGCCUGACAAUACCUUGAAUUCCGAAAGAUCACAUGCACGAUCAGAGUCAACAAAUAUGCAAAUAAAAGGAUCUGGUACUGAUACUGUUCGUGUUAGUGUUUCAAGUGCUACAUCUAGUCAUGGAUCAGCACCAGAUGACUACGACGCUCUUGCGGAUGUGUAUAUAUGGGGGGAAAUUAUCUGCGAAAACAUCAAAGUUGGUGCAGAUAAAAGUGUCCAUUUCUGCCCAAGGGCAGAUGUUCUUCUCCCGAGACCACUGGAAUCAAAUGUAGUUUUAGACGUACAACAUAUAGCAUGUGGUGUUAGACAUGCUUCGUUAGUCACUAGGCAAGGUGAAGUUUUUACGUGGGGCGAGGAAUCAGGAGGACGUCUUGGCCAUGGUGUUGGGAAGAAUGUGGUUCAACCGCGUCUAGUUGAAGCGUUGACUUCUACAACUGUUGACUUUGUUGCAUGUGGGGAGUUUCAUUCCUGUGCUGUUACGAUGACCGGGGAACUAUAUACAUGGGGUGAUGGUACUCAUAAUGCUGGGUUGCUUGGUCAUGGCUCUAAUGCUAGUCAUUGGAUACCGAAGAGAAUUGGAGGUCCGUUAGAUGGGCUUCAAGUUUCCUUUGUUGCUUGCGGUCCAUGGCACACAGCCUUGAUUACUUCAACUGGGAAGCUGUUUACAUUCGGCGAUGGAACUUUCGGUGUCUUGGGACACGGAGAUAGGGAAAAUGUUUCAUAUCCUAGAGAAGUGGACUCAUUAUUAGGGUUGAGAACAAUAGCCGUUGCAUGUGGAGUGUGGCAUACUGCAGCUGUUGUAGAGGUUAUCGCAACACAAUCUAUUGCUAGUUUAUCAUCAGGUAAAUUGUUUACUUGGGGAGACGGAGACAAAAAUCGCCUCGGGCAUGGGGACAAGGAGUCACGGCUUAAUCCAACUUGCGUGCCUGCAAUUAUUGAUUACGAUUUUAAAAAAAUUGCUUGUGGACACAGUUUGACAGUAGGACUGACAACAACCGGUCGUGUUUUUACCAUGGGAAGUACUGUUUACGGUCAGCUCGGGAAUCCUCAGUCCGAUGGAAAGCUUCCGUGCUUGGUUGGUGAUAAGAUUGCGUUGGAAUCCGUUGAAGAAAUUUCUUGUGGUGCAUAUCAUGUGGCUGUUUUAACAUCCAAAAAUGAAGUUUAUACUUGGGGUAAAGGUUCAAAUGGGAGAUUAGGUCAUGGAGAUCUUGAAGAUAGAAAAACGCCAACUUUGGUUGAAGCGUUGAAGGAUCGACAUGUGAAAUAUAUUGCAUGUGCUUCAAAUUACUCUGCCGCCAUUUGCCUUCAUAAGUGGGUCUCUGGUGCUGAGCAGUCUCAGUGUUCUACUUGUAGGCAAGCAUUCGGUUUCACUCGAAAGCGGCACAAUUGUUAUAAUUGUGGGCUUGUGCACUGCCAUUCAUGCAGUUCAAAGAAAGCAUUAAGAGCAGCACUUGCUCCCAAUCCUGACAAGCACUACCGUGUGUGUGAUUCUUGUUACGCCAAAUUGAGCAAGGUUGCAGAAGCUAACAAUAGUAAUCGGAGGAAUGCUUUGCCGCGUCUUUCGGGUGAAAACAAGGACAGGUUAGACAAGUCUGAGCUAAGAGUGUCCAAGGCUCUUAUUCCUUCAAACAUGGAUUUGAUAAAGCAGCUAGAUAAUAAGGCAGCAAAACAAGGAAAGAAAUCCGAUACAUUCUCGCUUGCUCGCAACUCACAGACACCUUUGCUACAGCUGAAAGAUGUUGUCUUCGCCACUGCUGCUGAUCUGAGACGAACAACUCCAAGACCGGUGAUUGCACCGUCGGGAGUAAGUACUAGAUCCGCAUCCCCUUUCUCUAGAAGAUCAAGCCCUCCUCGUUCAGCUACGCCUAUUCCAACAAUGUCUGGUCUUUCGUUUUCCAAAAAUAUUGCUGAUAGUUUGAAGAAAACAAAUGAACUUUUGAAUAAAGAAGUGCAGAAGUUACAUGCUCAGGUACAAUUUUUGUUUUCCUUUUGGUGCCACAUCAAGUAGUUGAAUUUCUCUUCAUUAACAUUGAUAUCUUAGUGUGCCUUGAUUUGAAGAUCGUGGUUAAGGAUGUUCAAAAUUGUGGUAAAUUUUGUUCAAUGGAUUGUUAAUGACUUGCGAUACCUUACUAUAUUCAAUAACAUCCACUUAACAUGAUUUAAUUGAUAUUUGAACUACAUUAACCAUAUAAAUUGUUGUUGAAGUUUGAUGUCAAAUUUGUGUGUCAAAAUUCCAUUUCUUUUAUUUAUGUUGUAUAUUCUUUCGUACUUUCUAUAGUUUCAAGAAAAGUCUAAUCAUAGAUAUCGCUAGGUCGAGAGCCUGAAAAACAAAUGUGAACGGCAAGAAUUAGAGGUUCAAAGGUCAGCAAAAAAGACUCAAGAAGCUAUAGCACUAGCUACCGAGGAGUCUACUAAAUGCAAAGCUGCAAAACAAGUUAUAAAGUCACUUACAGCUCAGGUUUGUUUUCUGUUCAAUUUUCUUCUUUUCGAGUCUUUCAAAUGGUGUAUUGUGAUGCAAUGAUUUCUUAUUUGCAGCUUCAUUUUAAUAUUUUCGUCAUUUUCAUUUGAAUAGAAUGAACAUCCUAGAACCAAAAAAAAUAAAAAAUUUAACAUCCUGAUGAAACCAUGUAUAAAAUAUGGAAGUUACGUCUAUAUCUUUUCUAUCGGUAACCAAAUAUUUAGAACUCAGUUCUUGAGGAAUAGUGUUAUCAUUCAUCAUCUUGUUUCAUAGAUUUAAAACUUGAUUUUCAUUCGGUUUCUUUACGUUUCAGUCAGUUAACUGAUAUAUUAAAAAUUACAUCAUUUUAUUGUUGAGACCUAUGCAGACCAAGCUCUGAUACCAAAUUGAAUAGUUUUGAAUGAUUAACUUGCAUUACACAAAGGGGAUGUAAAUUGAAUCAAAGGAAAUUUAAUCAACAAUGUUAAUUAGAGAGAAUAAUUUUAAUUAUGACUGUAAUUAACACCCUUGUCGUAUUCAGAAUACAUUUGUUUCGUUCUUUUUCUCUCAUGCACUGUAUAGUAUGGCUGUUUGACACAUUAACAUUAUUUCAGCUCAAAGAUCUAGCUGAGAAGCUUCCACCUGAAGCUUAUGAUGCUGAGAACAUUAGACCAGCUUACCUACCAAAUGGUCUCGAGUCGAACGGCAUCCACUAUCCGGAUACAAAUGGGGAGCAGGACUUGAGGGCGGAAUCAAUCAGUGGCUCAAGUUUGGCCUCCAUAGGACUUGAAUCCUCUCUGUUCAACAGAACAGCCCGUGAUUUGCCUGGAGCCUAUGGAACUAAUCUCCACCAGCAAAUCCGGGGUGUCGUAACCUCUAACGGGACCAGUAAUCAUCCAGAUGUGAAAUUGCCGAGUGGGGGCAAUGUGAUUCAGCCAAGCAGUAGUAGCUUGUCGGAUAUUGUUGAAGGGAGGGAUUCUGGGAAUUUCCGUGAUGACGAGAGUGGUGUGAAAUCGACAAAUGCUGCAUUGGCUACUAGUAGUAAUAAUCAAGUUGAUGCAGAAUGGAUUGAACAGUAUGAACCUGGUGUCUAUAUAACACUGGUGGCCAUGCAUGAUGGAACAAGAGAUCUGAAACGAGUGCGAUUUAGGUAAGAAAUAUUUUCCGCACGACCAAGUUAUCUUUAUCCAUUUUGACAACUAUAUUUUGCUUCCCAGUAAGAUGUUUAAUUGUUUUGUAUCAGUUGAACUUUACAUCUAACAUAUUUGAUGGUAAAUGUAACUGCAGCCGGAGGAGAUUUGGAGAGAACCAAGCCGAGAAUUGGUGGUCAGAGAACAAAGACAAGGUAUACGAAAAAUACAACGUUCGUAGCGUGGACAAGUCUUCUAGCCAAGGAGCGCAUAAGGCAGAGGGUGCUGGUUCUCCUGCUUCCCAAACAUAGGUAAAGUAGAGGAAGGAAACUUAUACAUUAACCCCUUUUAUCGCAACGAGGAAGUUGUAGAGAAGCACAGAUUAAUAUGAAGAAACCUUGAAUCCUUCCUCUUGCGUAAUUAUGUUCAAAGCUAUCAAAUUCGGAAGUCUGCAUAAACUCGUGGAGCUUCAAUUGAUAUUAGAUUCGACCCAGACUCGGACAAUUUUACUAGUUGACUUGAGUUUAACAAUCAUGGUUAUGUCUACCUAGUUUUCUUCUCAAUCUUAUUUAUUUUAGGCAGAUGCCAUUUAUAUAUUUGUUGUAGUGCAGUGUAUAUAAAAUAAAAUAACUAGUUCACAUAAUUUUGGUGCAGGAACCACCCCUACUUAUUUAACCUUUUUUAUUUUCUCUGCCUGUACAUUUUAUUGCCUUAUGAAUGUUCUAUGGAUUCAAAUGUAUACAUGAUGAUAGUUAUAUCAUUCAUUCAAUUUUUUCCCUAAAGAGGUAAUAUUGUACUUGGUGUUGCAUAAUUGAUUGAUCAUUGCAACCCUUUUCUAAACAAAAUAAAGAGAAAUGAGACCAUCUCUAAUGGUAGUAUCUAUCUCCAUAAGACUUGGUACUUAAUAGGUACUACUCUUGGGGGAAAUGUUUUUUGAGUACUUAAUGGAUUGAAGGUCUCAAUUAAGACCUUACUUUAUAUGCAUGUCCCACAUAUCUUUAAUAUUAAAAAAUAGAAUGUAAUGAUAUAUAUCCUGUUUAAGAAAUUCGUGUGAGAUGCUGGAUUGAAAGAAUUGAGUGCUUAUUAAAGACUACAAUAACAACCAAGCCUUAUCCCACUAAGUGGGGGUCGGCUACAUGGAUCAAAUGACGUCAUAAUGUUCUAUUAAAAAUCAUAUUUGAAUCGGUGCUUAUUAAAGACUACUGUUAAAAAAUUAUAAAUGACUGAUAUGUACACAUGAGAUUUGUUUAAGUAGUUGAUAUCAAAGUUUUGACGUCAAAUACAAUGUCUUUUAAUUUUUGUGUAUUUUUGAAAUAUGUGUAACCAAUAGAAGAUAAAAAGUAAGAGAGAGAUAUAGAUAAAUUUAUAAAAUGUCACAAAUGGUGUCUAUAUUUUGAUGUUUAAAUUACACAACUGCAAAAUAAAUUGUUCCCAAAAUAUUUGUAAAGAUGUCUUUUGGUGCAAUUUUAAUAUUCAUGUGAAACUUUGAAUGAUUGAAAUAAUGCUAGGUUCUUAUGAGUUAUAGAAACUUGUGAGACUUUGACCGUUGCUUUUCUGACAUCCAAUAUGUCUUGGAAACACAAGCAAAUGACUAAAAAACCUAGCGGUAGUUAACUCCUAUCGGUUUUCUAGUUAUAAGCUAGCGGUAGUUAACUACCGCUGGGGUAUUUUAAUAUUUUACUUGUGUUUUUAGGAAGUUUAUAAUGUUAAAAAAGCAAUUAUCAACUUGUGAUCAUUUACUUAGAUGAUAGAUUGAGAUUGAGAGCUAAUUUGGUGAUGCAGUUUGAUUGAUAAAUCGUCCAAAGAAACAUGCUAGUUUUACUUUUUUUUAACUCUAAUUACUUUUGAUUAAUUGAAAAUAAUUGUUUCCAAGUUUUUGAUUUGGACAUUCACAUCAAGAUAUGGUACAUAUAGUAAAAGUUUGAUUAUGAGCGAUUGUGUCAAUGUAAUUUUGUUUGUUAAUUCAACUGUCGACAUCUUAAAGAUAUUCAAGGAUAGAGUAUAUGAUAUGAUACAUGAAAUUAAUGAGUCAUGCUUCAAAUAAUUCUAAGAUACUUCCAACCAAACCAGAGUUAGUCUAGGUUAAUUACUAGAUAAUUUAAUAUCAUUGUGAAAGUAACUCUACAAAAUGAGUCUUAUAAAGUCAAAACAUUAUAAACUAAUACAUCCUAUGUUAUGAAGCCACAUGUAUAACACCUCUAAAUUUCAUUGAAAGGUUGAAAUUUGCCUCCAUCAAAUCUAUGAAAAUUAAUAUUAAUAAUCCACCUUUGACUUAGGGUUUGUCUUUGAAAAUGACCAUUAGUAAUAAUAUCACAUGUUCACAUGUGGAUUUUGAAAUCAAGACAUUACAUGAGAGUUGGGACAGCUUAACCAAACCAACAAAGUUAUCAUUUUCAGGAACCAAUUAACUUCAAUCGUUGUAUGUACCUACAUAAACAAAAUAAGAAGUUAAAACAUUCACAAGAACCAGACAUGUCUUGUGAGUUGUGACUUGUGACCAUGUGGAACAUGUCUUGCAUAUUUUUAGUAUAUAACUGUAGUAGACAACUAGACAUGACCCUUGGUCAUAUAUUAUUUGGAAAAAAUUGAAGUCAAAGAAAACUAAAUCGUAUUAUAUAUAGUUUUGGAUAAACUAAAGUAUCAAACGUACAACUCUUCUCGACUCUCAAGGUCCUAUAUUCGAUUCUUAGAAAAAUAUUAAAUGUAAAACUGUUGAGGUUAAUCAAUUAAAGAACCUAAUGUUGAUUUAAGUGGUUGAUUUCUCACAAUAUUUAUUUGGUAAUGAUCUGUAUAUUAAAGACCUACCUCAAAAAAAUAAAAAUAAAAUUAUAUAUUAGAUGACAUUGUAUGUGUUUGAUCUGCUUGUGCUAUUACAUGAUUUUUUCUGGGGCAAGAUUGUUGGGGUUGAGAAAAGGGCAUGUGAGAGGGACGAAACUCACUCCUAAGCUACCUUGUUGUCAUACAUGUAGAAACCUUAGGUUAGGACGUUGAUAAAAAAUAAAAAAAUAAAAAAAAAACUCUUUUUUUUAAAGAAGUUAAAAUAGUCCAUCGAAAAAAUCAAAUUUUAGAUUCUAAGAGGAGCAUAGUCCAAGAUCCUAACCCAACACCACCACAUUGUCAUACAAAGGAGAAUCAAAAUUGACAAAAAUAUCUGAACUCAUAAUUAUGAGUGAGGACUCAUUUUAGUCCCUCGUAAUUUUCUAACGAUCCAAAUCAAUUUCUAACAAAUCCUUUUCAUGAAAAUUUGAUAAUGGUGCUUAUGUUGGUCCGAAGAGAUCCGGGCCGUUCAUUUUACAUGAUCGACAUCUAAUCCAAAGUUGAAUUUCUACAAAUAACUUAAAUUAAAAAGAGAAAAUAAAAGGAAAAAAAAAUUAUCCGUGAGGGAAUUUGAUCACCUACUAUUACAUGAUUGCAACCAUGUAAUUUUUGAAAGUGAAGAGAGAUAAACUGAAAGUUUAAAAUGAGAAUGAGAAAGAGAGAGGGAAAUGAUGAGAGAGAUAAACAUAAAAUGUAGUUGCGAGGGCAGGAAAGAAUGGAAAUAGAGGAUCCAAAUCCAUACAAUUAGCAAUUGCAUUAUAUUUCAUUUUUGAAGUGUAGUAGGAAGGAUAGUAGAGAACGGUAGUAGAGGAUCCAAAUCCGUGCAAUUAGCAAUUGCAUUAUAUUUCAUUUUUGAAGGAAUGUUGUCUAAUGUAGGAAGCAGAUCCUCUCUUGCCUCUCAUGCCUUUUGUCCUGCUCUUGAUCUGAACCAUCCAUCAAUUAAUUUGUGUUGUUGAUUGCUCAUAGUUGACUGAAAUUAAUGGUCCAGAUCGCGCAUCACCGUCAUGCGGCAGCAGAGAAUCCGGGUCCGUCUAAUGUAAUAGUAUGCACUUUGUAUAUCUAACCAAACAAAAAUCUUACAAGUUUCAAAUUACAAUACAUUUGAGCAUCAAUAGGACCAGAUACGUAACAGAAUUCACGGAAGUUGUCACCAAUUUCUCUUUACUUUCAUGUACAAGUACAUCUCUAAGUUUAAGCUAAACCACACAAUACAUCUCAGUACAAACAAGUAUGAAUCAACUUUUUGGUUGGUAAACUAGGUAUCUUUGACGUACAAAUGUAAAUGCCAAUUCUUCGAGAUAAUUGAGAUCCAUUUAAAGAACUGACUACUUCCAACACAUGUUUUUCCAUGCGUAUCGACCAAAGAUCGAACUUUGAAUCAAAUGGUGAAACGAUUCAAGCCUCUACCAUUUGUGUCACACAAUGUUGGCAAUAUAAAUCACUUAAAACGCGUAUUUCGUUCGAUUAAUCAUGGUGGUGAAAAAUAAACUAAAUCUAUUGGGUGAGUAUUUGCCUCUUACCUAAUACUCGAACUUCUCGAAUUAGCCCUACAACUACUAGUCAUGGGGAUAAAUCCUUGACAUGGAUUUAAAUUGCGGUCUACAACCGCAGUUGCAAUAUAAAUGAUUCUGAAUUUUCCGCAAUAGUAACACAACUGCAAUUUCAACCGUAUCGACCAUGUUUUUCGACAAAUUAAAAUCAUCAUCCCGGAUAAUACAAUACACAUGUAUAUCAUGCAUGCUAUGUAGUAUGCUAGUAGCAAUUCUUGAUUUUCAUGUGUUUCCUUUGAGCUGCUUAUGUAACUGUUUCUUCCCUUAAAAGUGCCUCAAAAGUAUCCCAAAAUGAAGGGAAAAUAAUACACAAAAAUUUAAACCAAAAUUAAUCAAGAUUGAGGACAAAAAGAAAAACACUAAUUACAUGUACAUUUUCUAUGUUGGUAGAAAGAAGUAUGAUAAUUCUCUAUGGUUUCCCCUUUGAGUUGUGUAAUUCAAUACCAUUAUGCUCCCUUGAAGGACCUGAAGGUGGCCUUGACAUUGCUUUUGGCUUUGAGUCUAAGAAACUUUGAUGUAAACCUUGAGACUUAGCCUUCACAUAUAAAGCUUGAGUGUGUCUAGCACAAUUGCUAGGACCAACAAAAUAUAUAAGCAAAAAAAGUAGAAUUAGCAAUACAUGAAGAUACUUCCUACCCAUUUAGCACAACUAAUGGCUUGUUUGGAUUGGUGUCUGGUGAUAUAUUCUUGCGUCCUUAUGCAAGUUCAAAGUGAUUUUAAGAAGCUGGUAUUCCUAGUUUCACUGCAAAUGCAGAUUGUUGCCAAGUGAGCAAGCCUUUUACCCUAAGAAAAUACCACAAGAAGAGAAAGAUAGGAUGAAGAGAAAAAAAGUGAGAGAAAGAGAGAGAAGAGGGUUGUGUGAAAAGAACAAUGAAUGAUGCAAAGUAGAAGUUAUAGGGUGCUUUUUAGGGGUAAGAGUGAGUGACUUAAUUUUUGUGACAGUUAUAAAUUAUUGGAAGAAUUUAAAGGAUACCGGUAAUGAAGGAAGAGUGUAUGCGGAACACACGGGGAAAAUAAAUGCAAGAUCAUGCGAUUUAAGAUUUGGAGGUAGGAAUCAAAUUUGUGUGUAAUGUUUUUUUUUGGCUUCUACCAUUAAAUGAGACAACAUGAGUCAAUAGUUCUUUUGUCUAUAGAGACAAGGAAAGCCUGUUUAAGAGGACUUAAAUGGGUCAUUAGGAUAAUGAUUUUAUGCACUUAGGGUACCCUAAUUUCAAUCUUGGUGUUUUGGAUAUUUAUUUUCGUCUAUAGAUGAAGUGGUAAUGACCACCGAAGCUUAUACAUGCGUUACAAGAUCUCACGUUUAAACUCGGAUGAAGGUGUUCAACCUAACGAUUUUGACAUUGUCAGUUGAGAUACUGGUAGGUUUUACGGGCGGUAUUUUAAAUUUUAAUUGAUCAUCACAUUAUAUAAAAACUAUGAUUUUUAAUAUCUCAAAAUAAUUACAUAUUGUCUCUUAUUAUCAUUUGCAAGUUUUUUUUUUUGGCACAAGGAUUCUCAAUUGAGGAAGAAUCGCAAACCAAAAAAGUUCAUCAUUUAUCACUAUUUGUGUUUUAAAGUUGUUGAAAGACUAUUAACGAUGAAUUUCUAAUAUCAUUGAUAAACCGACAUGCCUUGAACGAGUCACAGACGAUCAAGAUUUUCUUCAAUUAGAAUAUGUUUAAUCUAUGUCGUCAUAAGUCAUCAUUAUAUAAAGAUAAGAAGGUCCAAAUUUCAAACACAUUAUUUUAGAUAUUUCAACUAUAUGGUAUCAAUUUUCAAGCAUUAGAGAGUGUCUUCGGUUGAAAUUUGGGGCCUAACUCAUCCUUACAAAAUCAGCUUGUAAGAUGAGGAGUGUCUCAAUCUUAUCAAUAGUCUCAUCUAUCUGAUGUGGGACUUAGGUUUUUCCCAAUACAUCCUUUCACGCCCAACACUCUUUGGGCUUGUGCGUGAAUAGGUAGGUGGCCCUUGAAUUCGACAUGCUCUGAUAUCAUGCUGAAAUUUGGGGCCUAACUUAUCCUUACAAAACCGACUUGUAAGGUGAUGAGUGUCUCACUGUUAUCAAGAGUUUCAUCUAUCCGAUGUGUAAUUUGGAUUUUUCCCAAUAACUUCAUAGUCAUAAAAGUGAUGAUGAAUACACAUAGCAGACAAGAGGAUAUUGCCAAGUUAAUGAGUUAGAAAUUAGAAAAUGAAGAAAAAGGAGAGAAAUUGUACCUUCUUAUUUAAAAUAUUUGUUGUGCAAUAGUAUCUUGAGAGCAAAAAAUGGAAGUUGUCGUUUGGUUAGGUGAGUUUGUGGGCCAGCAUGGAAAAUAAUGGAUGAGUAAAGAAAGUCUAAAACUAUAGUGCAAAGUCUUACUGCAAGAUUGAAAUUUAUUACUAUAUUAAAAGCUCUGUGCACUCUAGAUAAAAUGCUCUUUUUAUGCUCAACUAUAAUCCAAUUUACUAUCUAUAAACAUCAAGAUUGGUCUAACUGACAAACAACGUAAGAUUUAGUGAAAAUUUCGUACUCAUAGUAUGAUAAAAAUAAUGAUGUCUGUGAACAAAUUAUGAAUUCUAAUUAGUUAAGUUAAUUUAACUUUCAUAAAUUCAUAACUCAUUUAGGCUAACCUAGUUGGUUUUAACCGUGAUCUUAAAAUGUACUUCUCUUAGAGUCUAAUGUUUGAUUCUCCAAAUCAUCAUGUUAUUAGUGAUUGGAUUGAAUGAGAUUGUCCAAUUUUUAAACUCGUUAUUAUUUUUUAUAAUCAAAACAUGCCCUAACAUCUAGAUUGUACGAUUCACACGGGGUUGCAAUGGAUGGUUAUGCUUCAAUGAUAAUGUGAUUUUUGCUCUUAAUUCUAAAGGAGUCGUAGAUUAUUUUAAGUCAAAAAUAGUUGAUUAUAGUGAAUUUGGUUGAUUAUGUCUGCUUGUAGGCAGUUGUUUAUCGAUAGUUUUCAGAAUUCUCAUGUUCAAUUCAAUAUGAGGCAAGCUAAUGAAGUGGCUCAUGAAUUAGCACAUGUAGCCUCAUCUCAUGCUAGCUUCCAUGUCUAUGAUGAUGUACCGUCAUGUAUCCAAUGUUUGAUUACAAAUCCAAAUCUAAUAUUUAUAUGUAUUUUUUAACAAAUAAUAUUUUGUGACACUAUGAUAUGUUUAAAUCAUUUUGUAUGUUGUAUAUUUACUUAGUGUAUGUUUGGUUGUUCCCCUUUUAGAGGGAUCAAAAUUGAUUUUGAAGGUGUAAAAUUGAUUCUAACAUGUUUGAUUAGUGUCAUGCAGAGUUGAUUCACCUUUCAGAAAUGAUUUUAUUUGAAGCUGAAAUUUGCAGCUUUUGAUUUUAGAAUUGAUUUUCAUACAAAAAUUUACAGAUCAACUAACUUUUACAUAUUCAAAUACAAAUAACUUACAAUUAUAAUUACUUUUAACCAAAUCAAUUCCACAAAAUCAAUUCUAUCAAAACCUAUUAUCUCUGACGCACAACCAAACAAACCCUAAGGUGUUAAAAAGAAAGAGCAUAUUUUGAAAUAAAUGGUGAGAAAGGAGAUGGGGGGAAACAUUCCCAUUAUAUUAAUAUUAAAACUACUUUAUACAUUAAAAUUGAAAGCUUGAAUCCAACCCUACUACUCGGUCCACACAUAACAACAGAGAAUUGAUGAAUGAGGCGUGUACUGCAUGAGUGAGUGGAUAGACCAUAUAACGUAAGGUUUUCAUGACAUAAUUAAUAGUUGGGUAUAGUAGAUAGGGUCCCAUGAAAUUACAUAUCUAACAUUUUUAUUUUAUUGUAUUUUUGGUGAAAUCAUAUCUAACACUUUGAGACAUGUAAAUUUGGUCCCCACGUUGUGUAUGGACAUUGAGACAGAUAUGAUUGAUGCAUGAGAGGAUAGGUUAGAUUUUAUGUUGUAAAUGUAGGAAAAAUCUAUGUUCUAGUUUAUGGAAGAAUGGAAACAAAGUUGAACUCAAAGUUCAAACAUUGAAGUGGUAAGAACACGUGAAGUGUAACUAUCUAGAGUGUUAGUUUAUUAAGUACUUUGGCUUUUGUAAAAAAAAAAAAAGAAAAGAAACUUAGGUCUUUCUUUCUUCUAUGCAAUUUCUUUCAUUGCACCAUUAAUUCAAGAAUGAUUAAACCUCCAAAAUUCUUGAUCUUUGUAAGAUUACGAAUUUUUAAUUUAAUCCAUACAAAAAAAUUAAUUCAAUUUUAAUUCUUAGUUUUAUUAAUUUUUAUAAAAAUAUAAAAUAAAAUUUGUUUAGUCUUCUGCAUUUAUUCUCUAUAAAAGCUAAAUAACAACUAAAAUUGAAUAUAGUUUUUGUAGGAAUUAAAUUUAAAAAUUCAUAAAGACCAAAAACUACAUGUCUAGAACCACAGAAUGAAUAAGAGAGUUUCUAAUUUGUAGGGGUGGGUAUGGUUUGGUUCGGGAUGAAAACUUAACCGAACUAAACUGAACUGUUUGCGAAAUUCAAAAUAACUAAACCAAAUCAAAUUGUUUACAUUUUGAAUCGAACUGAACUGUUUUAAACUGAACCGAAUUGUAAUUAUUGGCACCAUUGAAAAAAUAUAUAUAAAAACAAACAAAAUUAAAUUUUAGAACUUUUAAAACAAAACCGAACUGUUUUGAACCGAACCAAACUGUUUCGAACAAAAUUGAACUGAACCGAACCGAAUUGUUUAGUUCAGUUUCAGAAUUGUUAGUAAUGGUUCGGUUUCUUUCUUAGUUCAGUUCAACUUUUUUGCCCACCCCUACUAAUUUCACCAUACUUGUUUCUAGCGCGUCCUAUGACAUUUUAGAUUAUAUAAUCUGAGUGGUACGUAAAAACAUUAAAAGAAAACUCUUUAUAAACCCUCCAUUGUUUAGAUUCUAGAAUCAGAAAUCGAACAAGCGAGAAGUUUGGGAAGGUGAGAAAACAAAUAUACAUUUGAAGAAAAGGCAGACCGUUUUGAAGGAAGUGUUUGUUUGAGUGUAUAGAUCAACAUUUUGAAGGAACAAAGGCACUAAGGCAGACCAUCGGAUUGUUAUGUUUUUUUUUUAGUCAGGUAGUCUAGUGGCUAGAAUUCACCUUAUAAGGUGAAUAAGUGGCGUGUCCGGGGUUCGAAUUCCGACCCCUGCAUAUAAUAAUGCAUUGUCCUACCAACUGAGCUAUGCUCACGAGACCAGAUUGUUAUGUUUCUAAUUAAUCUCAUUCUUGUAAAAACGAGCAUAUUAUAAUGACCAUACUAACAAUAUACAUUUGGACCGUCGUACACUCAAUGCCUCUAGUUUAGAGAUAUUAAUUAUUAAUGGUAAAAUAGUACGAGGACAUUUUGGCAUAUUAGGAACACACUCUGUAAAUCACACAAGGACUCAUGUGAAUCAUACAAUAAUUGGCAAAACCAUAUGCAUAUGCAUGCAAUGUACCAACAAUAGUCAUAUUUGUGCCCUAAAGGAAUAUUUCUCAAGACUAUGACUAGAAGACUUGCAUCACUAAAGAAAUGUUGCUCACUUCAAAAGUUCUUACAAGGCUUGCUAAAAUUCUCAAAUAACAAAAUGCAUUGUGCAACCUAUCAAGUUUUGAGAAUAUGUUCGAAGAGCCAAGGAACGUGUUUUAACUUCUAUGCUCUUUCUUUUGAAAGUUACUUACUUGAAUUUUGAACUUCAGUUUUAUAUUAUCUUAUAGAGAGAUAAACACUUGUAUUUCACAAACUUUUAUAAAUCUUAUCCCCUUUGUCGUCGGUCUUUGGUCGACGGUGUCCUUUAGGUCUGUAAAGGGCCGUGCAGUUGUGGUGGAUCCAGUCUCUGGAUGAUUUAAGAUUUUUCUCUUCCAUGUAGAAAGACGGUGGACCGUCAUAAUAUUCCUAAAAGCCUAAGAGACCCUCAGAAGCACUCUUAGGCCCUCUUUAAGGCCUCAACGCCCUUAUUAAAGCCUAAAACGCUCUUCAGAUGAGCUUUUAGGCCCAAAACGCGUUCCCUUCAGGACGGCGCCUUAGGCUGCUUCUAGAAGCCGCCUAAUUACCUAAAUAACCUCAUUACCUGCUGACCAAGUAACCAUAAAUCAGGCCCAUAUAUGGCUAUAAAUACAACCCUUGAGAGCCUUCUCAAGCAUGAGCAAUACAAUACAAACCCUAAUACGAUUAUUGUACUUUUAGCUAGUACAGUUGGUACAGUGGUCCUGAGGGUGGCGCUGGUAAGGUGUUCGGGGCAGUGCUUGUGGUGGUUGAGCUUGUGGCUUGUUUUGAUUUGUUUUUGUUCGAGCUGGUUUGAUUUGCGCCACUGUUCCACCUUUUCUCCGUCUUCGAAUUUGGCAUCGGGAUAAUGGUGGGCCGAGUUUGGACAAGUUUAGGUGUCUUCUCUGGUGGGUCGUGAGUUGAUGGGUGCCUUAUUAAUUUGUGUCAGAGUCUGAUGGUCCGAUCACUUUUGAUUCGAGAUCGGGGACUACUUUUUUUAUGCAAGUUCUUUUAGACUUUUUUGGUGACUCCUCUGACUUAUCGGAAGUUGAGUGGUGGGCGAUUCUGAUCGUUUGAUGCAACUUAUCAUCAUCGACUGCUUUUUUUAUCUCCGUUGGUGGUGUUGAAAAAUUGAUUGUUGUUAAUUUUUUGGUGUAUUUUUAUUUUCUUUUCGGUGUAAUACUUGGGAUCUAAUCCCCUAUUUAUAAUAUAUUUUGCAAUUAAAAAAAAAGAAAAAUAACUUCCCCUAAUAAUGACGUGAUUUUUAAAGGUUUGAGUGUACCUUGACAGUUGUUGGUCAUUGAGACCAUUUAGUAGAAAUUCUUCGGAUUAAAAGGAUUGAAUUAGUUAUCAGAUUAACUUUGAACUAGUAUAAAUUUUCUAUGCUUGUCUUUUUUUCCCUUAAUUAGUAGAAAAUCCAAAUCAAGUCCUCUUUUUUUUUUUUUUUUUUUGGUUACAGGUCCUCUUUCUUUUGUUUUUCACUACGUUAAUUUAUAUUUUCUCUCUUUUUAAUUUAAUAAUCCCCUCCCAAUUUUCUCUAAACCUCAUGGUGAUGUGACAUAAUUAUUGACAUUAGACUCAAAAUUAUCCAAUAAAUGAGAGAGAAAGAGAGAGUUGUAAUUCAAGUUUUCAACUUUUUGAUGUUUUUAAUUUUUAAUUUUAAAGAAAAGCCAUGUUGACCAUGAGAGUAGAGUUAGAUACCGCAUCAAUAAAUAAUGUCACCCUGCAUCAAUAAACAGUGUCAUCACAUAAAUUUAAUAUUGACACAAUACAAUAACCGUCUUUCUGCUAGUGCUUACAAUUUCAUGAAGUUAAUUUAAAAUGCAUUUUUGUAGAUAAAACUAGUGAAAGUUAAAUUAUAUUUUUAUUUUGGUUGAAUCAAGGGGGAUAUGCUUCUUAGAAUCUUUCAAACAUUCCAACUAGGUUGGCACCUCUGAAAAUCCAUGUUCUCUGUUGCCGACUUCAUAAAAUAUUAAAAAGAGGAAAAGUGUGUACACAGGAGAGGGACCUGACCCUCAAAGCAAAAAGAAAAAAAAAUCGGGGAAAUCGAUAGAUAGGCCAACCAAAAUGGUAUAUAGAGAAAGGCUCAAGAAACUGACCACCAACACAUUGAAUCGAGUGUCCAUGAUUCACAGGUUUAUCAGCACAAUCAUCACUGCCUUCACGAAAAAUAUAACUUAAAUAUUUUUCUUAAAUUAAGGCUGUGUUUGGUAACACAAAAAAGUUAGCUUAUAGCUUGUUGGAUUAGCUUAUAAAUUUGUUAGAUGAAAACGUGGCGUGUUUGGUAACAAACUUUUUUCAUGAGCUUAUAGCGUUUUUUGAAAAGCUAUUUCAAGUAGCUUUUUAGCUUAUAGCUGGUAGCUUUUUAUAUUUUCUUCCAACUUUAACCCUAUUAAUUUAAAUUAAUUAUUUUUUAAUUAAACAACUAUCCAUAUUCAUCUUUAUAACUGCCCCAUUUUGUCCCUUAAAAAAAAUGCCACGUUGUUUUUUUUUAAGGAGUACUAUAUAUAUAUAUAUAUAUAUUUUUUUUUUUUUUAAGGAAAUGCUUUAUAUUUUGCUAUAACUAACCUGCCGUACACCACAAAAAAAAUAACUAGCCUAUUUUUUUUUAAAGGAAAAAAUAACUAAUCUAUUGUACGUUGUAAAAUUUUAUAUAUUCUAGCUCACAUUUUGUUUCCACCUUUCUCUUAUUUUUAGGAUUCAUAAAGCAGAGAUUAAAAUGGUCGGUGAAUAUUUUUUUAGGGUUAAAGGUCGAAGAAUUUUUUUAUGGAGACUAAGACCAAAAGUUUGAAUAUUUAUAGGGACCAAAAACAUAUUUAACUAUAAUUAAAAAUAUUAAAAAAUAAAUACAUUACAAAAAAAAAUGUGUGUGUCUAUAUGUAUAUUAAAAAAAAAAAAACAUGUUCUUUUAUGUCAUUUUAUACUUAUCAGCCACUUCAACAACUAAUUUUACCAAACACAUUAUUUUUAAUAAACAAGUUUUUCAGCUAUAAACUAUCAGCUAUCAAUCAUCAGCUAUCAGCUUACUUAUCAGCUAUCAACUAGCUUAUAGCUUAUUUUUAUCAAACAGAGCCUUUUAGAUUUUUCUCUAAUUUCUUAAAUGUUUUUAUUUUAUUUGGACUCUUAAUUUUUUUCCCUUGCACUUUAGUCACUUAGCUUACAAACAUUAUUUAAGUUACCAACUUUAUACACUUUAGCCAUUCAUCAAAGACCAACAUAUCUUUUUUUUUUGAGGGAAGAUCAACAUAUCUUUCAAAUGGUUAAAAUGUUCAAAUAAUAUACGUAUAGCUUGAAGAAAUUAAAAACUUUUUUUGAAAUAUUCAUAACGUUAUCGAUCUAUUUAAAAUAUAAUUUGACGAAAUUAAUAACCUUUUUGAAGUAUUUAUAACAACAUCGACCUAUUUAAAGUAUAAUUUGACAAAAUUAAAAAUCUUUUUAAAAUAUUCAUAAAAUCAUCGACCUAUCUAAAACGCUCUAUAAAAGAAGGUUUACUCCAAACAAAAAAAAUUAAGUGACUAAAACUAAAGAUAACUUUUUUUAUCCCAUCAAUUGGCAAGUAACUAUAUUAAUCCGAAGUUUGAUUGUAAGAUAAAUAUACCGACGUAAAUCCUCUGAUCAAGAGAUCCAAUUGAGGUGGUGUUAGCAGCAAGUCCUCGAGUGAAGUAAGCAUCAGUGGCACAACAGCAAACCACCAUCAGUCGUCACCACCACCAACAUCAAAUUAGGGUUUCUCCGAUUUCCCAAAUUUUCAAAUUAGGGUUUCUACUCGCCAUGGCAGAUGGCUACUGGAACCGCCAGCAGUCUCUUCUCCCCCAUUCCGGCCUGCACAAACGUCCCCGCCCUGACUACGGUUCGUUUCCCCCUUUUCUUCCCAAUCAAUCAAUUUCAUGCUUAAUUGUUGUUUGUUUCGUGCAAUUUAUUAUCUUUCUCUUUCAUCAUGAUUAUUGUUGCUAUUUUUGAUGCAAAUUCAUGGAGGUGUGUGAAUAAUUCGAUGCUUCAAGAGUCUUGCUUUUUGUUUGUUUUUUUUUUACUGAAUUUUGGUUUAGGGUAUGUUUGGAUUAGUGGGUUUAAUGGAAGUGAAUUAUUAUGUUGUUGAUGAUGAUGCAAAUUAAUGUGCCGAAAUAAUUUGAUGCCUCAAUCUGCUGUUGUUGUUUUGAAUGAAGAUUUUUUGUUUGAAAUUUGGGUUUAAGGCAUGUUUGGAUUCAUUGGUUUAGUGGAGAUGAAGUAUUAUAAGGCUCUGGGGCACUCUUGAAGCAUUCUAUAUUAUGAAAAUAUUCUUUAAAAACGUCAAAUAAUUCAAUUUUCAAUGCAUUUAAUACACAAAUUUUCAUAGAAACUUACCUUUAAAGGUGUUUAAAGAGUGCCCCGGGGCACUCAUUAGCAUUUUCCAUAUUACCUUUAAAGGUGUUAAUAAUUUUAUUUUGGAUAUAUUUAGCUGUCACUAACGCCAAUUCCAUUUUUAAAAUUGAGGAAAUUGAUUACUUUACCGUUGAACACUAGGGUUUAAUGUUGUGGCGUUAGAUCUUAUUAUCCUAACUGUGGUACAUGAUUCUUCUUUUUGUUUGUUUUUUGAUUAAAUUUUGCUUUAGGGUCUGUAUGGAUUGAUGGGUUUAGAGGAAGUGGUAUGUUGAGUGGAAUGAAAUGUUACCCUAAGAUGUUCUUAGGAGAUUGGUGAUUCCCUUUUUUGGCUUGAUUUGGGAUAAUAAGAUCUAAGAUGCUUAAUUUUGCAUUAGGGAAUGUUUGGAUUGAAGGGUUUAGAGAAAAUGAAAUGCUGAGUGGAUAUGAAAUGUUAUACUAAGCUUUUUUACCCUAAAAUGUUCUUAGGAGAUUGCUAAUCCUCAUUUUGUGGAUAGAUUUAGCUGUCACUAACACCAUAGUUUUGAUUGUUUAUACAUAUGUUUGACAUUUGUGCUGCAAUGAUUUUGGAAUUAUCAUUUGGUGAUUUUGUUUGAGAGAAGCAAUGUUUCCAACUGUUUUAUAAGCCUAAAUUAAGGAAGCUGAUUACUUCAACUUUUAAUGCUAGGGUUUAGUGUUUUGGUGUUAGAUCUUAUUAUCCUAAUAAUCAUGGUAGCUAAAAUCGUGAUCGAUGUAUGAUCUUAAAUUCUUACAAUCUUUCACAUUGCAAAAGACCGUGAUCACAAGCAUGGUUGUUGGGAUUGCGUGACCAAUUUUAUCGAAUAUCGGCCAUGGCGGAAAUCCGUGCCGGUUUUUGGGCUCUCCACCAUGCCUAAUUUUUUCCUAUAUGACGGGAUCCACCAUAAUCCAAUAUGACAAUAAAACCUGUGAAAUUGUCAUGUGCGUGACAAGCAAAUUAUGGCUGAGAGCCAUACUGUGUGUGACAGAUUGUUGGUUGAGGUGGCGCGACAAGCAAACAUGUGAAAUUGUAGGCACGACACCCUUCUCUUGCGCCGUUCAUGAAGGUUUGAUACCCGCCAUGGCUCGAUUCUGUCCAUCACAAUAAUUGUUUCCGGGUCCAGCCUGUGACCUGCUUCCUUGAAAGCGGCAGCUUGGCAUUAAGAAACCCUAAAAAGGGACAUUAUGAUACGUUGCUGUUUCACUUUGUUUUUUUGGUUUUUCAUUUUCCACUUUGCUUUUUCCUCUAUUCGAGACAAUACAACAACAAACAACAACAACCAAGCCUUUUCUCACUAAGUGGGGUCGGCUACAUGGAUCAGAUUAUGCCAUAAUGUUCUAUUAUGAAUCACAUUUCGAUCCAACUCAUUAAUUUCUAAACUUUCCUAAUAUUUUAUAUUAUAGUUUUUGUAGGUCUUCCUAUGCCUCUAGUGAUCUGACUAUCCUAUACCUGAUUUGCUCUCCUUAUUACGGAAUUUAUAGUUCUUUUCUCUACGUGCCGAAACCCCGUAAGCCUAUUUUCCACCAUCUUUUCUACUAUAGGUCGUACCUCAAUUCUCUCUCUAAUAUUGUCAUUUCUAAUUCUAUAUCAUCUUGUCUUGCCACACAUCCAACACAACAUUCUCAUCUCUGCUAUGCUUAGUUUAUUCUCGUGUUAGUUCUUCGCUGCCCAACACUUCGUUCCAUACAUCAUCACUGGUCUUACCUCUGUUCGAUAAAAUUUCCCUUUCAACUUAGUGGUACUUUCGUAUCACUUAAAACACUCGAGGCUCCUCUCCAUUUCAACCACCUAGAAAUUACAUUUGAUAUAUAUGUUCUUUUUGGUUUUACAUACAAUAACUGUUGAAAUUUGGGGCCUAACUCAUCCUUACAAAACCGGUUUGUAAGGUUAGGAGUGUCUCCUCUUUAUAAACUCUUCUCAAGAGUGCUAUCUAUCCGAUGUGGGACUAAGUCCACCCCGUCAAAGCCAACACAAUGAAGGUAUUGGAGGCUGCAAUGAAGGCAAACCAAAGGCCGCAAUUUAGGUGACUAGGGGCGGACCAGAAUAAAGGCGGAAUUUCCAACAACUUUGCUUCCCCCUUUAUUUUUUAAUAAUAAUAAUAAUAAUAAUAAUAACAACCACAACAACAACAAUAACAACAACAACAACAUUAAAAGGAGAUAUAUUAUGCUAUAUUAUUUUUCAAUUAAUAGGUAUAAAAUUAUUUGUUUAUUUUUUUUAAAACAACCAACCAGCAAUCAGUCACCACCUCCCAGCUAGGGUUUCUUCUGUUUUUCGAUUCUAUCUCCUUUAAUUAGGGUUUCUCGUUCGCCUUUCACCUUACCAUGGCAGACAGAUCCUGGAAUCGGAAGCGAACACUUCGCCCUCUCUCCAGAGUUCCGAAACGACCGCUUUCCAGAACACUUCCCCCUCUCUCCUUCCUUCAGAAACGACCGCUUUCCGGAACACUUCCCCCUCUCUCCAGCCUUCCGAAACGACCGCUUUCUGCACACAGUUAGUUUCCCCUUUUCUUCUGGAUCAAUUUAUUUCAUGCUUAAAUAUUUAUUGAUUUGUUCAAUACGUCAUCUUGUUCUCUCAUUUUUUUUUUUUUUUUUUUGUUGUUGUUGUGGUUGUGUGUUUAAUGCAAAUAAAUGGAAAUGGCCAAAUAAGUCUAUGCGUCACUUUCUUCUUGUUUUGAUUUAAGAUUUUUGCUUUAUGUUUGCUUUUUGAUGAAGUCUUGCUUUAUCUCGAUCACGUUGAUUUAUGAUUCUUGCUUUAUGUUUGUCUUUUUGGUUAAAUCUUUCUUUAUCUCGAUCACAAGAAAAGAUAUCAAUCUCACGUGUUAUUCACCCUCAACUCUGGAGAAGCGGUGAAAAGAUCUCUAGAUGGGUCGGCGGGGUUGUGCGACGUUCAAGAUCACAAGAUUGUAGAAACGACGCUCUUCUCCGCACAAGUCGUGAAGGUUUUUUUACUCAUGGUGCUGGCAGCCAUGGUUGAAAAUCUUUGAAAACCCUAUAGAACGAGGGUUUUACCACUUGACCCGACCCGGAAAACUAAGGCUCAUUAGCCAAAACCCUUAAAAUGAGUGGUAGGCACAGUAACCUGGUUCACUAAAAGGGUUAUAUGUCAUGUGACCCGAUCCGGAGACUAAGUCCCAAAUGGUAAAAACCCUAAAAUAAGUUGCAUCGCAGCCUUCACGUCGCUUUCUUUUUCAUUUUUUUAAAUACUCUUGUUCUUUUUCAUACUUUUAUUCUUUUUUAUAGUAAGAAUUAUAUUUUAAUUCUUUCUUAAAAAUUCCCAAUCGCCUUAAUUAUGACAUGUAAUUAUGAUAUAUAAAUAAUCAAAUAUAAUUGUCUGGUGUGAUCUUCCAAUCCAUGCUACAAUCACAAUUUACUAUUUGCCUAUGCCCAAAUGAUCUUAAGUGGGAUCUCGAGUUUGACAACCAUGGUCAGGGUUACGUGUACCUGAGUUCGACUUUAAUCGGUUAUCCGAGUUCAAUUUCGACUGCUGCACCCGUCUUAUGAUCCGACUGCUGCAACUAUUUGAGUUCGAAUGUAUGAUUUAGACCUAUUCUUUCUGUCGCUCGGCCAGGUGCCACUGUUCUGUGAUCUACUGAUUUCUCUGCUGCAACAACCCUAUGAGCAUAUAUAACAAUAGCAUGGGUUCUCUCUGCCUCCUAUGCUGAGAGUAUUUUGAUUCUCUCUAUCCUUGUUCUUUGCUGGUCACUGCUUCACCUCUUCAGGAGGCUUUUUUAUGUGUCUGGCAUGAUACUCUCCGGAUGCUGCUUCAUCUUUUUGAAUGUAUUUUUUUCCCCCAAAACAUGUCAACCAAAUUGGGUUGGGUGCUUUUGAAACUUACUUGAUGGGCUUUGUUGAAAUACACCAACCCUUUGAUCCUAUGCUUCUCUGUUAAUUAACUGAUCUAUUGGUUAAUUGUCACAAUAAUCACUAUUAAUAUAAAAUAACUAAAUUGUGUAUCAUAAAAUAACCACAGUUACAUACCUACAUUCUCACUUGAACUUUAUAUUUGAUGUUUAUCAGUCUAUGGAUAUGAAUGAUAUACACUGUAUAAGAUAUGGCACGAAUGUGAGUUCUAGUUCUGUGUUCUGCACUUUUGAUAAAAAAAAGAUAUGCAUAUAUUUUUUUUGUCUAUUGUUAUCCAGCUUCAGUGCUCUUUGCCAGAGAUGCUAAUGGUCAUUAUUUACAAUUUUAUUACAGAAAUGCCAGCUUCUGGUCUUCCUUCAGGCAAUGAGAUGCAUUAUCUUUCUCGUGAAGAGGACCGUUCUGGUCACCCAAUGGUCAAGGACUCAAAAACAAUUGGAUCUGCGUAUGAUCGCUACCUUCAGGGGGUAACACUUCAUCCUUUUAUGCUUGCGUAAUUAUAUUACUAUUAUUUUUUUGGGUAUUUUCACUGCUUGUUAGCUGAAAGCAUCCAUCUUGUUUGGUUUUAUAGCAAGUUCCUUCAUUUACUUCUGGGGAAGCCAGUACAGUUGGUGCUCUUGGAUUGCAAAGAGGUAUUGGUGGAUUACCGAACCAUUCACUAAGCGAUCCUUCUGCCAUGAUAGGGCGUCAUGGGGGUGGUGGUCCUGAUCUUGCACCAAAUGGACGGGGUAUGAAUUAUGGUUUUCAACCACCGAUGGAUCCAGUUUCCAGGCAUGGACCUGAGCCAGCACUUCUACCCCCAGAUGCUUCACCAACUCUAUAUAUUGAAGGUCUGCCUUCUGAUUGUACAAGAAGAGAAGUGGCUCGUAUCCUUUUUGUUAUGAUGCAAUGCUUUGGAAUUUUUUCAUUUUCUCUUUCAUCCAUGUGUCUUGAGCUUUGUUUAUUUUAAUUCUGUUAUACAUAUUCCUUAACGUCGUCUUUAGACAUUUUCCGUCCGUUUGUUGGAUAUAGAGAAGUGAGACUUGUUAGCAAAGAAGCUAAACAUGUAAGUCUAUCGUUUGUUAAAGUUGUCUUCUUAUGUUGAAAGCUAAAAUGUCCCCUUUAUGCUAAAAAGCCUUUUUAUUGCAGCGUGGAGAUCCUCUGAUCCUUUGUUUUGUGGACUUUGCAAAUCCAGCUUGUGCAGCCACUGCUUUGAGUGCCUUGCAAGGUAUUAUUUCUAUAACUACCUGCUUAUAGAUAGCAAGUCAGUUUAUGAUUCAAAUAGCAUGAAAAUGACAGUAAUCUGCGUCUAAAGGUAAUUAGUUGUUGUUCAAUAGAAAUCUGUUACGAUUCAAAGGAAAUACAUGUCAUAUAUGUAUUAUUCUAUUAUUAUUAUGCAGAUUUUGAGUAUGGGUCAGAAGCGAUAUUUUGAGUCGCAUCACAUCGUUACAUGUCAUAUAUGUAUUAUUCUAUUAUUAUUAUUAUGCAGAUUUUCUUUCCAUUUUCUCUUUCCGUACCAAUAAUUUCAACAAAAUAUUUUUGUCAUUACUAUCAUUGAUAUCUUGAAAUAUCGAUUUUCCAUUUUACAACCAUAUAGUUACAUCCUUGUUUUUACCCCCUUAUAUUCUGUGAAUUUAAGUUCCCAUUUUAUAACAAAACAGAUCGUCCAUAUUGGUGCAAACAAAUUUGUUAUUUAGUGAUUAAUGGAAAUUCAGGUUCAGAAAACGAAAGAUGAUUCACUUUUACUGUUUAAUCUACAAUGGGAACCUCAUCGUUCCAGACAUGAUAUGCUUAUUGCCCUGUACUGUGCUCCCAUGGUUGGCAAAGCUAACAACCAUAUCCAUUAUUUUCAUAUUCAUUCAUAAAACUUAUUUAUGAGCUCGAUGCUUAGUGACAUUUUGAGAUACUUACUCGUCUUAUGCUAACUUUGUGGUUUGUACACAGGCUAUAAAGUCGAUGAAAUCAAUCCCGAGUCUAGUCAUUUGCGGCUUCAGUUUUCUCGAUAUCCAGGUCCAAGAAGUGGAGGUGGUCCAAGAAGUAGUGGACCUCCCAGAGGUGGACAUGGAUCUCGUGGUAGGAGGUGACUCACAUAGCCCAGUUAGGAUUUACGCUCAUAGGAAACGUGGAUGGUCCGUUUUAUGGGCUUGAAUGUUCGCUGGUCAUUUUACUACACAAACGCUUAAUUUUAUUUUACUUAUGGCUACAUUCCUUGUUUAGAGCCCUUGAGAUGCACAAAUUAUUACCAGGCAGAGAUCAAAUAGCAAUUUCGUUUUAGCAAAACUAGCAAAAUGGAGAUUUUUGGUUGUGUAUUAUUAUUAUUUGCUAAAUUGAGUAUGAUCCUGAAGUUUAAUUUAUGUUAGAGUUUACUUUGUGCUGACCAAUUGUAUUGUUCAGUUAUGAUAUUUUUUUGGUUUUUUUUUUCUUCCAAUAUUAUCUAUUUACUUGGUAUGUGCUACAGAGAUAAUGUUGUAGGUUGAAGGACCUAGUUUAUAGGGAACCAUUGUCCCCUGAGAAUCAGGAUAGGGAUUGCUUCGGGGUGCCAACCUAGUUGUGAUGUCGACGUUUCUCCUCGAUGCCUGUCCUUUCUCUUGGCUUAUAAAAAAAAAAAUUUCCACCGAGAAUCUGAGAUGUUGUUGAUAAAGGAUGAUUGUGCAAGAUGUUCUCGAUUCAUGUUGAGUUUAGUGGUUAAUUGCAUAGAAGAAAUAUGAAUUUGUUCUUGAUCCAUACUCUGAUUACAAGAAGAAACUCAUUUUGUUACACUGAAAGCUAAGGACAUGCUUGCUUGUUAUUUUUCAUAAAAUCAUAUUUUUAGUAAAAAAAUGAAAGGAAAAAAAAGAUUCAUCAAGCUUUUUGAAAAUUUUCCAACUUUCACUUAGUGUUUUCAUUUUUCCAACAAGUCAAUAAAUAAUAUUUCUUGUCGAUUUCUUAAACUCUUUGUUGUCAAUAUGUGUGUGUGGAACUCUAAGUUUAUGUUUUGCUAGUUUUUUUAUAUUUUUCUUGCAGCCCUUUCUGAAACUUCAUUGCACAAAAAUGAAGGAUUACAUGAUUUUUUUUUACAAUACACCCCAAAAAUAUCUGUAAUCUAAGUUUAUGUAUGUCUCAAAAUUCAAAUUUUAAAGAUAUAUGUUAAUUGAUUUUGCAUAGAGUAUGUAAACUGAGUUUAUGCUACAUUCCUUAGAUUACGCAUGCUACGUAAACUUAGUUUAAGUAAACUAUACAGAUUCAGUUUACGUACAAAGAAUAUAUAAACUCAGUUUACAAACAUAAAUUUAAUUUGUAAAUUUUGUUACAAGAGUAUUUUGAUUAUUUUGAGGUGUAAUCAGGAUUUUUGUGUCACUAGAAAUUAUCAUAAAACUUCUUCAAGCCGAAGGCAGCACCCUGCUGUCAAGCUCCAAAAAAACCCCACUGCUACUUCCAGAAGCGCAAAAACCACGAAAACAAUUGCAGGAACAACCUGCAAUCCCACUGCCGAACAGAAAUAGGAGAAUGACAGCACCCUAAAACCUGCGCAGCAGGAGGAAUAGCAGCAGAACAUCAUGGUAAAACCAUCAGUCAUCUCAACAAACAAUCCUGUGGACUCCAUUCCCACUCGUAGAACAUAUAAGUCGUAACAUUUAGCCUUCCCAACAACCACCUCCAAGACAACACCUUUAUAACCUCAAUAAAAUUCAAUUUUCAUAAGGGCUCUGUUUGGUAAAAAUAGCGGAUAACUGAUAAACUAGCUGAUAGCUGAUAGCUUAUAACUGAUAGCUGAUGACUGAUGGCUGAUAGCUUAUAGCUGAUGAUCGUUAGCUGAUAAGCUAACUAAAGUGUUUGGUAAAAUUAACGGUUCAACUAGCUGAUAAUGGUAAAUUUACAUAAAAGGACAUUUUUUAUUCAUAAUAAUUUUUUUAAGAGUUUAUAAUACAAUCUAUACCAAUUAAUAUUUAAGAUGUUUAGUCAUUUAAAUUUUUUAUUAUAACCAAUACAUAUUUUCUCUAAAAAAUUGUUUUAAGUUUAUUUCAUUCAAUUUUUAUAAUUUAUGAAUGAUUAAAGUAUAAUUUUUUUUUCUAUAAACAAAGUAAAAAAUAAUCAUCGACAAGAUUAAAAAAAAGUGUUAGAAGAAUAAAAAAAAAAAAACAAAAUAAGUAGUUAGUAUAUACUAAUAUACCCAUAAACAUGGAACUUUUUUAAUAAGUUAGGAAAUAGGAGUAUAAAAAAUUGUAUGUGUCAUUACAUGAAAUGAAAUGGCGUUGUUGCACUGCAAUAUAUUGAACGAGUGCUAAAGAGAAGCAUGCAUACUUGAGAUAUAAAAAAUACGUCGUACAGUAGUGUUCUUUUAGUUUUAAAGUAUAAUAAAUUAUAAAGGGUAAAUAUGAAUUUUAGUUAAAAUAAUAAGGGUAAAAAAGGAACAAAAGAUAAUAAGCUAUAAGCUAUAAGUUCAAACGCUACUUGAAAUAGCUUCUGAAAAAUAGCUUAUAAGCUCGUGAAAUAAACUAUAAGCUCAUGGUGAAAAAGCAUUACUAAACAAAGUUUUUUUGUCAUACGAGCUUAUAAGCUAUGCGUAGGCAUGGCAAUGGGGCGGGGUGGGGACGAGUUUUACCUUCCCCGUCCCCAUACCCGAUUCUCAUAUACUUACCCGUUACUCUACCCAUACCCAACGGGGAUGAGAAAUUGAAUCUCAUCGCCGUCCCCGACGGGUUUGGGUAUCCCCGUCCCCGCAUUGAAUAUUUUUUUAAUAAAAAAUAGAAGUUUUUUUGCAUCCCCAAGAGCAACGUAGUAAUACAUUAUUCAACAAUAAACUCACUUUCACAUUUGUUAGACAAAAUGAUUUAGUUGAUCCUUUAAAUAUCAAUGUUAGUUUUUAUUAAGAUGACAAUUAUCAAACAAAAUAACAUAACGUAUCAACAUAAAAUAAUUUUUUACAUUUGGGACGGGUUUGGGUAUGGGUUCGGGGUGGGUACCUAUAUACCCGUCACCCGUCCCAUAUCCGUGUUUUGAGAUUGGGGAAAACCCAUACCCGUACCCAAACCCAGUCAAAACGGGGAAAACCCGUCAAAUUGAAUUUGGUUCGGGCGGGUAACCAUAGGUAUGGGUUUUGUUGCCAUGCCUAGCUAUGAGCUCAUUGAUGUGUCUUACCAAACAGACCCAAGAUACUUGCAAAUUUUUUUUUCACUGUUAUGAAUAUUAUUAAUUUUCUCAUUCCCAGAUUUUUAAAUGCUAUAAUAAUAAAAGGGUCAUGUUAACUUGUGCAUUUAAGACACAUGUUAAACAUUAAUUUCAUUCCAUUAAUGAUAAAAAUUUAAUAAAAGAGAAUUAAUAUAUUAAUUCUAUCGGUGAAAAUCUUAAUAUGUGCCAUGAGGACACAAGUUAACAUCAAAUUAAUACAUUUAAUUGAAAAUCUUACACAACAUGAAUACAAAAGAUGUGGAUUAGUGUCUUUGUAUCCAAGAAUGUCUCUCUUGACAAAACAUGUAAAAAGUAGUUAUUCAUCAAUGCAGAACCAAUCCACUUAAUUGAAAACGCAACAAUCCAGUCAUUAAGUUGAUCAUAAUUUUUUCCUUAAAAAAAAAAAAAAAAAAUUGAUCAUAAUUUUAACAUAGAUCGUGAGACACUUAAAUCAUAAAUCAUUGGACAACACUGUGGAUUCGACUUCUGUAACAUAGUGGCGGGCUAUGUUACAUGACAUAGCCAGUAAUAUUGUGCCACAUGUCACUUCUUUUUUAAAUAAAAAAAUCAAAUAAAAUAAAAGAAAAGGAACAAUAACAUUACAUUCGCUCAUACUUCUUCUUCAAAAGCGUUUCCUCACUUCUCCUUGUGCUACCCAUCCACAAUCAUCAUAUGUGCACAGACCGCCUUCACUUCUACACCAUUUGCCGCCUUCUCCCUCCGUCGCCGGAAUCAUCUAUGCACAGGUCACUGUCAUGGACUGAUGGAUUGACCAAUGUUCUGUCAAAGGAUUCAGUAUUGUAUUGUGUAGCUGUGUUUUCAUUUUCAAAUUUGUUGAAUUUAUUUGAAAUUGACUAGAGAUUGAGAGUUAUUAUCUCAGAAAAUUGAUUUUGAAUUUGAAAUUGCUUAAUAAAAAAAAAAAACAAUGUUUCUACUUGUUAUGUGAAUCCAAGACUGUGUUGGCACGAUGGAGGAGUGAUUGUGACCUCUGAGAUGUGUUAGCAUUCUGUUAAAAUUGCGGCAUCGGAUUCUGGUUUGAACUGUUUAAAUUGCGGCAUCAGAUAUUGGUUUGAAGCUGUGGUUUUUGGUGUUAAUGGAGUAUAUGGUUGCAGUGUGUGCUACUAGUGUUAAAGGAGGCAGUGGCGACUGACGGUGGCGACCGAUGGUGGAGGAUAAACAAAUGAUGAUGGUGGCGACCGGUAUUGUUUUAAUGUUGCCUAUGGAUAUUACAUUUUGAUUGGUUGAAAUCAUGAGAGAGUAAUUAUCCCCUAAACAAGAGAGGGUAACGUAGGCCUCACCCAAAUCAUUGGACAACACUGUGGAUUCGACUUCUGUAACAUAGUGGCGGGCUAUGUUACAUGACAUAGCCAGUAAUAUUGUGCCACGUGUCACUUCUUUUUUAAAUAAAAAAAAUAAAAUAAAGAAAAGAAAAGGAACAACAACAGUACAUACGCACAUACUUCUUCUUCAAAAGCGUCUCCUCACUUCUUCUUGUGCUACCCACCCACAAUCAUCAUCUGUGCACAGACCGCCUUCACUUCUCCACCAUUCGCCGCCUUAUUCCUCCGCUGCCGGAAUCAUCUAUGCACAGAUCUCUGUCAUGGACUGAUGAAUUGACCAAUGUUCUGUCAAAGGGAUUCAAUAUUGUAUUGUGUAGUUGUGUUUUCAUUUUCAAAUUUGUUGAAUUUAUUUGAAAUUGACUAGAGAUUGAGAGUUAUUAUCUCAGAAAAUUGAUUUGGAAUUUGAAAAUGCUCAAUAAAAAAAAUGUUUCUACUUGUUAUGUGAAUCCAAGACUGUGUUGGCACGAUGGAGGAGUGAUUGUGACCUCUGAGAUGUGUUAGCAUUCUGUUAAAAUUGCGGCAUCAGAUUCUAGUUUGAACUGUUUAAAUUGCGGCAUCGGAUUCUGGUUUGACACGUGGCACAAUAUUAUUGGCUAUGUCAUGUGACAUAGCCCGUCACUCUGUUACAGAAGUCGAAUCCUAACAGUGUCAUGUAACAUUGACCAACUACAGUGUACCAUGUGUCACCCUUUACUUAAAAAAUACUCGAAAAACCAAAAAAUAUCAAAACCAAUGCAAUCAUUAAUUAAUGUAACUUUUUGAAUAUUUUUACAAAUACACCCUCAUAAAAAAUUGUGAAGCAUUAAAUAUACUAACUAAUACUCCCUCCGUCCCUAAUUAUAAGACACUUUUAAGAGUUUUUUUUGUCCCUUUUUAUAAAACCCCUUUGCUAUUUUCAACUAUAUUAAUUAUUUCUUUACAUGCAUGCCCCUAUUUAUUAUACAUAAUUUUCUUUAAUCAGCAAUAAAUAUCAUGUUGAAAACAUAAACCAAUUCUCUCUUAAAGGAUAAAAUUGUAAAAACAAUAGCAAUUACAAACAUAUUUAAUACAAAUAUCCACUAUCUUAAUUCCCGUUAUUUUUUUAAAAGGGUCUUAUAAUUAGGGACGGAGGGAGUAUUAAAUAAAGGGUAUAAAAGUCUUUUAAAUAAUAAUUACACCUUAAAAAUUGUGACAUUUUUUUUAUAAAUAGGACGAUUUUUUUUUUUUUUUGAAUAUUUUCUUAUAUAUAAGACCGGAAGGAGUAUAAGAAAAACUAAAAAAUUCUUAUGAAAGCAAGAGAAGAAAACCACUUAUUACAUUGUAGUUGAUCAAUAUCACAUGAAAUUGACACCACAAUGUCACAUAAGUGUUGUCCCAAAUCAUCAAACUAUGAAGUAUGUAUGGAUUAAAACAUCAUAUGCAAAUAUUUAGAUCAUGAUUCACCAUUUCUAAUAGAUUGUAUGCUAUGUCAAAUCCUUAACUAUACCACUAGAUAAAAUGGAUGUAAGAGCGAGUUUAAAAGGCCAAUCGUGUAUAAUAUUAACUAGGAUACGAAGAAUGUAUAUUAAACAAUUUAUUCCUAUCCUAACUAAUAUACAUGAAUCACUAUCACAUUAAUAUCUAUAUGAAACUUUCAACAAUGCAGUCCCAAGGAUCUGCCAAUCAACCAAACUAUUCAUAGAACAAUGGCCUGCUCUCUUUGACUAGGUCAUGGUAUAAAGACCAAGAGUCCUUGUUCCCCAAUCAUCAACAACAUCAUGAUAUAGUCGCAGCAUUAUCCGAUUUUCAAUAUAAGCAAAUGUCAAAACAUAUUUAGUUCAAGUUAAGACCAAAUACAUUUUAAUUUUUGUUUUUGUUUUUUGUUUUGAGGAAAUACUUAAAUUUUAAACUGGAUUAGUACAUUGUAAGAAAGUAUAUACACUAUUAGUUUGCUUCUUAUAUUAUAUUUUAAAUGAAAUUGAACUUCAUACCGGUUCAACUUAGCUUGAUUUGUUGUCAAUUUAUGAGAGAGAUAAACAUAAAUGAUAAUUUUGUGAGAUCUAUCGAUGGGAUCCGCUAAAUCAUGAUUCUAUCAUUAGUAGUUACACAAUCCUUGUUACUAAUCUAAUCAAUUGAAUUUAUAAUAAAAUGUAUAACUACUCAAAUCACCAAGACAUUACUUUUUAAUUAAUAUAUUAUGGGUCCUGCUAACCGGUGCCUCCGGAGCACUGGUUAAGCAUACUAUAAAAGGAAAUUAUUAUCAUAAAAGGAAACUGUUUUUGACUUUAUUAUAAAUUAAUUACACAAUUUCAAUGCAUUAACUACUAUAUAAUUUCCUUUUUCAUAUCCUUAACAAGUGCACUGGGGGCACCGGUUAGCAUUUCCCAUAUAUUAUCUAGGGUUAAUUAAGUUUUUAGUCCCUAUAAAUAUUCACAGUUUUGUUUUUAGUCCCUACAAAAUAAAAUCACACUUUUUAGUCUCUGUGACAUUUUCCUUAAGCAUUUUAGGGACUAAAAAUGUUGAUGGAAAAAUUUUAUAGGGACUAAAAAUGUUGAUGGAAAAUUUUAUGGGGACUAAAAAUGUUGAUGGAAAAUUUUAUAGGGACUAAAAAAUAUGAUUUUAUUUUGUAGGGACUAAAAACUUAAUUAACCCUAUUAUCUAACUUAACUAAUUAGACCAAUCACCUAAUCAAUUUAGUUGUACCUAAUCGAUCAUCCUAAUUCCUAACGGCCUUAUAUUCAAUUAAAUUAAGCGUAGUAAAAACAUAUUUAUUAAUUCAGUUAAUCAUCAAACAUGAAAUCUAUUUACUAUAGCAACUUAUCACACAGUACGUACAAUAUAUCAAAGUUUGUUCUUAAAAAAAAAAAUCAGAGUUUGAAUUUUAUAUUGAGUUAAAUUCUUCCUCACAAUAUCAAUUUGUAUAAUGAUAAUUAUUGCUCUUUAUAAACUCAUUUCAAACCUUUAUUUUAUGCCAGAUAUAGGUUUUUUUCAAUAGUCACAUCACCCAUUAUUUAUUUAUUUAUUUAUGGCAUAGACAUCACCUAUUGUUUUAAAAUUAGGAUUCUAAGUAAACAAAUAAUAUAGAAGAUUAUCCAUUGUCUAUUUCAGACUACAUGUUAGUACUUCAUUGUUGAUUGUACUAUAAUAUUUUUUUGUAUAUUAUUGUAAUAUUAUUUUUGUCAAUUUGGAUAGGAGCCCCGUACACACUCGUAUUAAGUUCACACUGAUUUUGUACUACUUUUUUUUUUUUGGUAUGGAAGAAAUUAAAGACAUAAGACAUGCUUAAAUUCUGAAAAGCUUGAAUCCGUUUCGAGUUUAAGAGUAGGUUUUAGAAAUUAAGUAUCCAACGCUUCAGCAAGUUACGUGUCAUUCUCAUUUCAAUUCAAGUUUUUCUCUCUCAAUAUCAGAAUAAUUCCUUCGCUUAAAACUCUUAUGUGUUGCAACCGUCUCUCUCUCCCCAACACUUAAGAGUUUUAAGCGGACAAAUUAUUCUGAUGAUGAGAUAGAGAAGCUUAAAUUGGAAUGACAAGGAUAUAUAACUCAAUUAAUUGUCGAAUAUUUUCUUUAAACUUUUUUAUUUAUAGAUAUCUUAUGACCAUACAAGAAUAAUCGAGGUUUGGGUCUCAUUGCCAUACUAGAGGAAUCCCCUUGCAUCCAUGGGUAAAAAGAUUAUUUCACCAUCCUAUCUGUUUUUACACCAUGCAUCUUCAAAAGCAUAUGCCUAAUUCAUAUGACUCAUUAUAUUGCUAUAAUUAACUAUCUUAAUUAUCUCUCAAAAAAAAAAAAAAACUAUCUUAAUUAAUCAAGAAGGUAGCGUGCAAGCAUAAAAUUUGGUUGAAACUAACCAACUUUUUUUAGUAAUAUUCAUUUCAAUGAUAGUAAACUGUUGGUGAUAUUAUUAAAAUAAUAGUAGAAUAAAAUAUAUUAGUAUUUUAUUAGUCAUAAUAUAUAUUAUCUAUCAAUUUGACUUUGAAAGAGUUCAUUCAUUUCUUUUUUAUUUUAUUGGUACAAUUUUAGGGUUGUUUUAAGACAAAUAUUUUGACGGUUGUGACGAUCCCCCUAGGCAGAAGAGAAAACAUUUUGCUAAAAAGUGUGAUUUCUAAAAUUUUCAUAUCUUUCUUCUUCCAAAGUUUUAAGUUAUUUGAGCAGUAUAAGAAUUAUCGUGGAGUGUAGAAUUUCUUCCAAAGUUUUAAGUUAUUUGACUCAGUAUAUAUAUCUAUCAAGUGUUUGAGAAUUAUACCGACAUCUUUUUUUUUUCAUAAUAUAAUAUAUAUCAUAAUUUUAACUAAAAAAAUAUAUGUUCUUUCAAUAUAUAUAUAUAUAUAUAUAUAUAUAUAUAUAUAUAUAUAUAUAUAUAUAUUAAUCAUGUGCGGGAUAUUUUUUUCUCAAUGAUAGAACUUGCUUGCAUGUUAGGAGUACGUGUGUUUACUUAUAUGUAAUUGUCGCAAAUAUUAUAUAGUGAUUUGGGAAAGCAACUUUUAAGUAUGUGUAUGUUUUCUUAAAAAAAAAAAAAAAAUGUGUAUAUUUGUUUCAUUGAACAAAGAAAAAGUAUGUGUUUGGUUUGACGGUGGGGAAUGUUAUCGUACGCUUCAAUAAAUAGUCUUUUGUCAUUUUUAAAUGUUUGGUUAGGAAUUUUAGAAAAAUCUAUUAUGUCAUCUAAAUUAAUACUCAUUAAAAUUCAAGAGGUAACUUUGUAGAAUGACAUGUCUUUUUUCUCAUUGUUAACUUUCUUCUAUGCUUUUGAUUUCUAAAAUUUAUUCAUGUGCUUUAAUUUAAUUCUACUUGCACUUUUAAUUUGCAUAUAUGUUUAUGUUAGAUAUUAUUUUGAAUCACAGAAACUCAAUGAGAAUUAUUUAAGAAUGAUAAAAUCUUAUUCUUUUACAUUUUUUACCAAAGUGAGUUGUUUAUUGGACCAUAUUUUUAGUUUGGUCUUUGUUUAUGAGAACAUUGUUAGAUGAAAAUAAAAUAGUAAUUUUGGAUCAAAUUUGAAACAUUGUUGAAAUUAAGUUAUUUUUAACUUGAUUUUAAUGUUGGAAAUAAAAUUUUGUAUUGUUUCUUAAAAAUCGCAACAACCGAAUCAACCCAGACCACAUAGGUUUGAUUUUUAUUUUAAAAACCAACAAAUCAAACCAAACUAUAUGUUUUUUAUUUUAUUUUACGGUUCGGAUGACUUUUAACUUUUUAUUGAACAAGUUAAAAUGAUAUAUAAACAACUGUGAUUUACCCCGCACAAGGCGUGCAAAAGGCAAACCACACAAGAGUAUUUACAACCUCAAGGUGCAAUCACAAAGGGCGCACCACCAAUGCAAAAAAAUAGAGUUUUCCAAUACAAAGAAGCGAGUUUUCCCACCAAUCAUGAUAACUAUAACUAAAAGUCGCUUGUUUUGAUUUCAGCCAUAAAAAAGAGUUUAGUUUAACCUUUUUGAUGAAAAUAGAAGGAUCAGAAGCUGUGUUUUGGAAUACACGGUGAUUCAUCUCCUUCCAAAUAACCCAAAUAGAGGCAAACCAAAUAGUUGUGAAGAACGAAUGGGUGAAUCUAGACAUACCUGCCGUAUUAUUAAAUUGACCAAAAUGUUGUCGAAGGUCACCAGAAGAAACCGAAGAGAUACCUAACCAAUGCCACACAUGAGACCAAAGAGAACUGAAUAUAUCACAUCCUAAAAAAAGAUGUUGUGUUGUUUUCGCACCAAACUGCAUUGUGAACACCCCUAGUCGAGCCAAUUGGUUGAGCUUAUGUAGUUAACAAAAUUUAGUUAAAAAUAAAUAGAUCGAGAGAAUCCAAAUUUAAUUUUUGUCUGAACUAUCGUUGACGAGACUUUACUUAUCUUCUUUUCGAACUCAUGAUCAACAAUAUAUAUCAUUCUUAUUAGGGGUUAAAUAUGUUUUUGGUCACUAUAAAUAUGUCAACUUUCAUUUUAGUUCCUCUAAAAAAUUUCUUCAAACUUUAGUCGACAAAAAGUUUUUUAUCUUCACUUUUGGUCCCUCAUUUAGAGUAAACUCAUAUGUAGAAUUCAUAUUUUCGAAUAAAAUUUUGCAGAAAAAUUGAUAAUAUUAUAAGAAUCUCUCCAAACAAAAAUUAGAAUUUUUUUAACAAAAUAUGAAUUAAAUAUGUAUUUUUAUAUUUCGGCAGUUAAAAAUUCAUAUUUAAUUUAUGUUUUGUUAAAAAAUUCUAAUUUUUUUAGGGAGAUAAUUUUACAAUAUUCUACAUAAUUUCAUUAAAAAAAAAUACAAAAAUUAAAUUACAAGUAAGGACUAAAAGUAGUGAUUGAAAAUUUUAUAGCGACUAAAAGUUAAAGGAAAACUUUUGAGGGACUAAAACGAAAAGUUUGUAUAUUUGUAAGGAGCAAAAAUAUGUUUAACACUUUUUUUUACAACCGAAGAUUCAAAACAUAAAAAAAAAAAAAAAAAAAAAAAAAAAAAAUUUUUAAACCUUUUUUUUAAAACCAAAAAAAAAAAAAAAAAAAAAAAAAAAAAAAAAAAAAAAAAACAAUGUUUUCAAGUAGUUGGCAACAUAACACGACUCUCCUAGCAAACAUUGGCAAAAAUCUAGAAUUACUUGGCUGGAGGAGGGGGAUGCAAACUCCAGAUUUUUCCAUGGGGUUAUAUCCUCUACGAGACGUUCAAAUGCUAUUGUUUCUAAUUGAGUGAAUGGGGUGCAGAUUGAAAGGGUUAAAGGGGUGAGAAGUUCGGUUUUUGUUCAUUUCAGUCGGUAUUUUAAAAGGGUGGAUGUCGAGAGACCAAGCCUACGGAAGAUGGUGUUUAAAUAUUUUUCUAAUGAGGAGGGGGCUGAUCUUAUAAAACCCUUCUUGUUAAAGGAGAUUAAGGAGGCAAUGUGGGACUGUGAUAACUUUAAGAGUCCUGGGCCGGAUAGCAUUAACCUAAGAUUUUUUGAAUGAUUUUUGGAAUAUGUUGAAGGUGGAGUUACUGAUAUUUUUGCUGAAUUUCAUUGGAAUGACAGGUUGACUAAAGGUUUGAAUAGCACUUUUAUCGCCUUGAUUCCUAAAAUUGAGAACUCGCAGAGAUUGUCAGAUAUUCGACCUAUUUCAUUUGUUAAUAGUUUGUAUAAAAUUCUGUCCAAGAUGCUUGCUAACAAAUCUAUGAUGUCAUUGUUAUUGCUAAUGAGUUGGUGGAUGAUGCCUUCAAGUUAAAGAAAAUAAUUACUUCUGUUUAAGGUUGAUUUUGAAAAAGCAUACGAUUAAGUUGACUGGAGGUAUUUAGAAGAGGUUAUGAGUAAAAUGAAUUUUCCAUUUGCUUGGCGUAAGUGGAUGAUGGAAUGUGUUACUUCAACUUCAGCAUCGGUUCUUGUCAAUGAGAGUCUGACUGAUGAGUUUAUUUUGGAGAGAGGGCUUCGUCAAGGUGAUCCUCUUUCUCGUUUUCUUUUUCUAUUAGCUGUUGAAGGUUUAAAUGUUUUGAUGAAUGCGAUGGUGGAUAAUGGAAUAGUUAGUGGGUACAAUGUUCGGGCGCAAGAUGCUUUGACCGUAACUCAUUUACAAUUUGCUGAUGAUACCCUUUUGAUUGGUGGAAAAAGUUGGGCGAAUGUUUGCGCUUUGAAAAAUGUUUUGCUUUUAUUUUUGAAAAUAUCUGGUUUAAAAAUAAAUUUUCAUAAAAGCAUGUUGUUUGGUAUUAAUGUGGCGGUUUCUUGGCUCCAUGAGGCGGCGGUUGUUAUGAAUUGUAAGCAUGGUUGCUUACCUUUCGUGUACUUGGGGCUCCCGACUGGUGUUGAUCCGAGAAAGCUUUAGUUAUGGAACCCUUUGGUUCAGCGUAUUAGAAGUAGACUUUCUUGUUGGAAAAGCAAAAAUCUUUCGUUGGGGUUCGGAUGAUUCUCCUUAAGUCUGUACUGUCUAUUCCGGUUUAUUUUCUUUCCUUCUUCAAAUCUCCCUCAGGUAUCAUUUCUAUCCCUGACUCUUCAGUUUGGAGGUUUUGGGGAUUUUUCCAACAAGUCUUGUUUGACUUUUAAUAUUAUUUGGAUUUCAACUCUUUUUACUAUAUGGAAGGACCGCAAUAUGAGACAUUUUUACAAUAAAUCGGAACACCUGCUAUCUUUAUUGAAAAAGAUUAAACUACAAGUCUUUUGGUUGUUUAAAUAUAAUCUCAUAAUGCUGUUUUUGAUUUUGAUUAUUCAUUAUGUUUUUAGGUUGUAACAUAAUUUUAUUCUUCUUGGCUACUUUGUGGUAACAUAUGGAUCGUCUUAUUGUAAUUUUUAAAUACUUUAACUUCCUUUUAUACAUCUUGUACUAGAGGAUCCUGUGGUGGUUUUUAUAAUAUUUUGUUUAACUUCUUAAAAAAAACACGACACUCCUAAUAAAAGAUAUAUAUAUUUGAUUUUUGUUUUUAGAUAAAUAUAUUUGAUUUUUGAAGUCGUUUAUUAAGUCGUAUGAAAGACGCUUGUUCAAAAAAGUCGUAUAAAAAACGAAUAUCGCUUUGGGGAUGCUAUAGUAUGUCUUGUAGCUAUAAUUGAAACAUUAGCCAUGGGAGUGGAACCCAAAACUACAAUGAAUUAAUUUUUUUUUGUUUUAAAUAUUUGGGACCAAGGAAAAUGGGCUGAGCUGUCUUUGUGACCUAUUUUUGCUAUAGAAUAGACAAAUGUUCUUUAAAUCAAUUUGUCCACAAACCCUAGCGACAGUGAGUAAGGAAGGAAAAGUCAGCAUUUAAUUGUUACUCCAACACGGUUAAAAUUCUGUGUAGUAAAAAAUAGCGGAUUAUGAAUAAGUUACCUUAUAGCGAAUGACUUAUAAGUUGAUUUAUGUUUGUUAAAGGAUAAAAUAACUGAUUGGGUUUGUAGUAUUUAUUAAAAUUAACGGUUGAUUUUUUUCUUCUUCCAGCAACACCUUAUUAGUAUAAGUAAUGAUAUUUGAACAACUAUUUUGGUACAACUUUGUUGUUCUCUCUUCUUAUUGGUCAAAAACAAUGGAGAGAGAAAAAUGAAGAGAGAGAAUAAGAAGAUAAUGUGAGUAUGAGAGAGAGAGUUAUACAAAAGUUGUACAAAAAUGGUUGUACGAAUAACAUUUGUCUAUUGAGUUAGUAUAUUAAGAAAAAAAAAGUAAAAAAAGAGAGGGGGUGUAGACCAAAACACUCAAAGAAAGAAAUUUAGGAUUAAAAUCAAAGCUUCAAGUCGACACCUUUGGGAGCAACUACACUGAGCGUAAAUUAACUGAUUCUCUGCAUAGUCAAUUUUGAUGGACAAGACCAGAGAAAGCUUCACUUUGACUUUAAAUAAAUGGACAAUGACACAAAGCCUCUUAGAUUAAUUAGACCUUAUAUUAUAUACCUCUCUGAUUAAUUGGCAAGAAUCAAUAUGCGACAUUUGUGAAAGAAAAAAAAAGUAUAAACUGUUUCGUAUUAGCGUGGCAGGUCCUCGCGAGCUUACCUCAGUUGAUAGGGACAAUGCAUAUAUUAUGUAAGGUCCGAGGUUCAAACCUCAAUCUUUACCAAAUAAAUAUUAGCGUGGCAGAAAUCACGGGUUAAGUGGAUCAUUAAUUAUGCAGUCGUGUUAUUUUUGUAUUAAUGCUUUUAUAAUAUUAAGCAUUUUCCAAAAAAAAAUGUAUCUUUCCUUUAAAACCGAAGGUAUGUACGCGAAGAAAACUAUAUGGUUUUCAAGCAGUUAGUUGGUAAAAGUUACAUAACACAGUCUCUCUAACCUAAGUUAUAUAUAUAUAUAUACAAUUUAUGAAGUCGUUUAUUAUGGAAACAAUUAUCCACAAAUCACAAAUGUAUUAUCUAAAAACCUAAAUCCUUAACAAAAUCUGCAGAAAAUGGAUUACCUGCGGAAUUGUUACCAAAUUCUGCGGGUAAAUCUGCAGGAAAGUUGGGAGUUUAUAGUAGUGGCAGUUCAAACCCAUAUAAAAAACGAAUAUCUCUUUGGUGAUUCUAUAGAAUGUCCUGUAGUUAUAAUAGAGAAAACAUUAUCUGUGGAAGUGGAACCCAAUAUACAAUGAGUUAACAAAAUAAAUUAAAUAUCUGGGGACCAAGGAAAUUGGGUUCAGUUGUCCUUGUAACCUAAUUUUCAUAGAAUAGACAAAUGGUCUUUAAAGCAAUUUGUCCACAAAACCAAACCACACUUCAGUAAGGAAGGAAAAGUCAGCCUAUAAUUGUUACUCCACUCAACUUAAUUGAGAUUCUGUUUGAUAAAAAAUAAUGGAUACUUAAGGCAGAUAACUUAUAAGUAUAAAAUAAUAACAUAAAAAGAACUAUUUUUAAUUAUUAUUUAUUUAUUUAUUUUAAUUAAGAUUGCAUGAGCGAAAUUGAGAUAAAUAAUGAUAAUGAUAACUUACUUGAAUUGACUCGUCAAAAACUACUAUAAACUCAUAAAAUAAGCUAUACGCUCAUGAGAAAAUAACGGUUUUUAAAUAAGUCUUUUUUAGUUCAAUUGUGUUUUAUCAAACAUACCCUAAACGACACAUUUGAAUUGUACGUAAUUUUUUUUUAAAAAGUCAAUAAUUGGAUGAAUUGCAUCGGUUUCAAUUGAUAUCAUUUAUUAAAAUAUUUUUAUUAAUUAUAGUUAGUAGUAAUUAGAUAAGUGAAAUUCAAUAAAAUGAGUGUAACUACAGGACAAAAAGUAAGUUAAAGGACCAAAAAGAAACUUUUAAUAGUUAAGGGACCAAAAUGAAACCAAAAAGUAAAUUAAGGGACCAAAACGAAACUUUUAAUAGUUAAGAGACUAAAACGAAACCAAAAAAUAAGUUAAGGGACCAAAAGAGUAAUUAAACCAUUUUUUUUUACAAAACAAUAAAUGAAAGUAUGUUAAUGAAAGUAAAAUGUAAAUGUUGAAAAUGACAAUUGCUUUAGAACAGACAAAAGUUUAAGUAUGAUAUUUUUUACGAGACAAAAAUAGUAACAUUCACAUGUAAAGACUUUUGGGUUUGUUAGGGCAAAUGUCCCACCACCUCGGAACAUUCAGAAGAGGAAAAAAUAAAUAAGGCUAAAUAAUGCAAAGGCUUUGAUUUGAAAUUGAAUUAUUUUGACUCAUUGUGUGGAUUUUAGGUAUGUUUGGUGGGUAACCUACACCAUUCAAUCAUUCCCAUCACAUAAUUAAAUGAAUCUCACUUAAUAAAAUUGAAAAUAAUAUACUCCCUCCGAUCUCAAAAACAAAAGAAGAUUUUAUUCAUGUUCAUUGAAUAGAUACUGUAUAUGGUUUAGAAUACAGAUUAGAUACAUCAUUUAUUCAAUGAAUUUAAAAAAUAAAAUCUUAUUUAUUCAUUUUUUUGAGAGUUUUCUUGUCCGUCCUUUAUUAAAUAAAAAUAAUUAUUAACUUAUUUUUUUAUUGAGCCAAAAAACUGCAUCAGCAACAUAUACUAGCAAGAAAACUCCUUUUUAGGCACCAAAAUGAGUGCCCGAAGAGCAAUUUCCUUCCAGAAAAUCCAUUCAACGAAUAUCAAAUCAAAUGAUAAUCUAUAAAUCGGAUCGAGAAAGAUUCCCUCAACAGAUCAAACAUAUAUUCACCUAUUUCUCCUAAAACCCUAUUUAGAAAAGGAAAUCAGAAAAGGAUAAAGGUACACACAUUCUAAUUCUAUACCAAAAUACCUCUCACCCACUUUAGUGAAAGAUAAACUUGAGUGUUCAAGUGAUUGCAAAUCAACACCUUCAUCGAUGAGCUCAAUCAAUGUCCUUUGUUGUGAUAUUCAAUGUCCUUUGUUGUGAUAAAAAUAACCUUAAGGCAUUAUAGAUUUUCAUACUCUGUCCAAAAAAAGUAAUUUUUGACACUUGCCAAUAUGUGCUGGAAAGCUAAGGAAUAGAGCUACACAUUUAUGUUGAAAAAAAAGCCCAAUUUAAACGUUCUACUUAUCAAAAUUGCGAAUUUCUGAAACAUUAAAGUUGACUAAGAGUUUUUGGACCACUUAAUCCUAUGUAUUGGGCCGAAUAGCCCAUAUCGGGUCAACUUAUGUUAAGACCCAUUUUGAACCGUCAAUAUAUUCCUAAGGGCUUAGAGGCCCUCCAAAAGGGUCGGAAGCCCUCCAAAAGGCUUGGGACGCCCUCGGAAAGGGCCCCAAGGCCUAGGCGUGCCCUUCCAAUGGCGUCGCCUCAAUCAGCUUGUAGAAGCCUCUAGAGCUCGGCAAAAAGACUUAAAAUCCCUCGUUGCUUAGGGCUUAAGUCACAAAAAACCAAGCCCACAAUAGGCUAUAAAAACCUCCCAUUGAGGUCUAUUAGGUGAAAUAUCUUGUCUAAAAUGGGAAGGUUACUUGUCUAAAACUUCUUGUUCAUAAUGGUCAAAUGUUGCAACGACCUCUGCACAUGUCUAUUAGGUGAAAUAUCUACGCGUCUUUUUAUGAGCUACAUAAUUUGGUUGGAAUUAGGAUUUGCUUAGUAGACAAGUAUGAGAUGUUUUUAGGAGUACAUACUUUGUAGUUGUAACCUAUUUUGAAUGUUAAGGAGGAUGAGGUUUCCGACAAGUAUUUUGUGGUUGCAACCUAUAAGAGAACGAAAGAGAAAUACCUAUAUCGAGCAGAUGCAUGAAUUAGAGUUAUGUUAGAACAACAACUAGUAACAAAAAAUUAUAAGAGAACGAAAGAGAAAGACAAUGAACACACAAUAUUUUUUAACACAGUUCGGCAAAUUGUGCCUACGUAUUGAAAAAGGAACAUGGGUCGUAUGAGAAGGAAAGGAACGAGAGCUUAAAUGGAAAAUGAGAGUGGAAAAAGGAACCGAACAAGCUUAAAUGAAGUUUGGGGAAAGCUUCGAUUGAGCCAUGGGUGAUAGAGAUUAAGGUUUCAAUCUGGGGGAAAGUGAGAUUGUGGGUAAGAGUGGUGGAGAUUUUCAUUUCAAUUUGGGGAAAAGUGAAUAAAAUUUGGUUUUAGGGUUUUGAAGCUGUGGGAGAGAGAAUGAAAAUGGAAAAGCUGGGGUGAUAGGUAUUUGGCCAAAAGAUAUAUGGUGAAGCGUGUUUGAAAAAAAAGCAUAAAACCUACGACCCUUAAGACUAACCGUCGCAGUAACAAUCACAAAAGUGUAAUCGCGACAGUUAUAAGCUAAGGGUCGCAAAGUAAGUGUCGCAAAAUGCCAAUUUUCUUGUAGUGUACCUAUGCGACUAUAGGGCAACUAUAGUUCCGUUUCUAUUACUGUGAUAAGAAUUAGGAUUUCAGUGUUACAAACUGUAUAUAUAGUACUAUCAUGAUGUAGUUCACAAUAUUACGCCUUGUCUUCUUCAAUGUCUUCUAUAUAUGAGUCAUACUUCAAAAAUAUCCAUCUUAGCGAAUAUCAAACCCUUAUGAAGACUUCUUGCAUUACAAUCACAUCCUAGCAAAAUUAUCUAUAAUAAAAAAGAUCUUAAAAAUGUGUUGAAUUUUGGUUCAAUUUUGACCCAAAAUCAUCCAUUCAAAUUAUUUUUCCUUCGUUUUUAGUUAAAUAAGUGACGUACACAUAUUUUCAACAUUCUUUCAUUUCUUUUGAUUUUCGUCUUAGUGCGGUAUUUAUUUGAUUCAGGUUGAAAGACUAAGUUUGAACAAGUGCAUAUUCAAUCCUUGACUUUGACUUCGUCAAUAUUGCAGAUCCGGAGACAUGCGUAUUCCAGAGACUUGAAUAUUUGUAAACAUAGAUACUCUGUCGUUUUAUGUUAUUAACAUGCAUGCAUGCAUGCGUGAGAUUGUUUAUAAAUUUAUCCUUUUUAUUUUUAGUAACUCUGAAUUUGUAUUAUAUUGAUGUACUUUAUCAAUUUAACUGAUCAUUUAUUUGUGUUGAAAAAAAACAAUUUUCUUUAUGUGGCCGCCAGAUUAGCUCCCAUAGUGAUUAGAAAGUAAACAAUAAAGAAAGUUACACGCAAUUUCAUGGUUGGUUGUAUAAAGUCUUGUCCAGCUAAGUUGUAACAUAAUUAAAAAAAAAAGACUAUUCAUUAUUCAAAUUUGAAAAAGAUAUAAUGAUAAAGACAUUUUAUCACCUUAUUAGUAUUAAAAAAGCACAGAUAAUCACCUAGACACUGUGGCUAAGUAAUAGUCUUAGUUGGAAAAAGAAAAGUAUUGCAUAUUCUUUUUUUUGGAGAGAAAAGUAUUGCCUAUUCUGUAAGUCAUUGUAUGAGUAAACCUAGCUAGCUACUUGCCGUACAUAUAACAUGAUUUAGAUUUACUGGCUCAAAAUAUGAGAAUGUUCCUUUAGUCAAAGAGAAAAAAGACCUAUUUGUUCUUUUUGCAAAUAGAAUUAAUUCUUACAUCAGUCUUAAAAUAUUUAUAUGUUACGGAUCGUUUUAAAUAUAGGGUCUUAUUAACUAGUACUUUUAAGAUAUUGAUUAAUAAAUCCAAUAACAGAAACUUUGUUUUCGGAAUAUAAAUUUUUACUUUUUACUAAUCAAUAAUCGCAUCACUUUUUUAACGUAAAUUUAUUAAUUUUAACACCAUAACCAAUGCCUCAAAGGCAUUUAUUAUUAUUCCCCUUAAAUAUAAUAUCUUCUUAAGUAAUUUUUUGUCUUUGUUUUAUGACUAUUUUGAUAAUUUUAUGUAAGCAAUAAGUAAAUUAAUAAUAAAUACUAUAACGAAUAAAACACUAGAAAAAGCAAAAUUAAGGAGGGAAAUUAGUGACGGAAAAAAUAAAAUCCCUUACAAAAUCUUUGGUCAUAAAAUUUAGUGACGGAAUUAGAGAAUGAUUUCAUAUUUUUGCUCUCUAAAUUUUCCUCACUAGUUUUUGCUUUUUAGUAGUGAAAGUUUUAUGUGGAGUGUUGCAAGAAAGCUAGCAGUUUGCAACAGGAGCACUAUAUGUUUACGACAACGAGUUGGAGUAUAUGGAGGAGUAGGAAUGCAUCGUUAUGGGAGGAUGUAUUUGCGAGAGUUGUUGAAGUAAUUUAUCGCGGUAAUGUUUUACUUAAGGAGUGGAGGGAGCACAUCAAGAAAAUGGAAAGUUUUGAUUCAAUUUCAACAUUUCUUCACCUUGACUCUAAAUUAGUGAUGAUGAAGAAGAACUCUCUCAGCGCAAAAUUGGGGCCCGAUUUUCGCACAUCAGGGGCCGAAUUUUUACAAGACAAAAGUCUCAAAACACCAUGUCACAAGCGGAGAAGACCGAGAUGGUGGACAAGGCUAGGAGUGACAUUGUCUUAUGCCUCGGGGAAAAAGUUUUGGGGGAUGUCGCUAAGGAACCAAACGCGACAUCGAUGUGGUCAAAGUUGGAGUCAUUGUAUAUGACAAAGUCUUUGGCUCAUUGGCAAUUCCUAAAGCAAGCACUCUACUCAUUCAAGAUGGUGGAGUCAAAGACCACCAUGGAGAAACUUACAGAGUUCAACAAGAUCCUUGAUGAUUUGGAGAACAUUGAGGUGCAUCUUGUGGAUGAAGAUAAAGAUAUACUCUUGUUCUGUGCGCUACCGAGAUUAUUGGAAUCUUUCGAGGAUACAAUGAUUUAUGGCAAAGAAGGCACUGUCACCUUAGAAGAUGUUCAAACGGCUUUGAGAACCAAGGAGUUGACCAAGUCCAAGGAUUUGAUAGCUGAUGAAAACGGUGAAGGUCUAAGUGUUUCAAGAGGGCAUGGUGGAGGUAGAGGUAAUCAGAGAAAGGGCGGUAAAAAGUCAAAAUUUAAGUGCUUUAACUGUCACAUGAUGGGUCACUUCAAGAAGGAUUGUCCGGAGAACAAUGAUAAUUAUCUCCGACGGUUAUGAGGAUUCGGGUGCUUUGGUGGUGUCUCAUUGGGGGUGAAAUGUUGAAAUUGAGUCAAAAUUUGAUGAAUGAAGAAGAUUGUUGCUAAAAAUAUAAAAUAUCGAUGCGUCUAUUUAUGAGCAUCAUAAUUACGUUGGAAUCUUGAUUUGCUUAGUGGACAAGUAUGAGAUGUUUUGGGACAAGUAUGAGAUGUUAAGGAGGGUGAGGUUUCAGCAUAUAUCGAUCGGAUGCAUGAAUUAGAGUUCAACAAAGUUAUCUUUACUUUAGAUUCAAAGAGUGUUGUGGACUCUUUAAACUUACUCACCAAUAAUAGAACCGAUGCAUAUUCCAGUUUAAGUAGAUGUUAUAGUAAUUUAAAUCAUCGUUUUGUAAAAACUCUUUUGCUGAUUGUUUUAGAAGAGAGAGUAAUAUGUUUGCUCCUAACUUUGCUAAGGUGACUAUAGGUCCGUUUGUUAUAGCUUUUUAUUAAAAAAAAUUUAACAAAGAAAUUUUCAAAGAAAACUUCAAAUGAAAAAUUCGUUUGAAUAACUUAUCUUAAAAUGUCAUUUUAAAUAGUUCAUCAUUUUGUUAUAUUCUUUUUUGGAUACUAAAAUUUGGAAAAAAUCUCUAAAAUAUAAACUAUUUCAAAUAGUUUUUUAUAAAAAUAUUUUUCAAAGAUAUCGUUUUGAAAAAAAUAUGAAAGAAUUAAAUUUAGAAGGUUCUCGUUAGUAUUCAUACAAUUUCAAACCUUUGAACUAUAGUACAAUAAUUAAUCCUCAAUAAGCAGAAGCUUCUUAAUAUUAACCAUAAUAUUUUCACUCAAAGGGAUCGUCAUGUUUUUUAAUAUCUUUUUCAUCAAGCAUGCAUUUUUAUGUUAGUACAAUCAAUCGAUAUUGUCUUUUAUUUUUUUAACUCACAGUCCACAUUAUCUAUCCACCUAUAUAUAUAUAUAUAUAUAUAUAUAUAUAUAUAUAUAUACACCCAUGAAGGUGUCUUUUAGCAACCCACACCUCAAGGUGUGAUUUUCACUUUUUAGUUAUAACUUUGCUAAAAGACACCUUCAUAAAAAUUAGUUGGUGUCUUCUAACAAAUGCUAAUAUAAUAACUUGCUAAAAGACACCUUCAUAAAAGGUGUCUUCGACUUCUAGCAAAACUCAUAUAUAUAUAUAUAUAUAUAUAUAUAUAUAUAUAUAUAUAUAUAUAUAUAUUUUGAAGAAUUCCACCUAUAUAUUUAAAAUGACCUUUAAAAUUAUAUAAAAGAGACCUUUCCUAGAAAAAUAUAUAGAAUAAAAAAGACCUUAAAAAUGUGUGGUAUUUUACAUGAUAUAUGGCGGCCAGAUUAGAUUAGUUCCCCUUGGUGAUUAGAUAGUUAACAAUAAAAAAAGUUACAUAAUAUCUUGUAUAAUAUAUUUUUAUUUUUUUUGAAGGAUGGUUGUAUAAUAUCUUGUCCAGCUAAGUUGUAACAUAAUUCAAAAAAAGACUAUUCAUUAUUCAAAUUUGAAAAUGAUGUAAUAAUGAUAAAGACAUUCUAUCAACCUUAUCAGUAUUAAAAAGGAAAAAGAAAAGUAUUGCAUAUUCUGUAAGUCAUUGUAUGAGUAAACCUAGCUAACUACUUGUCUUACAGCAGUCUUAAAAUAUUUAUUUGUUACAGUUCGUCUUUAAGUAUAAUAUCUUCUUAGUAAUUUUUUGUCUUUGUUAUAUGACUAUUUUUGAUAAUUUAAUUGUCUCUAUUAAUUAUUUUUUUCAAAAUUAAUACGUCUAAUUAUUGUAGAUACUUUUUUUUUUUUUUAUGUAAACAAUAAGUAAAAUAAUAAUAAGUACUACAAAAGAUAAAUUUAGGAAAAAAAAAUAGUAUAAUUAGGUAAAAAAAUUGUCUGUUUUAUUGUAAUUUUUAGGAAACAAUAAGUAAAUUUAACUAAAAAUUGUCUAAUGAGGUAAAUUACCUAAAAAUGGCAUAAUGAUAUAUAUCACCUAAACAUGUCUGUCUUAAUAACAAAUGAAGUAGUAAAAUUGAUUAAUGAGAUUUAUAUGAAAAAGUGGUUAGCAACAUAAGUUUCUCAUAUGACUGUAUUUGUGUCAAAUUUUUGUGGUCCAAUAUCAUUGCUCAUAUCUUUUUUGGUUACAAUCAUUGCUAUAUGAUUUUACUUUUUUAGGAGUGCUAAUAUGAUAUAUCUAUCAAGCAAACUAUUUUAUUAUUAUAUAUGACGUAAAUUUUCCAAUAAUUGAUACUCUCUUUUAGGUCACAUUUACAAGCAAUUUUGCUUUAUCAUUUAUUGAAUAACUGAUAUAUUUAGACUAUAAUAUAGUUCAGAUACAUCAGUUGUUUAUAUCUGAUAAAGUAAAAUUUGCUUAUAAAUAUAAGUGGAGGGAGUAUCAUAGUAGCAAUGGUACACUACUAGAAAAAGUAAAAUUAGCGAGGGAAAUUAGUGACGUAAAAAAUGAAAUUCCUCACAAAUUUUUUGAUCGAAAAUUUAGUGACGAAAUUAGAGAGGGAUUUUAUGUUUUCCCUCACUAAAUAUUCCUCACUAAUUUUUGUUUUUUUGGUAGUGGUAAACUAACCUGCUCCAUAUGAACAUAACCUUAGAUAUUGACCAGUUCCAUGCAUAUACUUUUCCACGUUAAUGACAAGACAAAUCAAAUUCCUAAUAGCAAUUUUUAAAUGUCUUUGUCAAAACAAAAAUGUCUUUGUCAUAAUAUAAUAAAUCGUUUUUAAAAUGCCUAUAUCAACGCGUGGAUCAAACAUACAAUAAUAAAAAAACUCAUGGAUCAGACACACUUCAUGAUUGAUGAUUGUGAACACUACCCCACAGUUAAAUUUUGAGAAUUUACUGCUCUAUAUAUUAUAUCUCAUCAUGAAUGUAUUGAGGAGAAAAUCACAUCAUGAUUUACUGACUUUAUGGCAGGAAAACCAUCGUAAGAAUAAUAAUGCUUGUCCAUAUGAUCCAGUUCCAUGCAUAUACUUUCCAAUAGUUGGAAUAACAGUUAAAGGAAAAUUUCAUUAAAAAAAAAUUGUUGAAGGAAGAGUGAUUUUUAUUUGUGUUUAAACACAAGACAAAAGUAGAAAACAGCGAGAGAGAAAGGAAGAGAGAACACAAAAUAAUUUGUUGAUUCAGUUCGGUCCAAAUUAACCUAGUUUAGGGAGAGAACAGCCAUCCAUUUUACUAUAUGAUGAGUAACCUUACAAAAGAGAUAUCAAUGGGUUACAAGAAUAAAUCUCCCACUUAAUUAUACCUAAAGUCUCAAUCUCUUCCCGUAACCAAUAGACUCGAUCUUAAUAGUGUUUCCCAACGUGAAACAACCCUCAAACCCUAGUGUUUGUUCCAGAGACAAACUCUAUACAAACCCUAGUUUUGUUGUUGCAUUUCUAAACCCUUGUUUCAGCCCCUUUAUCUCAAGGUUUACAAUGAUACAAUGUCUAUAUUUAAAGUAAAAGAAUCCUCAAUAAAACUGGAACAAAUCUAGGCCCGAAAAUAUGUUUCUGUUUUAUUUUCUGCUGUCAAAAUCAGUCACCAUGCUCACCAAAUUGGCCACCGAUUUUUGCCGAAUCUGAAGCUCAAAUAAAAUAGUAUUCCAAUUUCUUUAAUUUUGAGGCACUUUCACAACAGAUAACAUGUAAAGUUUUUCAAAGUUUGCUGCUGACAAAGCACAGAUUAAUUUGAUCAUAUACCUAAUAAAUACCGAUUUGAAUUACUUUGAAAUUGUCAAGAAAAGUUUUUUCUUGGUACAAGUAAAUAAAAAACAAAGUUUUUACUUACCUUGAAAUUAGCUGACAAACCCAAAUAAUAAAAUAAUGAUUAAUACAUCUAAACUUCUAUAUUUAUACAUAAAGGAUACAUGACUUUAUAUUGGUUCUUUAUCUUCUAAUUAUUCUAAUAUAUAUACUCUUUAAGAUUAAAAUAAAAUAAGUAUAUGAUUUAGCACAAUAGAAAACUAGGACGAACAUAUAGUACUUAUUAUUAUAAAAUUUUAUUUACCUUCGACCAUACUUCGAUUUAUGAAGAUUCAGAUUCUUAAAGUAUCGAAGGGUUAACACAAUAAUAACUAAAAAUAUAUAUAAAAAAGAUGGGUACAUAGAAUCCAUUUUAACACUAAUACUACUAAAAUAAAAAAAACAAAGGUAGUGUCAACAUUUUCCAGCUAAUAAGCUCACUUACUUUAAAUAAUUUCAUUCAUGAAUAGUUUGCUGUCUUUAUCAAAUACAUAUCCACGUUCCAUGAAUAAACAACUUGUGUCACAUUGGUCCAAAAAGCAUACUGAAUUAUUCAAAGGCAGGCCAUUAUUUGUAUCCUAUGUUUUAAAUUAAUAAUAACCUCAGAUUUGUAAAAAUAAUUUGUUAAAAAAGGAUUACAAGAAUUUUUAUUGUAUUUUUUUUAGAGAGGUUGAAAACUAGGUGAAUUUUAAUAUGUACCAAAUCAAAGUUCAGUAACCAAGAUGAAUAGUUAAGUUAAAGUGGUAAUGAAAAAACUAUAUAAAGGGUGAUGCUGCCUUCAUUACAUCAACAACGAAACCCACUUUGGGAAAAAGAUGGGGUCUCAAAUGGCCUCUAUUACUCUCACUAUUGCAUUGGCAAUAAUCUCUCUUACCUUGCCAUCCCAAACUUCAGCAAACAGCUACAUCUAUUCAUCUCCACCACCACCACCAAAGCCUUACUACUACCACUCUCCACCACCACCGGUGCACUCACCACCUCCUCCUUACCAUUACAGUUCCCCACCACCACCUCCAAAGAAGCCAUACAAAUACGCUUCUCCUCCACCUCCAGUUUACAAGUACAAAUCACCUCCUCCACCAGUGUAUAAGUAUAAGUCUCCUCCUCCACCACCGAAGAAGCCAUAUAAAUAUCCAUCUCCACCACCACCAGUUUACAAGUACAAGUCACCUCCUCCACCAGUUUACAAGUAUAAAUCUCCUCCACCACCAGUUUACAAGUACAAAUCACCUCCUCCACCGGUGUACAAGUAUAAAUCCCCUCCUCCACCAGUGUACAAGUACAAGUCUCCUCCACCACCACCUAAGAAGCCAUAUAAAUACCCAUCUCCACCACCGCCAGUUUACAAGUACAAAUCACCUCCACCACCGGUGUACAAGUACAAAUCUCCUCCACCACCAGUUUACAAGUAUAAAUCCCCUCCUCCACCAGUGUACAAGUACAAGUCUCCUCCACCACCACCAAAAAAGCCAUAUAAAUACCCAUCUCCCCCACCACCAGUUUACAAGUACAAAUCACCUCCUCCUCCAGUUUACAAGUAUAAAUCUCCUCCACCACCAGUUUACAAGUAUAAGUCACCUCCUCCCCCAGUUUACAAGUACAAAUCUCCACCACCACCACCCAAGAAACCAUACAAGUAUCCAUCACCACCACCACCAGUUUACAAGUAUAAGUCUCCCCCUCCACCUGUCUACUCACCACCACCAGUUUACAAGUAUAAGUCUCCUCCUCCACCUGUCUAUUCACCACCUCCACCAUAUAAGUACAAAUCUCCACCACCUCCUCCUUAUAAGUACCCAUCACCACCACCACCAGUUUACAAGUACAAGUCACCUCCUCCCCCAGUUUACAAGUACAAAUCUCCACCACCACCACCCAAGAAACCAUACAAGUAUCCAUCACCACCACCACCAGUUUACAAAUAUAAGUCCCCUCCUCCACCUGUAUACUCACCACCUCCACCAGUUUACAAGUAUAAGUCUCCUCCUCCACCCGUCAAUUCACCACCUCCACCAUAUAAGUACAAAUCUCCACCACCUCCUCCUUAUAAGUACCCAUCACCACCACCGCCAGUUUACAAGUACAAAUCACCUCCUCCUCCAGUUUACAAGUACAAAUCUCCACCACCACCACCCAAGAAACCAUACAAGUACCCAUCACCACCACCACCCGUUUACAAAUAUAAGUCCCCUCCUCCACCAGUUUACAAGUAUAAAUCUCCUCCUCCACCUGUUCACUCACCACCUCCACCACACUAUGUCUACUCUUCACCUCCUCCUCCGGUCUAUUCCCCUCCUCCACCACAUUACAUAUAUUCAUCACCUCCUCCUCCUUACCACUCUUAGAUAACGGUUUACCAUAGUAUCCCAUGGUAUGCUUCUUUUUUAGUACGACCAAUAUCUUUAUGAUUAAAAUGCUUCGAGAAAUACUAAUUUAUAUAUCAACAAAAUAUAUGUAUUUUAUCAACGAAACAAUUAAAUAAGAGAAUCAAAAUUAGUGAUUUGAAUAGUUUUACAUGCCAACACAUGCAAGUCGUUAUAUAGACCUCACAUUCAUUUUAUUCUUAUUAUUCUUAUAGUCUAAAUAGUACAAUUUUCUUGAAACGUCUAAAUUGACAUACAUCUUAUGGUACAGUUUACAAAAAUCAAUCUAAGCCUAUUUUAUUUCUAUUUAUAGUAUUAUAUGUAAAUAGAAAAAAUAUACAAACUAAAAGGAAAGUUGACAGUUAUGUUUCUUAUUAAUGCUUCUCACUCGUAUUGUUCUUUGAGUGCUUAAUUAAUGUGUUUAUGUGUUUGUAUAUACUUUUGUAGGGAUUAAGGAAUAUUGGAAAUAAAGAGAACAUAGUGCAAAGCAGGAAGAUGCAUUUAGCAAUAAGGGAGAAAAACAACGGAAGCAAAGUUUCCAUGCAUUUUGGUCUCAGAAAAAGUCACUUUGUUUUUCUUAUUUGUUUGUAUAUGAAUUAUUAUUCUCAUUAUUGAGUUUGGUUAUUGAAUUUAGACAGGUGUAAUACACUGUGUGUAAUAUCGUGAAUGCAUUUUGUUUUGGAACCUACUCUUUGCAAGGGGUUGGUUGGGAAAAUAAAAUUGAAUAUUUGUUCUACUAAUUCUUUGCAUAUUUAUUGUGAAAUUACAAUAUAAUCAAUGCUCAACUAAUUAUUUUUUUCAACAGAAAACUAAUGCAUUUCAUUAAAAAUUAAAGGACCAAUAUAAAGGAGAAUGUCAAAUUAUAAAGCUAAGAAUUUCUGAAAAAAAAAAUAAAGUUGAGAACUGACGCUGUAUAUGUUUAGCUUAGCAAAGGUGCAUUGUGCAUCCAUAUUAGUCUCUCUCCUACAAAACUCGACAUAAGAAUUAUUACAUAAUAACGAUAAAGUACUACAAUAUCUACUUAAAAUAGAAUCUACAUAUCAAUAGCUGUUAAUAAGUUUAAAGUCUCACCCUCACUCAAUAACUUAUUUAAGCAUUGAAUGUUCAAUCCAAUUGCUAUUAAUUUCGACAAGCCGGUCCUAAUUUACUCUCUCUCGGUUUUCUCUUCCAGUUUCUUCAUUGAGGAGUUAUUUUGGGUCAAUUAUUGACCUGAAAUCACUCCUCUUCAUCUUUUUAUGCCUAUUUCAAUCUAAAUAAGUGAUUUUCACAUAGAUUUAGGUUUUUUCUUUGUGGUUUUAUCAUCUAAGUGUGGUGGUUUGUUGUUCGUCGUCUUGUGCGGCGUUGUUCGAUUUCACGUUUCUUGCGGUGUUCAUUUAAUUCAUAUUGAAAGAUUGAUUAUUCAAUCGAAGAUUUGGGCGUCAACGUUGCAGAUCCGGAUGCUAUGGAUAUUCCGGUCACUUUAAUUUUAUCAUAUAUUUUUUGUUGUGAAAACCACACCAAUAAUAAACUUGAUGCGUGGAGCAAAUUAAUACCAAGUAAUCAAAUCAAGCGGGUAGCAAAUAAUUCAAACAAAAGUAAACGACAAGAGAUAAAAGGAAAGAAGGAGAACACAAGAAUUUGUUUACCCAGUUCGGUCUAAUGAUGACCUAGUCUAGGGGAGAUAGCAGCUCUCUGCUUCACUAUAAUGAUAUGAGUUUCUUUACAAAGAGAUAUUGAAUUACAAGAAUCAGUCUUCAAACCUAAUUCUACCCAAGUCCCAGCCUCUUCCCGUGACCAAGAGACUCAAUCCUAAUGGUGCUUUGUUCAACGUGAAUCAAAACAAUCCCAACCCUAGUGUUUGUUGCCAAGAGAAAUUCUCUAUAAACCCUAUUUUCUACACAGUGUUUUGUUUCUACACACUCUCAGUCUCUCAAAUAUUCAUAUGAUACAAAGCUUAUAUUUAUAGUGGAAAGCAUUCCUCAAAAAUUGGAAACAGGCCCACAAGCUGUUUUAUUUUUCUCAUCUUGCGAGAAAUCGGCCAUCAAGUUUGGAAAAUCGGCCACCGAUUUUUCACGAGACAAAAGUCUCCAAAACCAGGUCAAAAUCGACCACCGUGUGGUGUAACACCCCAUUCCCAAAUAUAAUUUAUUUAAAUGAAAUAAACACACAUCAGAGUAAUAAAUCCAAAUGGGCAUGUCACACUACAUUUUCAAAUUUCUGAAAUAGAAUAUAAAAAAUCUAUUUAUUAAACAUCCAAUGAAAUCAUCAUUUAAUAUGCAGCGGAAUAUUAUCAACGAAACGUCAACAACUGUUUAAACCUCCAAAAUAAUAUCUCAGCAUAAAAAGCCUCAACCAGAAUAAUUCAUCAACCAUAGGGCUACAACAACAUUAACCAAAAUUUGAUACAUAGAAUGAAAGAAAACAAUAAAAUCCCAUCCCACGUAUCAGAGCCCUAGACACUUUGAGCCACCACCUACUACUCAGGAUCACCUGCAAGUUACCCAUAGGAAGGGCAACAUUUCCAAGCAGAAGGGGUGAGAUUCUCAAUCAAUAAAAAUAAAAUAUAAUAACAUCAAUUGAAAAUCUAGCACCUUACAACAUCAAUGAUUAUUCAAUAAGCAUAGGUAUUUCAUAAUCGACAACAAUCAUUCAAAUAUAGAAUUCAAUCAACAAUGCAACUCAUGAUAUGACAUGACACCCCCCUUUAAUACUCCUCAAUAAAUGCAACUAUGCAUGUGGUACCAUAAUUCAGGGCCAUGACCCACACCACUGUCGAAUGGUUAAAGCAUUCUCAGCAGGACCUAAGUCCUCACCGCUCCACACCGCUUUGAACAACUAGUGUUCCACCGCUUUGAACGACAAGGCGUUCCAGAGCCGAAGCUCUCCCACUUUGAUGUUUAUGCAACUACCCCACCUGUGUAUAUCUACAUACAACUCGACCACUACAUAUGUAUCAUAUGACUUACUACUCCACAACUCAAACAAUCCAGACUUACACAAUUAUUUAUAAUUAUGCACAUACAUCAAUCAUCUCCGACAUUCACUAACACCAAUCAAUCCAAUCACUGGCUAGUUUAAAUAGGAUUUGGUCACCUACACCAGGGUUAUAUUAGUUAAAGAGGAAGUUAAAGAACGCUCAAGAAGUCCCCUCAUGCACUAAGCAACAGUUCAGAAAAGGCUGAUUAAGGUUCACUUCGCUUAAGCGACGGCUAGUUCGCUUAAGCGACCAGCUUACAGUAGGUUCUGGGUUCAGUUCGCUUACGGGUCGCUCACGGUUCGCUUGAGCGAACUUUGGACAGAAUGAAAAUGGUUUUUCGCUCACAGGGUCGCUUACCAUUCGCUUAAGCGAAAUCUUGGCAGAACCAAACUUAAUUUUCGCUUACCAGUUCGCUCACGGUUCGCUUAAGCGAACGGGUAAAAUCGCAUUCUGGGCAGCUUGCUUGAAUGCUCGCUUAAGCGACGGAUGCUUCGCUUAAGCGACCACUCAUCUGGGCAGUGCAAAACCUACGGUUUCAGACCUCUUCUCACUCCAAAAACCCCAUUUUAAUCCCCUGAUCACCCAAAAUGUUUUCCAACAGAUGUUUACAGGUCCUAUAUACAACUAGGCAUUACAAAGAAACACAAUUCAGCCAUCAACAACAACAAUUAUAGAAUCAUUCCACCAUCACACAAUAUUUCAUCAAUUCAUACAAUUCAUCCAAAAUUCAAUCAAUUCAUGGAUUACAGCAACAACAUGGAUUAAGAUUUCGUUCUUAACAUUAAAUUCCAAGAAACUAACAUCAUCUUUACUCAUUCCAUCAGAAUCAUCAUCAAACCCUAACUUUCAUCUUAUUUUCCAAAACUAUUCAAUUAGGUCAAUUUCAGAAAUUAUAGAUUAUGAUUAUUGAGAGAUAGUCUCACCCUUACCUUAGUUUUGCAGAAAAUUAGACAGCAAGGAUCGAUUUCUAGGCUCUCCUCUCUAGCUCUUGCUCUUCUUCUCCCUUUUCCCAAAACUUGUCUGUUGUACGUGAAACUGUUUUCUGACUAUUCCUUUUCCUAACUCCCCAAAACUAUAACUCCCCCUAUUACAUUAAACUCCAUUAAUUUUUAUUAAAUUCUAAUUAACUCCCUAAUUUCUAAAAUAAUAUUAAUUUCCAGUUAUUUUAAUUAUUAUUAUAUUAAACUAUAUAAUAAAAUGCACACACCACAUAAAUCACCAAAAAUCAUAUAAAAUCACAUUUGAGACUCCACAUAAUUCAAAAUAAAAUAAAAUAAUACUAGGGCGUUACAUGUGGUACAAAUUGGACACCGAAUUUGACAGACAGGAUGCACAUUUUUGAGUCACUUUUCAACAUUUUUGUAGGCAUUAUGUCGUUAUAUGCUAUUAAUUAACUUUGAUGUUGUGAGUUUAUUAGCAGAUUCAUCCUUUAAGUUUUUAGCGGUGUUGAAUGAUGUAAUCUCGAUUUGAAUGAAUGAAUAUCAUUUUAUUUUUGUAAAAAAAAAAAAAAAAAAAACUAUAUACAUCAUUACUGUAAUUUUUUUUACAACAUGUAUCAAUCAUUUUGUUACAUUUUGUAUUAGUUACUAAAGUAUAUCUACAAAUAGUCUAUGUCGUUAAUUGUGAUCGAAUGCACACAGAUUUUUACAUUAAAAUUUUGCAAACCAUCAAAGUUAAAAAAACAUGCAUAGAACAAACCUUGGGAUAUGUAUUCGAGAUGACGAAAACACUUUUUGUGUUGGAUAAAACUUUGUCCAUCACUGCAAUGUAUAAGCAUACGGGAGAAGUUUUGGGUUUUUUCCAAUCGUUACACUAAUUAAGUGAUAUGUAAUUUGACAAUGUUGACUUUACAUUGUACUCAAAGAUUAUUACAAAUGGUUUCCAUCAUCAUCGUGUUCAUGUUACAUAAUUUGGUCAAGUGAUUUCAGCUUACAGGGGCCUCUUUAAUACUUAUUUCACAAACUCUUAGGACGAGUUUAACAGACGACAAACCAAUGAGGUAGUUCACAUCCUUGUUGGGUUGUCAAAUUAUCAACUAAUCUCACUAUUUAUUCGCAUGUAAUUCGUUGUAUAAGCACUCUUAUUAUUAAUUAAACUAGCGAGUUAACCCGUGCAAUGUAUGAGCGACAUAUGCUACUAUUUUUUAAUCUCCAAAAUUAUAUUCUUUUUUUUGUUUUUUUAUAUAUCACUAGCGAAAAGACAAGCACUCUCGUGCCCGUCUUUCCGCUCUUUUUAUUGCGUUAAUGUUUGAAAAUUAUGAACAAUAUUUUUUUAUGAAAUUUUGAUUUUGAUUAAAACUAUAUAUAUAUAUAUAUAUAUAUAUGUUUGUUGCUUUAAAAUUAUAACAAAUCAAACUAAUCAUGAUUAUCUAUUUCAUUGAAACCAACAAUAUAACAAAAAAAAUAUAAUCUAAACUCUUAUUUUUUUAAUGACACCAACAACGAUCUUUAUUAUAGAAAAAGUUAUUUGAGGGUAUAAUUGAAAUAGUAAAAAAGUAAGUAUAUAAAAAUACUCAUCUAGUUUGUUAGACAUUUUAAAAGAUAAAAGAAAAAAAUUAGACAUAUAUAUAUAUAUAUAUAUAUAUAUAUAUAUAUAUAUAUAUAUAUCGUGUUUCUUACACUUUUAUUUUAAUACAUGAAUUUGCUUUAAUCUAUUUGUUUUGUGUUAUUUGUAUUGAAAGUUAAGGGUAAUUUUGGAAAGAGAAAAAUUCAGCCUAAAAGAGUCUAAAUAUGCUAUUUUCUUUAUAUAUAGUAUAAAUUAACUAACAUUUUAUAAGUUAUAGCCGGCCCUAGUUUUCUAGUGAGAGAAACUCCAACUUCUCUCUAGACUUUCUUUCUCCUUCGUUCAUCGAGGAGGGGUGGUUUUAGGUCAUUUUUUGACCUAGAAUCACCCCUCUACAUCUUUUUUCCCCUUUUCUUUCAAUCUAAAUAAGUGGUUUUCACAUCUAUCAAGUUUUUCGUUUUGUGUUUUUUGUGAUUUCGUCGUCUAAGUGCGGCGUUUGAUUUCGCGUCUUGUCGCGGUGUUUGUUCAGUUCCUAUUGAAAGAUCUACAUCAAUCAAUUACAAAUUCAAGCAAUGAUUUGGAUGUCAACGUUGCAGAUCCGGAAGCAUGGGUAUUUCGGUGAUUUAGGUUUGAUCAUAUUAUUUGUAGGCAUUUUGCUGUUGUAUGCUAUUAACUUGGGUGCUGUGAGUUUGCUCGCAUAUUCACCCUUUACAUUUUUAGCGAUGUUUGUAUCUGAUGUACUCUAUCGAUUUGAAUGAAUGAAUAUCGUUUUGUUUUUGUAAAAUAAAAAGUGUUUUUUUUUUUUUUUUAUAUUUUUUAUUAGUGACAAAUAUUUGACCCAUACAUUUUUUAUGUAUUAAUGAUAAAUAUUUGUUCUAGUUUUCUAAAUUUAUAAUGACAAAUAUAUCUUAUGUGUUUAUCAUUGACAAAUAUUUGACACAUUUUUUUAUAUAUUUAUCAGUGGUAAAAACCUCAUAAAGAACCUAUGUUAAAUACUUGUUCCGUACUUUUUUAAUUGAUCAAUUACAAAUAUUAGUCCCAUGCUUUUUAAUAUUUUUUGUUCAAUUUUUUAAAAUAUUUAUCAAUUAAUUUAGGGUUAACAGGCCUUUACCCCCUACAAUGAUAGGCGAAUACUUGACCCUAGAGCUCUAAAAUGUGUUUUUGUUGGCUAUUCCUCCACUUAAAAAGGAUAGAAAUGUUACCAUCCUUCGUACAAACAAUUCUGUGUCUAGAGAUGUUACAUUUCAUGAAGAGGAAGCUUUUUUCAAACAACCUUAUCUUCAGGGAGAGAAUUUAAGAGAAGAUAAGGAAAUAAAUCAUGAAAUCCUUGCUCUUCCUAUCCUUGAGUUUGCUUGUAUCCUAAGGUUGACAUAACCUUAGAGAACCUUUCAAACCAUGCUCAGGGUGAUUGUUUCAAUCCAUAUAAUGCCUUUUUCAACCUGCAUAUAGAAUUGGCAGCAAGAUUUUUACAAUAUUCUGGCGGUACCUCCAUAUAGAUUUCCUCCUCUAGUUCCCCAUGCAGGAAAGCAUUUUUCACAUCAAAUUGCUGCAAUUCCCAACCAUAAAAGGAAUGGAAAUGCAAUAAUUGAAGCUUAUACUGAUGAUGACCAUGCGGGGUCAAUUACAGACAAGAGGUCCACUACUUGAUAUUGUACCUUUGUUGGAGGAAAUUUAGUAACUUGGAGGAGCAAAAAACCGAAAGUGGUGGCUUGCUCUAGUGUUGAAGCUGAGUUUUGAGUAUAACAUAAGGUAUUUGUGAACUACUUUGGCUGCAAAUUAUUUUAGAAGAUUUGAAGAUAAAAUUGGAUGGACCUAUGAAGUUCUAUUGUGAUAAUAAGUCAGCAAUCAACAUAGCUCAUAAUCCCGUUCAACAUGAUCGAACAAAACACGUUGAGGUGGAUAGGAAUUUUAUCAAAUAUUUUUAUAUUUAUUAGUGACAAAUAUUUAUUUCACGUUUUCGGAUAUAUUAGUGACAAACAUUUGUCCUAUGUUUGUUAUGUAUCAGUUAUUAAUAAAUGUCUUGUGUAUAUUUAUCAUUGAUAAGUAUGUGUCCCGUGUUUUUAUUUUAUUUUAUUUUUUAUAUUCUUCGAUCUUAAAGCAACGAUGAUAGAUCAAGACCUAGAGUGAUAAUUGGUGCCAUUUAACAAAGAGUUUGCAAGAACAUUCCCAAGAUUUUUAUUUGGAUGCAUGAAAUAUGGAUUUAAGGUAUCAUUCUGGUAACCUUUGUGAUGAUGAGAAUCGUGUCCUCCAUUGACACUUCCAGCAAUACUAUCCAUAGACAUGAUGAAUCAACGAAAGGGAUUCACAGAGAAAAGAAAGAAGAGAUAUUUUUACAUUCUUAUGACAUAACUAACUACACACUAACUAUGAUUAAGACUAGAGAUGACUAUAGUUAGGAUGUUACAACUAACUGUUAACUGCCUCAAUAACUUGCAGAGCAACUUACUUAGUGUUCACUAUGUUUUGUUGUUGACAAAAUUCUUAUUUGAUGUUUUAAAAAUUACAAACAUAUUAAAUUUAUUUCAUCUUGUUAUCUACUAACUUGUUCUGUGAUAAUUAUUUCAUGAGAAUGAUCACGACAACAUUCUGGUAUCAUAAGACAAACAAAGCAGUUACGUCAAAAGACAAAUCAGCAAAAAGGCAAAAUUUAGCUUUACAAGAAUAUUUAACUUUUGAAUUAUUAAUAUCAAGAUCAAGACAUUUAUAUGCCUUAUUAAAGGAAGACAUAUAAUGUUCUGUCGAAAAGAAAAAAAAAAGAUAUUUAAUCAUUGUUGAUUGGCAAAAUGAAGAAAGAAAUGUUUUGGGCCUUAAAGAAGAUUUUUUAUCCAUUAAGGAAAAGAAACAAGUCCAUUAAAGAAAAAUAUCUCAUAAAGGCUUUAAGCACAUGUGAAUUAAAUGUGACAUCAUCAAAAGGACAAAAGAAUGACAUAAGCAUGUCACUUCUGACAACUAUCAACAACUCAUUAUAGCCGGAUAACUCUCACGUGGAAGCAUAAAGUAAGCUGGACAUCCAUAACCUUCUGGAUGUGUAAAUUAACAUUCUAGUCGUGUUGAAGAAGAAAAGUGAAAUCAAUUGAAACUUUGGAUAUCUAUAAAAAUGUGCCCAACAACUCUAUUUUCAUAGUUUAUCACCAACACACUCCACAUCUAUAAAUACAUGAAGACAUGAAGAAUCAAAACAAGUGUUUUGAAAGCAAGCAUUCUCUCGAGUGAAAAUCAUCACUAUAUACAAACUCUUCACAAACAAACAAAUUCUAAGUUCUCUCAAUAUAUCAUUUGGAUGAUACUCAUUCAAAUUUGUUUAUUUAAAUCUCAAACAUGUGUUGAGAAUUUCAUUUGAUCCAAACCCACCUCAUCAUACAAAGUGUAUUGUGUUCUCAAGUCUAUUGCUAACAAUAUUUUGAGAAGAAUUGACAACCUUUCUUGUCCAGAAUUAAAAAAUUGUAGAAGCCUACUAAGGUUUAUUUUACAGGAUUUAACGAACUGAUCUGGUGUGAUCAAGAAUUUAUGGUGCUAGUCAUAAGUUUCUGUUAGCAUGAUACUAUAGUGGAUAAUCUUACACAAGGUGUGGGGACUGAAAGUAGCCGAGUUUGGUGAACUAUGAUAAAUCUCAGGUGUUAUUCUUCUUCCCUUUCUCUCUUUAAUACUUAAUAAUCUCUCCAAAAUAUUGUGGUCCUAAUUAAUCACAAUCAAAUUAAUCCAAUGUUUUCUGGUCCUAAAUUGUUUCAUUUAAUAUUAAUUAUACAGAUGCAUUCAGAACAUUCUGAUGCAAGAUAAAACAAUUACAUAAAUAACUAAAGACAAACUCACGUUUAAAAUCAAAUUAUAAUAUUAUUUUAUCAUUCUGUUUUAUUCUCCAGAACAUUCUGGUCCUUGUUAAAAUAGUUUUACAUUUCAGCUUAAUAUCAUUUUUCUCAUUCUUCUUAUAUAUUAAAUAUAUAAUCAUUUAAUCAAAAACAUUAUGGUCCUAGAUAAAAAAGAAUUGUUAUAUAUCAAACACUCUAAUCUAAUUAGACUAACAUUUACCAAGAACCUUCUCUACUAAACAAACUUAUUUAAGUUUCAGGAAUAAUUUUAAAAGGGUCACAAUUCACCUCCUCCUCUUGCGACGUUUCUUGCUACUUCAUGUUCAACAUAGGAUUUUAUAUCACAACCAAGCGACUUUUUCACACCCACACACCCAUUAGUUAUCUAGCUGUAAUAAAAGCAUGUAAUUGAAUGAAUUAAAUGAAAAAGGAGUUAGGGUUUCAAAUAACAACCAUAUAGAUUUAGGGGUGGCCCUGAGGGCAGGCAGGAGGGGCAGUAACCUAGGGCACCAUUUUUUAAGAGGCACCAAAAUUAUUAUUUUUACUUAGUAGUUAGUACUAUAUAGAUAUAUUUCUUUUUAAUUCGUUUUGAUUAAUUAUAUUAAAAAUAUAUUUUUAGAGAACUUUAAUUGUAAAUGAAUCUUUUGUAACAAAAACUGCAAGAAGGAAAAUAUUGAAAUAAAUAAAACAACACAAUUUUAUUGUUUCGUCCAUGACACCAAAAAUCUCAGAACCAGCCCUGAGAAAGACUAUAAUGUUGUGGGGCCGCAUCUUUUCUUUUCUUAACAUGAAUGUGAAGAAAGACGAGAGAUUAUAAAAUUUAGAUAUUUUCUACGCUGCCCUUCUCUCUCUUCAUGUUUGUCUUUUGCAAAAUAACAUCAUUGUAAAAAUUAAAUUUAGUAUCUUAUACUCCCUCCAUUCCUUUUCUUUUAAUGUUUUAGAACUUUAAAUAUAUUCCAAAACUUUUGAUGUUUUAGUGAAUUUAUUAUUGUUUUCUCAAGUUUACCCUUUUCUUCCGAAGCAUAAAGAAUAACCUUCAACCAAGACAUAAACUCAAAAAGAAAAUGUUUAAAUUAAUAAUAAUAUUGAUUUUUAUGUUUGUUUUUUAUUGAACACGUAGAAAAUUGGUUUUCAAACAAACAUAACGUUUGGGAGAGUAUGUAACACUUGAGUUCGAUUCUAGAAUUGUCUAUUUGGAAGGCAGCUCAAUCUUGUAUAAAAAUAUGUCUCACAUUCAACUUGAAAUUAAAUGUCAUAGCUUGGUUAAACUAGAGCCAUGGACAGAUAAAGAGACUAUGUGAUCAAAUGUGGCUAUUUUGAUACAAGUCAUUUUGCCUUUUAAAAAAGAAAAAAUGAAUAGAUUUAAAGCAAUUGGUUAACAAAUCCAAGUCACACCUCAUCAAGGAAGGAAAAGUCAGCAUUUACUUAGCAUUCACAUAUCAAGACUUUUUGUUUAUGUUAGGCAAUUGUCCUACCUCAGGAACAAAGAGAAGAGGCCAAAAAAUAAGGUUAAAUAAUGCAAAGUCUCUGAUUCGAAGUACUUUGACUCUUUUUGUGGAUUUUAGGGAUGUUUGGUGGGUAACCUACACCAUUCAAUCAUUCCCAUCAUAUAAUUAAAUGAAUCUCACUUAAUAAAAUCAAGAAUCAUAUCCUGUUCUUCAUCAAAAUCAUAUUCCAAACCAAAUGAGUGUAUGACAUACGCUACAUAAAUUAUAAUAGAGUCUUGUUAACCAUUGUUCGGACAAUGGUUAAGGAACUUAAAAGUAGUAUGUUUGCAUUGGUUUUAAUAACUUUUAACUUUUAAAAAGUUAAAUUUAUCAGUUUUUAUCAUUUUUCAAUACUAUAUUUAUAUUUUUAUCCUCCAAUACCUCAAGAGCAAUGAUUAGCAUUCUCAUCCGUAAUAAUAUGAUUUACAUUUAAGAAAUUCAAGCCACCUUAGUCAUUAUUAAUCAUAUCCUCGAUUUUGACUUGUAAUAGGAGCUAGAACAGCUAGCGCAACAAUAAAUUUUUUGACAAAUACAUGUCCAUCAACAAGGACAGACAAAAUAUUUAAUUUUGUAAGAAAAAAAACUCAUUCAUAAAAUUAUAAUCAUGUUAAUAUAUGCUCUACGAACACAUGUUAAGAAUUCAAUAAAUAAUAACCAUUUAGACACAUGCUCGGAAACCACAUCAAACCAUAAGACGAGGCAAUGAUAUGCAAAUCACAUUUGGAAUCCUUCAACAACCAUAUAGGUUUUUCACACAUUCGAAGACCGUUAACUCACCUCACAUAAAUACAGGUAAAUCACACUUAAAGGUUAGAGUGUUUACAGGUAGAUCAUCCUCCUCUGCGACUCAUCAAUUGUGUCAUCGAUUUGGUUUACCCUCAGCUUCUUUUUUAUUGAUUGAUUAUAACUUUUUAAUAUAUCAACGACUAUAAUUAUUUACAUUAUAUAUAUAUAUAUAUAUAUAUAUAUAUAUAUAUAUAUAUAUAUAUUUCAAAGUCUAAAUUAGUAAAUGUGCACUUUUUUAUUUGGACAAAAAAGUCAUUCACCUUUAUUAUUUAAAACUAUUACAUUGAGGGUUACUUUUGUAACUUUAUUAUAAAAUAAUGGCUAAAAUAUGGUUUUAGCCCAUGUAAAUAUGUCUCGUUUUAGUUUUAGUCCAUGUAAAAAAAAAUUGUUUUUGGUCCCUGCAAAAUUUUUUGUUUUUGAAAAUAGUUCCUCAGGGACUAUUUUCAAAAACAAAACAUUUUGCAGGGACCUUUUUAAAAAACAAAAAAUUUUGCAGGGACCAAAAACAAAAUUUUCUUUUUACAGGGACUAAAACCAAAACGAGACAUAUUUGCAGGGACUAAAACCAUAUUUUAACCUAAAAUAAUUGUUAACUUGCAUCACUUAGCUAAUUACUUAGAUCCACUUUUGUUAUGAACACAACAAUUACAAACAUUAAACAACUAAAAAAAAGACAAAAUAUUUGUGUUUUUAGUAAAGACAAAAUAUAGUUAACUUGCACCACUUAGCUAACUUAGACUCACUUUUAAUUUUUUUUUUAUUAAUUAAAUGCAAUUGAAAAAAAUAACCUUCUAUGAAAAACAAUUGGAAUAUGGGUAAUUGAAUUUUAUUUUUUUUUCAAAUAAAAAUGUGAGCACUACUAGAAAAAGCUAAGAUACCGACGAAAUUUAGAGACGGAAUUAGAGACGGAAAAAAUCAAUGAGAGAAGAAAAUAAGGUGUUUAAAAUUCAUUAUCUGGUAGAACAGGUCUCGUGCGGUUGUUUCAGCGGGGUUGAUUUAGUCCUCAAUCCGAAGCUUCAUUACACUUGAAGCUUCUUAGUCGUGUUGUGUAGAAAUUAAACCUUAAUAUUUUGACUCAAAGCUCGUCAUGUGUUACUAAUAUCUAUUUCUAUUAAGUAUAUAUUUGUAUAACUGUGCUACAAUCUAUCAAUGGAUAUAAUCUAUCCACCUGUUUAUUUUAUAAAGAUUAAUUAUAUGAUUGUUUUAAUACAAAUAAAGACCUUAAAAGUUAAAAAAGUUAUACUCCAUAUUUCAAUACUCAAAUUUCAUGGUUGUCCAAGUAAGUUGUAACAUAUACUCAAAUUUCAAAAUAACAAUUCGUUAUUCAACAAAUUUGAAAAUGAUGCAAUGAUAAUGACAUAUAAUCAUCUUAACAUCAAAAAUAUAGCACAUGUAGUUGGAAAAAAAAAAAAAAAAAAAACGCAUGUCAAAAGUGUGUACAUUUAAGAUCGAUAAGUCAUUGUAGGAGUAAACCUAGCCACUUGUUGUACAUACAAUAUGAUAUAGAUUUUGAGAAAUGUUAUUUGUACAACUAUUUUGUGACAACUUUCUCUUUCAUACUCACAUUAUAUUCUUACUCUUUCUCAUCCUUUUUCUCUCUCCAUUAUUUUUGACCAAUACCAAAAGAGAAAAAGAAGGUUGUCAUGAAAGUUGUAUCAAAUGGUUAGCUCGAAAGAUUUGUAUGUUACUUUACCACAUGAUUUUUUUUUCGAACAAGUCAAAAUGGAAUAUUAUAUCAUCAAAGAUGGUUCAUCUCGCAUAAGGUAUGCAAAAGAGAAACACCCACCAAAAAAUACAGCUAGAUGUCUGGUGCCAUAAAAGAGCACUCCUGAAGAAAAACAGAAUAAAACAAGGCUACAAUAAAACACCCAUACAAUGUAAAGGGUGCCGCCAACAGUCAUGGUAACUAAAAGCAUAAGUAGACUUGUUUGCCUUUAACCAAGAAAAAGACAUCAAUUUAAUAUUUUCCCAAUAAUUAAUUAUUACACCUCUCUUUAAAUAUAAUAUAUUCUUAAGUAGUUUUUUUGUCUUUGUUAUAUGACCAUUAAUUUGUAUAAUUUUAUCCCAAUUAAUUUAUAUUUUUAAUUAAAUUAAAGAUGCAUCUAGUAUAACUUCUGAAAAAUGGUUAAAGAGUUGAACAUCACGUCCUUAAGGAGCAUGAACAAACUUCUUAAAAAUGGUUAAAGAGUAUGAAUGUCAACAUGUAUCUAUCAACCAAUUUUUUAAUCAAACUAACCUGUUCCAUAUGAACAUAACCUCAGAUAUGGACCAGCUCCAUGCAUGAGUGUGAGUUAGCUUAAAACUUAUGUUAUAUCUAUCAUUCUUUCUAAUAAUUUUAUUGAAUGAAUUCUAUUUUGCCCGUGCAAAAAAAGAAGUAAAAAUGAACCUUCUAGGAGAGCAAGGAAAAAAUUACUGGUUAAUGGUGAUUUUGACUGGUUUCUUAACUAUGAAGUUAUGACCUUGCACCAACGUUAAGGACUAAGUAUUUGAUCUAUUAAAUUAGGGUUACGAAAGCUCUAGUUUUGCUAAAUUAUGAAAAUACUAGUUUUGUUUAUAAUAGUGAUCAGAGGUAUAUAUCAAGACAUGUAUAUUGAUUUUGCUAAAUACUACUAAAUUGGUGAAAUUGGAAUUCCUAAAGUUUAAUAUCCCUAUAUUAGACGAUCAUAUAUCAAGACAUGUAUAUUGAAUUUGCUAACUUUGAAAACAGCAUACAAACCAAUAUAUUAAAAUAAGAGCAGUGUCAACAUUUUCUGGCAAAUAAGCUAACUUAUUCUUUUGUUUACAUUUCAUUUCAAAUUCAUACCCAACUUGGGACGCAUUGGUCCAAAAAGCAUACUCACUAAUUCAAAGGCAAUCCAUUUUUUUAAUAAUAGCUGCAUGUAUCAUAAUACUUUUCACAUUUGUAAACUUAAUUUUCAAAGGCAACCAAGAUGAAUAGUUGAGGUAAAUUGGACAAAGAAAAAACCAUAUACAAAUACGUCUAUUCCUCUCCACCACCACCACCACCACCACCAUCUAAGCCAUACAAAUACGCUUCUCCACCACCACCAGUUUACAAAUACAAGUCCCCACCUCCACCCGUCUACUCACCACCACCACCACCAGUUUACAAGUACAAGUCCCCACCUCCACCACCAGUUUACAAGUACAAGUCCCCACCUCCACCCGUGUACUCACCACCACCACCACCAGUUUACAAGUACAAGUCCCCACGUCCACCCGUUUACUCACCACCUCCACCAGUUUACAACUACAAGUCCCCACCUCCACCCGUCUACUCACCACCUCCCCCGGUUUACACGUACAAGUCACCACCUCCUCCCGUCUAUUCACCACCUCCACCAGUUUACAAGUAUAAGUCUCCUCCUCCUCCUGCUUACUCACCACCUCCACCACAUUAUAUCUACUCUUCACCACCUCCUCCUCCUCCUCCUUACCACCACUAAAUGGUGGUUUACGAUAGUAUCCCACCGUAUACUUCUUCCUAUGUACAACCCACACAAAAUACAUAAUAUUUAAAAUAUUUUUAUAUAAUUCAAUUACAGUGCUUAUAAUAUUAAUCCGAUAAAUAUCUAGUUGGGCAUAGCUUCAAAUAAAAAAAUUUGGUAACACACAUAAAUGAUAAAAUUUACCAGAUAAAAAUUUAGUGACAUCAUAUCCUUUCUUUUUUAAAUUUUAUCAUUGAUGUGUGUGCGUUUAAAUAAAGUGUUGUUGCUUUUGGAAAUAGGUUUAAAUGCGAAACUACAUAUACCUUUUAAAGUUUUAAUUUAAAAAAUUGGAUUGUUAAAAUAUUAUCAUUGGCAAUUUGUAACAAAAAAAAUGAGACCUGAUGCAGAAGGUGAGUCAUGAGGUCAUCCACUAUACAAUAUGAUCACAUUAUGAUCUUAUUAAUUUUGUUUGAUUUAAAAUUUCAAGCGAUUAAUAAUCCUAAUAAACAGUUUUAGCUAGAUUAUAUAAUGUUUAAGGCAAAACCAUUUUCUUAAUGAAAGAUAUUGAUAUAUUUAUGUGUACAUAUACUUUGCAGGGUUUGAGGAAUAUAAUGGAAAUAAUAAAGAGAAGACAGUGCAAAGCAGGAAAGAUGCAUCAAUUCACAAUUAUAUAGCACAAUAAAAACAACAACCUAAGCAGUUUCCACGCACUCUGAUUCAGAAAAUGUCACUCCUUUUUUCUUCAUUUUAUUUAUGAGAUUAUUAUUCUCAUUAUUGUGCUUUGAUGUUUGAAUUUAUACUGUUGUAAAGCACUGUGUGUAAUAUUAUUCAAAUAAAUAGAGAACGAUUCUGAAAUUUGUCAUAUUGUAAAGAAUUGAAUAUAUACGGUGGCAGAGCCAAUAAUUUUAUCGAGUUUGAAUAAAAAAUUUACCGCAGAUUCACAUGCGACAUAAUAUAUAAAUAGUCAUAAAUCGAAAUAAAAUAGGCUCAUCAUUUUAUCGAUAAAAAUUACAAUUUAUUUGAAAUAAGAAAGAUGAAACAUAACCUGUCAAUAAUGUGCUAAAUAAAAUUAGAAGGUAAAUGCCCUUCCCGAGACCUCUUUGCGGUGAAUGUUCGAAUAAUAUCAACAACAUCAAGUGACUUGAAUUUCUCCCACUCGGUGUAACAUAUCAUCAAGUCAUUGAACCACACAAUGUUGAUCUUGUUGGUAACAAUUUUUUCUCACGGGCUUAUAAGAUUAUUUUACCAGCUUAUUGACAGGGCUUGAUAACUGAUGGACUUUCAACUUUUGUUGAUGUUUGUAAUAACUUUGGCGCACCCGCUAUUGUUGAAGAUCCACAAAUUAGAAGUUAAAAUCUGAUUCAUUAUGCUUUGAUGUAGAAAUGAUUGUAAGUUUUUUUGGGUAUGAAGUGAUUGUAUGUCUUUUUUUUUUGUCUAAUAAGCUAUUAUAAAUAGUGAUUCAAAUUUUGUUACCAUAAAUUAAAUGAGCAAUGGAGUAUAUGUAAAUUUUGAUUUAUGCGAGUAUUGAGUAUUUCCGUGAGUAUUGGUUUGGAUGAAUGGUAUAAUAGUUCAUAGUUAGGGAGAAUUAUUCUAAUUAAGCCACUUCAAGAAUUUAUUCUAAAAAUUGAUUAUUGUAAUCAAUUUUAAAUUCCAAUAAUAUUGAUUAUAAUAUUUUAUUAUAUUUAUUAAACUAAUUUUAGUAGUAAUUUUAUGAAUUAUUCCUUUUUAGAAUUUAUAGUAGAAUAGAAAAUAUAAAAUAAAAUAAAACAAUGAUAAGAUUUAGUGACAGCCGCAACCGCAGGUAUAGGUCCGUAAUGUUUUUAAAAUGGUCUACUUGGAAUUACAUACGUUUUGUCCGUAGGUAAAGGUGGAAAAUAUGCAGCGACAUCCAUUUGACAAUGACAGACGGAUUUAGCUACGGAAAUUUAUCCUAGAGUGACGGAUUUUUGUUGUCACUACAAGUUAAAUUUCUUGUAGCGAUACAAAGAAAGUAUCGGUUAAGCCCGGGCAUGUACCCAGACUAGAUGGGUUGUAAAACCGCUCCUGAAAAUAUACAGAAUACAUGCAUGAUUCAAAAACUAUCUAAUUUUUCUGGAAAAAAGGCUAAACUGCAGUUUUGACCUCCUAACUUUGUAAAUGUUGGGAUUUUGGCCCCCUUUUAAAAAAAUGAAAAUUUUCCUCCCCUAUGUUUUAGCCCCUUUGCAAAAGUGACCAUUUGGUCAAUUUUGACCGGGUCAACACGGAGGUGGCACUUCAUUAAUGGUGCGGGCACGCUACAUGUGUAUUUCGCAAAUUUUUUAAAUCAAAAUGCCACUUGUGUAUUUACUUGAAUUAAGAAAAAAAAAACUAUAUAAAGGUCUUGCACGUGUGAAGUCUUUCAGAUUCUAGGGUUAAAAAAUUUCCCAAAUAUUAACAUCAAUGAAAAACCACAAACCCCUAAGUUUCCAAAUCAAAUCUUCAUCCAUAAUCUCCUUCCCAAAUUGUUUCUGAAUUCGAAUAUCCUUCAUAAAUCGAUUGUCAGGUUUUUCUUCAUCUUUGUUUGUUGCGAAAAUGAAAUGGGUUGAAGAUGGAAAGGCGGCGACGAGUACAGGUUCGAAGAAGAAGAAGAAUAAAGAUGCGACAGGGAGUACAGGAACAAAGAAGAAGAAGAAGGAUGCGACAACGACUAAAGGUUCAGAGAAGACGAGAGAUUUGAAUAUGGAAGUUCAAUCAACUCAAGGAAACAUGUUCAAUGGAAAGAUUCCCGACAUGGAUGCUUCAUAGUAAGCGUUUUUUUGUUUUCAUAUGUCUAUUAACUAUAAAGUAAAGCUCAUGUUACAUUAUUUCUGAAUAAAAAAGGGUUGUUGGACCCAGAAACAGUUGAAGAUGAAUGGUUACAUGCCAUUUUUCGUUUUCCGAUCUGCAAACACACAAAACAAAUCGACCUGGAAGAAAGGAUGUAGAGGAAGAAUCGAUUUCAGAUAGGUAAUGUGAAGGAUGGUUGAAGAAGAUGAAGUUUCGAUUAUGGAGAAGAAUGGAUGAAGAAGAGCGAAUGAAGAAGAAAGGUUGAAGAAUUGGGGGUUUUUAAGGUUGGAGAUUUUUACCGUUGGAACUCUCACGUGCCAAUCCUUUAUCUAUUAUUUUUUUUAAUUCAAGUAAUACAUAGGUGGCAUUUUUAUUUUAAAAAAAAUGGCAAAAUACACAUGUGGCGUGCCAACACCAUUAAUGAAGUGCCACCUCCGUGUUGAUCUGGUCAAAAUUGACCAAAAUGUCACUUUUUCAAAGGGGCUAAAACACGGGGGGAGGGGGGGCAAAAUUUUGAUUUUUUUUUUAAUAGGGGGACAAAAUCGCAACAUUGACAAUGUUAGGGGGGACAAAAUCUGCUCCUUUCCGUCCCUUUGGUUUCGAUAAGAGUGGUUAAGUACCAUAUUGAGUGGUUUUAAUCGAGCGAUUAAGCCAUAUCUUUUAGGUGUAUAUACUCGAACAAUUACAUAUUGUGCAAUACGUGAUUGAAUAGUGAUAUGAGCUGUUUUAUUCUGGAGGCGACGCGGUUGUUAGUCUACAUUGCACAAACUUGGGUAGUGCCGCGAAACGUCUUAAAGAGAGCGACCUGGUCGUGACUCAACCUGAUAAUUUAUUCGGUACUAGUUUCUGAUUUGUAAUCUCAACAAAUAUCUCAUGAGCUAUAUUCUUCGGUAGUAGGCUUCAGUUUAUGUCCAACAAUAUAAAUAGGGGGAUUCGAAGAAUCCUAACCGUUGCUUACUUUUCUGUAACCAAAACAGGUAACUUGCUAUGUUGCAAACAGAUAAACAUUGCAAUCUCUAACCUUUAAACUCUUUUAUUUUAUAUCGUCACCUUAAAAUAAGUAACGUGAAUUGUUAGGACGAAAUGACAAUCCAUGUGGAUACGAUACUGUACUUAUCACUUUAUUACUUGGUAAACGAUUUGGUACACUUGCAUAAUCCGCACAUCAAUAAUCUUUGUUUGUUAGAAGUUUCUUGCUUGUAUGCUUGAGCAUUGAAAGUCUCUUGCUUGUGUGGCUGAGCAAUUGUAAUCUUGUAUGAUUAUAGUAAAAAAUCUCUUGUAAGUGACAAGGGUAUUAAACUACUUCGGGAUUGAUACCUUGAAACGCUUACCAGAAGGCCAUCGACAUAUAAAUAGACUUUACACAUCUUGUGCUCCAAUGUGUACCUUUAAUAUAAGUCAUUUUGCCUAUUAAAAAAGCAAAGAUGAAUUGAUUUAAAAGUUAACAAACCCAAGUCACACCUCAUCAAGGAACAAAAAGUCAGCAUUUACUUAGCAUUCAUAUAUCAAGACUUUUGGGUUAGGUUAGGCAAUUGUACCACAUCAGGAACAUUUAGAAGAGGCCAAAAAAUAAGGUUAAUUAAAUAAUGCAAAGGCUCUAAUUCGAACUACUUUGACUCUUUGUGUGGAUUUUAGGUAUGUUUGGUGGGUAACCUAUAUCAUUCAAUCAUUCCCAUCAUAUCAUAUAAUUAAAUAAAUCCCACUUAAUAAAAUUGAGAAUCAUGUUCAUGAUCAAGUUGGUGUAUGCUUAGAACAGUCUCAUGGUAUAAUUAAUUUGUCCCUACUGAACAAAAUCAUAAUUUAGAAACAUUCAUAAAUUAUAAAUAAUAAUACAAUCUUAGUCAUUUAUUAAUCAUAUCCUCAAUUUUGACCUGCAAUAGGAGCUAGCACACAGCUAGCGCAGAAAUAUAUUUUUUCCAAAUUCAUGUCUGUUACUUAUAGUUGUCAAAAAAAAAAAAAAUGUCUAUUACUUAUAGAGACAGAUCAAUUAUUUAUUUUUUACAAGGACAAAAUUCAUACUUAAAAUUAUAAGACUAAAAGUAUAUAAAAUACUUUAAUUAGAGUCUAUCAUUGACUAAGGUAAAGGUUAGAGUUUUUACAGGUAGAACAUUCCAUCAACUGUGGUUUACCCUCGACUUCUUUUUUAUUUAUUUAUUGAUUAUAACUUUUUAAUAUAAAAACAACCAUAUUUUUUAAAUACAAAUAACUAUAAUCAGUUUUCUUAUUUAUUUGCAGCUUAAUUCAGUUGGUUUGAAUAAUGCAUAAUAUAUGCAAGGUCCGUGGUUCAAAUCCCGGCCACCACAAAAAAAAAUGUAUUGUAAAAAAAAUGUAUAAUAUAUAUAUAUAGACACACACUAUAUCUUUUUCAACUUUUUUGGGCUGACUUUUUCUAUUUCUAAAAAUGUCUUCAAUUUUCAAUACAAAAACACAUGUAACAAAUAGAUAAGAACAAACGUAAAUAUUAAAAAAAUGUAACAAACUCGAUAUGAAUAUAUAUAUAUGUGUGUGUGUGUGUGUCUGGUUUUUUCCUUUAUCAUUUAAAAAGUGUAACAAAUAGAUGAGUAUAUUUAUACUUACUUUUUCAUUAUCUCAAUUAUAUCUUUAAACAAUUUUUUUUUCUAUAAUAAAGAUUGUUGUUUUUAUCAUUAAAAAAAAAUUAGAUUAUAUUUUUUUUGUUAUAUUGUUGGUGUCAUUGAAAUAGAUAAUCAUUGUUAGUUUGAUUUGUUAUAACUUAAAGCAACAAACAUUUAUGUUUUGUUAGAAUAAAAAUCAAAAUUUAUUAAAAAAAACAUGCGUUCAUAAAUUGCAAUAAAAAGAAGGGAAAUAGAUGAGUUUGAACAGACUUUUUCAUUACUUGUUUUAACCUUCAUUUAAAAUAUUUUAUUUACAAUUUUAUCAUUUAAUAAUAUUAUUUUAAAUUUUAAUCAAAAAAUUGAAUCCUAUUAAAAUAGGAAAUAUGCCACUACAAUAGAAACAAUAUUAUCAAUAUUAUAUAAGAAGAGGAUAGAUAUUUUGAGCUGAAUUUUUAUAAUUCCAAUUAUAUUCUUAAACAAAUUUUCUUAUAUUAAUGUUAUAUUGUUGGUGGUAUUAAAAAAUAGUAUUUAUGUUAUAUUUGUUAAAUUAUUAUUAUUAUUGAAAAAGAUAACAUGUUUUUCUGAGUUUAUACUUAUAAUUUUGUUACAUACUCUCGUUUCUUGUUUUUUUUUAUUAAAUAUAUAUAAACAACGGAAGUGACCCUUCCCGUAUAAGAUGUGUUAAGGAAGGUCAACUAGAGUUUGUACAAAGACAGCAAAGCCAAAAACAUAGGAGAACUGCCGCAAAACACGAAAGAUAUAAUAAAUAAGGGUUGUUUUUUCUUUCUUUAAAAAAAAAACAAAAAGAAAUAAGGGUAGUGUUAACUUGUGCUUUUAAGACACAAGUUAAGAAUUUAAAAAUGGAAUUAAAUCAUAAAUUAUGUCUUGAAAAGAUAAGAUUUUGAAUUUCUAGAAUAUUGAAUGCACAAUUUUCAACAAAAUAUUUCUAUUUUUAGUUUCUUAACUUGUGCCUUGAGUACAAAAAUUAACAUUUCCUUGCAAAUAAAUGCCCAAACAAAAUAAAUGUAAGUAUACUCUCGUUUCUAGUUUGUUUAAUAUCUAUUUCUAUCAAGUAUAUAUUUGUAUACUUUAUGCUACAAUCCAUCAAUGGAUAUCAUAUAUACAUUCACCUGUUUAUUUUAUAAAGAUUAUGGAACAAUUAUAAACACAAGGAAAAAGUAGAAAACAGCGAGAGAAAGAAAGAGAGAACACAAAAUAAUUUGUUUACCCAGUUCGGUUCAAAUUGACCUAGUCCGAGGCAGAGAGCAGCCCUCCGUUCCACUAUAAUGAUGAGUAACUUUACAAAAGAGAUAUCAAUGAGUUACAAGAAUAAGUCUCCAAACCUAAUUGUACCCAAAGUCUCAAUCUCUUCCCGUGAACAAGAGACUCAAUCCUAAUAGUGUUUCCCAAGGUGAAUCAACAACAACCCUAGUUUCUCCCGCUUAGAGAAAUCUCUCUAAAACCUUGGUUUGUUGUCUGUUUCUAAACCCUUGUUUUCAGCCCCUUCUAUCUCAAGGUUUACAUGUGAUACAAGGUUUAUAUUUAUAGUAAAAGUAAUCGCUAAAAAAUUGGAACAAAUCUCACGCUGAAAAGUACAUUUUAUUUUUAUGCAUCAGUGUAAAAUCGUACUACGAUUUUCCAAAUCGUAUUUCGAUUUUUCCAAAAUGGAAGUGCCAAAUCUGAUCCAAAAAUCGUACUACGAUUUUCCAAAUCAUGCUACAAAUUUGACAGCUUCCAGAUUUUAAUUUUGAGUCACUUUUACAACAAAGACCUUAAAGUUUGUGGUAUUAUAUACUUAAUAUAAUACUCCCAUGGCAACCUGAUUAGCUCCCUUGUUAUUAGAAAGUUACACGCAAUUUCAGGGUUUGGUUGUAUUAUAUCCUGUCCAGCUAAGUUGUAACAUACUCAAAUUUCCAAAUAAAAAUUCGUUAUUCAACAAAUUUGAAAAUGAUGCAGUGAUAAUGACAUAUAAUCAUCUAACACAUGUAAUCAUAUAACCAGUUUGGCUAGGUGAUACUUAUGGUAGUUGGACAAAAAAAAUAUCACAUGUCAAAUGUGUGUACAUUUAAGAUUGAUAAGUCAUUGAAUGAGAAACUUAGCCACUUGUUGUACAUACAAAUAUUUGUACAACUUUUAGAUAAUUUUCUAUUUUAUAUUCACAUUAUAUUUUUACUCUUUUUUUUUCUUUUUUUUCUUUAUUGUUUUUUAUCAAUAAAAAUAGAGAAAAUGAAAAUUAUCAAAAAUAUUGUAUCAAAUGGUUGUUCAAAUAUUAUUGCUCAAAAUAUACAAUAUGAUAUAAUUUUCCAGGAUCGAAAGAUCUAAAUAUGUUCCUUUCCCACAUAAUUAAUUAUUACACCUGUCUUUAAAUAUAAUAUCUUUUUUUUUUUUAAUUUUUAGUAGUUCUCAUGUCUUUGUUAUACGACCGUUAAUUUGUAUAAUUUUAUUUCCAUUAAUUUAUAUUUUUUUUAAUUAAAUCAAAGGUGCAUCUAAUAUACUUUUUUUUUAAGAGGCUAAAAUGAAAUACAUUACCAAAACAAGAUAUUUUUCCUAGCACAAGAUGUACAAAGGAAGAACAAUAGAGUCAAUAGAAUAUGUACAAUCAAGCAGAAAGAAAGCACCAGAGACCUAUAAGCAUGAAACAGAACUAAGUAGUGCCCAAAAUAACUAAUGGACUAAGCAACAAACCAUGAAAAUUAAACGAAAGAGAGACAAGUUUCGCCUUCAACCACGUAAAGGAAAGAACCUUAAUCUAAUAUAACUUCUUAAAAAUAGUUAAAGAGUUGAACAUUACCACCUUAAAGAGUAUGAACAAACUUUUUAAAUAUGGUUAAACAGGAUGAAUGUCACGUAUUUACAGUACAUAUAUCUUUGGUUUUUAUAUGUGUUUAGUCUCUGUAUAUGGGGUCAUUUAAAAAAUUAAUCAUUUAAAAUGGUCUCUACAUUCCUUCAUUAUGACAUUUUGCCCUCCCAAAAAUUAAUCAUUAAAAAUUUGGUCCCCCCUACUCAAUCACUGUCACGUCACUGGAUUAGCUGACGUGGUACAUUGACUCAGCAAAGUUUGAUGUGAAGUGACAAAAAUAGCCCUAACACUCUGUUUGGUAUGAGAGAAUUACAGCAGAGAGAGAUAUUGAAGAGAGAAAGAGAAGAGAAAUAUGGUAUUUCUCUUGUUUGGCAAAGGCAAGAAAGAGGGAGGAGAGAUAAGUUUUGCGUGGGAUCCACGUGUUUUUUGUUCGCCCCUAUAAACGAAGAAAGAAGAAAGAGGAGAGAAAUAUACAUUUACUCCCUUUGCCUUUUAUACCCUUCAAUUUAAGACACAACACACCUUUUUUUUUUCUCAUUACUUUGUUUUUAUUCUUAAUAGGCUUAUCUAAAAAUUAUUUCAAGGACAUUUGUACUUUAAAAAAAAAAAAAUUGAAGAAGCUAAACUAACCCCCUCAAAUUGGCACUAGAGAGAAUCGAACUUGAAACCUUGAGGAGGAGCACACUCCCAGGUCCCAAGCCAAUACCACUAGGCCAACCCAAGUGGGUUUGUACUUUUAAAAAUUAAUCACACUUCUCUCUCUUCUAUUUCUCUUAAUUUUAACCAAACAAUACCUUAAAUCUAUUCUAUUUUUCAUUUUUUUCUCUCUUCUCAUACUCUCUCUCACCUAUUUCUCUCUUCUCAAUUUCUUCUUUCAACCAAACACACCCUAAGUAAUUUCGCUGCCCUCUUAUGGAAGGAGGGGCAUUUACUUUACAAGUAAAUAAAGUAUCUUUUUUAAUUUAAAAUUUCCUCUUUAUGGUUUUCUUAACUAAUGUCCUGGGUAGGGCUAGACAAGGACCCGCGACCCGGCCCAACCCGAAAAAACCGAAGAAAAAAAACCGAGCUGAGUGGGUUAAAGCAGGUCCGCGGGUCAAACGUGUCAUAAAUGCGGGUUCACAAGGGUAUACAUGGGCAGAGGCGGGUAACGGACCUUCACCUGCGGGUACCCGAACCCGCCAGUAUUGGAUAAGUAAAAACGACGUCGUUUUGAAGAGUGGGGAGACCACUAACCCUAGAUCUAACCCAUUCAUUUCAUUUCUUCUAAAAAAUUCUCUCAUUCACCUCACACUCUUUCACCUUCCUCUUCAAACCCUAGUGCCGCCGCCGCAUCUAACCACCACCACCACACCAUCAAAUCCUCCUACCAACAUGAAUCACCACUUUCCAACUUGAUUCCCUUUGUUUUACGCCGUUCUCUGUCAAUCCACGCAGAAAAAUGGAGGCAGAUCCUGAAACUCUCUCUCACUCUCAGUAGCUAACACCACUGUAGAACCGUAAAUCGCCGUCGUUUUUGUUUCAUGAAUCACGUCUCUGCUCUGCAUAUGCUUCAGAUCUAAAGGUUAGAUAUUUUGUUUUUAAUCUUUGUAAUUUUUUAUUUUUAUUUAGGGUUUAUGAGUGUCUCACCACAUGCUUUUGUUUUUGUUUGAUGAUUCACAUCCAUGCUCCGCGUAUGCUUCAAAUCUGAAGGUUGGUUUUUGUUACAUUUUUCAUAUUUUGUGCUUUGAUUUUUUCAAUUCUUGCUUCUAACAUUUUUUUUUUGUUUCAAUCUCAUCUCUGCUGCUUAUGCAUUUGCUGAAGAUUUUUUUUUUGUUUCAAUCUCAUUUUCUCAGACCGGCUUAGGAAACUUCCAUAUCACUGAAUAUUUUUCCAGAUCCGAGAGGUAAUCUUCCUUCUUGACAUCUAGAUCUGAGAGGUAAUGAUUUAUCUUAAUAUAUUUAGUUUUGUAUUUGUUGAGUUUAUCUAUGUCUUUGAUGUAUAUUUUGUUGAGUUUAUGCAUGAUUAUUAAUGUCUAUAGCUUCUGACUUGAUUAUGUUUAUGCAUACUUUGUUGAUUCUUAUACUUCUUCCUUGGAGUUCAUUUUUUCUUUGUUUCUUUCUUAUCCUAAUGGUUUGUUGUUUAUCUAUUUAUUUUGUUUGUAGUAUUCUAAUGGUCCAUUAAUUAUCUUGUUUGUAUAGACACAUGAAAACUGAUACUGCUAGUGUGAAUCCUUUGGCUCAAAUUCCAAUUCUAGUGCAAGGCCAAGGACCUGAACAUGCUAAGGUAGUGCUAAAACUAAAGAAAAGAAAACCUGCUAGACCUCCUUCAAUGGUUUGGAGACAUUUUAUGAAGAAAAAAGACACUGCCUUUUGUAACUAUUGCUUCACUUCUUUUGUUUCAAAUGCUUCCAACCAUCGAACUAACAACAUGCUUAAACACAUGAUGAUUUGUCCAAAAACAUGAAGGUAGUUUUUUUAUUACUCUGAGUUAUGUUGAUUUAGUAAUUUUAUUGUAACUUUGUAUUUGAUUUAGUCUAUUUUAACUCUAUUUUGGUAGAUGUCUUUGAUGUUAGUUUGCUAGUGUUAUAUUUUGUGGCUUUGAUUUAUUAGUACUAAUGUAUAUUUUUUAUAUUGUUUUUCACAGGUUAACAAUAUUCUUACUUGCUAUGAUGGUAUCUCUUGAUCUAUUGUGAAUCAAGAUAUACCAAGGAGGUGUUAUUUUUUGUUAUUCAGAUCCAGUUUUAGUAUUAUUAUAUUCAAGACCACUAUAUUUAGUUUUUUAUUUAUUAAGGAUAUGUAAAUUGUUAAACUUAUUUUUAUUGGUUGUGUAAGUUAAAUUAAGGCUCGAUAUCAAAUGGGAAAAUGAGACAUCAUCAUCCCCCUUUAACAAGCUUCUUAAAGGAAAAAAUUUAACAAAAUUAUGACAAUAUGAUCUAAGUUAAAUAAACAUACAAAAUGGUUUAAUACAAGAGAAAAUGAAACACUACAAAAUUUGUUGGGGCAGAAAUUCUAAAUGGCACAUUAAAAAUGAACAUAAAAAAUGGUCCAUUACAGUGAAAUUAAAAAUAAAUCGCAACAAAAUUAAUUGGGCCAGAAAUGGUUGAAUGACCCAUUAAUUGGUCCAACCCGUUUGAACCCAACCGUUUAACCCGUAACCCGAUUCACCCGAACCCAACCAAUCCGACUCCAUUAUUUGGGUAGAAAUGGGUGUGUAUUCUACACCCGCAGGUUGGGCUGGAGUAGAGGUUUGGACCCGAACCCGCCCGAUGUCCACCCCUAGUCCCGGGGCACUGGUUAACAUAAACCUAAAACAAAAAUAGAAAAUAAUGACCUAAGUUUUCUAAUAAUUGAUAUUUUAUUAGCUUAAAACUUUUGUUAUAUCGAUCAUUCCUUUCCACUCUUUGUUCUUGGUUGUGUUUUAAUGAAAAAAAAGAAGUAAAAAUGAACCUUCUAUGAGAGCAAGGAAAAAAUUACUGGUUAAGCCUUAUGACCUUGCACCAACUCUAAGGACAUUAAUUAUGUUAUAUAGCAAGAUAUCCUCUCAUAAAUUGGUGAAAUUGGAAUUCCUAAAGUUUAGUUUCCCUAUAUUAGACGAUCAUAUAUCAAGACAUGGAUAUUAUUUUGCUAACUUUGAAAACAGCAUACAAACCAAAAUAGUACGUAUUAAAAUAAGAGCACCGUCAACAUUUUCUAGCUAAUAAGCUAACUUACUUUAUUCUUUUGUUUACAUUUCAUUUCAAAUUCAUGCCCAACUUGGGACGCAUUGGUCCAAAAAGCAUACUCAUUUAUUCAAUGGGAAAAACUUUUUUUAAUGGGUCUUGCUGACCAUUGCUCGAUGGCAAUGGUUAAGGAAGGCAAAAGUAGCAUGUUUGUAUUGAUUUCAACAACAUUUUGACUUUUAAAAAAUUAAAUUUAUCACUUUUCACCAUUUACCAAUGCUAUAUUUCUAUUUUUAUCCACUUAUCCAAUGCGCCAAACGCAAUGAUUAGCGUUCUCAUUUUUUAAUAAUAGCUGCAAUGUUACAUAAUCGUUUUCACAUCUGUAUACUUAGUUUGUCUUAAAAAGACAGUCACAUUGAAUAUUUAAUUAAAAUUUUAUUUUUAUUCAAUUAUACACUAUAAUUGAUAUUAAGCGCCAUUAAAAAAAUUAUUAAGUGGAUAACAAAUUAUUAUUCACUAUAAUUUUACUAUAAUUAUUAUUCUUCACUUUGAAUUACCAAGGUAAUUUAAUAAAAUUAAUAUUCUAUGUGACGUAUUUGUAAUUACUUCCUAAUUCACGUGAAAUGAUUUACUUUGCUAGUUAUUAGAAUUUUAAUUUAUUAUAAUAUUUUUCUUUUUGCUGUUGGAUAAUAGGUGAAUUAUAAAAUGUGUCAAAUCAUAGUACACCAACCAAGAUGAAUUGUUGAGGUAAAAUGGAUAAAGAAAAAACUAUAUAAAGGGUACUACUAUCUUUCAUAAGAGCAACAACAAAACACACUUUAGGAAAAUAUGAGGUUCCAAAUGGCCUCCAUUACUCUUACUAUUGCAUUCACGAUAAUCUCUCUUAGCCUGCCAUCCCAAAUUUCAGCAAACAAUUACGUCUAUUCAUCUCCACCACCACCAUCUAAGCCAUACAAAUACGCUUCCCCACCACCACCAGUUUACAAGUAUAAAUCACCACCCCCACCUGUCUACUCACCACCUCCACCUGUCUACUCACCACCACCACCAGUUUACAAGUACAAGUCACCCCCUCCACCUGUCUACUCACCACCUCCACCAGUUUACAAGUACAAGUCCCCACCUCCACCCGUCUACUCACCACCUCCCCCGGUUUAUAAGUACAAGUCACCACCUCCUCCCGUCUAUUCACCACCUCCACCAGUUUACAAGUAUAAGUCUCCUCCUCCUCCUGCAUACUCACCACCUCCACCACAUUAUAUCUACUCUUCACCACCUCCUCCUUACCACCACUAAAUGGUGGUUUACGAUAGUAUCCCACGGUAUACUUCUUAUUACAUACAACCCACACAAAAUACUUUUAUAUAAUUCAAUUACAGUGGUUAUAAUAUUAAUCUGAUAAAUAUCUAGUUAGACAUAGCUUCAAAUAAAAAAAUAUUUGGUAACACAUAUAAAUGAUAAAAUUUAGCAGAUAAAAAUUUAAUGAUAUCAUUUAAUAUCUUUUCUUCUUAAAAUUUUAUCAUUUAUGUGUGCACGCCCAAAUAAAGUGUCGUGGCUUUUGAAAAGUUUCUUAUAAACCUUGUGGAAAUAGGUUUAAAUGUGAAAUUACAUAUACUUUUUAAAGUUUUAAUUUAAAAAAUUCGAUUGUUCAAUCUUUUAAAAUAUUAUUAUUGGCAAUUUGAAACAAUAAAGUUGAGACCUGAUGCAGAAGGUGAGUGCAUGAGGUCAACCACUAUAGAUUAUGAUCAUAUUAUAGAACUUAGCUAGAAAAGAAAAAAUAUAGUUAUAUGCUUCUUAUUAAUUUUGUUUGAUUUAAAAUUUCAAGCGAUUAAUAAUCCUAAUAAACAGUUUUAGCUAGAUUGAAUAAUGUUUAAGGCAAAACCAUUUUCUUAAUGAAAGAUAUUGAUAUAUUUAUGUGUGCAUAUACUUUGCAGGGUUUGAGGAAUAUAAUUGAAAUAAAGAGAAGACAGUGCAAAGCAGGAAAGAUGUCACUCUGAUUCAGAAAAUGUCACUCUAUUAUUUUUCAUUUGUUUGUUUUAUGAGAUUAUAUUCUCAUUAUUGUGCUUGAUGUUUGAAUUUAUACUGUUGUAAAGCACUCUGUGUAAUAUUAUUCAAAUAAAUAGAGAACGAUUCUGAAAUUUGUCAUAUUGUAAAGAAUUGGAUAUACCUAAUAUUUGAAUGCAUUUUCGAUCCCUUAACUUUUAAAAAAUUGUGAUUUAUAGAAAUAUAGUCUUUUAACCCUUUAUUUUUAGUAAAAUAUGUUCUUUUGUCCCUCUAUCUUUAGGGAAAUAUGCUAUUUUGAUUUCUUAUUUUUACAAAAAGUAGUAAUUUUGCUUGCUGUUUUAGAACACGUGGUAUCUUCUCAACAGUUUUGCUGCAUUUUGUAAAUUAAAGGUAAAAUAAUUUUUUUUUUUAUUAGAGGAUCAAAAUCGCAACUUUUUAAAAGUUAAAUCAUCAAAAAUACAUUUAAGCCUAUACAUAAUACAUUAUAUGCAAACUUCAAAAACUAUCUAAUUUGAUGGCGGUAUAUGUCAAUCACUUUAUAUCCUAAUCAUCCUCUAUUUCAUGUUGGAUCUGUCUAACUUUUUGAUGAUAUGGAUAGUGGGUCCAAUCAAGGUGAUUCAAUAUCCAACGGAAACGUCUAAACACGUUUUGACUUCCAACAUAAGGCAUUGCCCCUAACUUCGGUUAACAAUAUUGGGUUUCAGUAAUAACAAAGAGACGGCUAGAGUUGUUUAAUAAUAUUUUAAUAGCAUUACGUUACAAAAGGUUAUUGGAGAAUGUAUAUAUAAAAUCUAAUAAACAACUAAAUUAGUAAUAUAAAUAUCCAAUAGUUUAAACUCAAUCCUUUAUUAUCUAAUUUCUUUUCUCAAAUUCACGACUCAUCAACAAGAAGAAUUAUGAGUUUGUCAAAUCAAAUAGGAGGACGAACGAAGCGGAAGCUGGUGGGCAUGUAACGUCUGAGGCUAACGAGGAUUGAGAGUGGUCGCUGGUGCACAAGUUAAGAGGAUGAGCUGCUCCUGACAUCUUCUAGUCAAACCGAAUCACAUUGGAAUGAGAGGAAUCCUGAGACCGUGCAGAUAUGAACUGCAUGAUUGAAGAAAGACUUAUAAAUUUUUUUGGCACUAUCUAUAUCAACAAGAUGCAUCUUCUUUUUUAUAAUUCAUUCCAUAAGAACUCCACAGUUAAGCAUGUUUGACAUGGAGCAAUUUUAGGAUGGAUGACCUUUUAGAAAGUUUUCCAGAAAACGUGUGAGUUUGGACAAAACACACUGAAAAGACUCAUGUUGGUUUUGGGGUCAGUCGGUCAGCAAUACUUAAAAUCGCCUCAAUAUUAUAAGAAACAUAAUAAAUAAUAUAAAGUUCUAACACUGCCCCUCAAAUGAAAGAUGGAAUGAUAUUGAAGUGAAAACUCGCGCUAUAUUGAGUGAAAUUUUAUAAACUUUCAGUCUUUAUUUCUGUCAAUGUUAGUUUUUUUGGUCAUCUAACUCAAAUUUGAAAAUUUUCCUGUUAUCUUGAACAGUUUCUAGUUCACUUUGUUAAGUUACUACAACUAAUAAAAAUACACUGAAUUUUCAAUCUAGAGACAUAAUUCAGUUUAUUUUGAUGAGUAGCAAAUUUUUAUUCUUUUUGAAAUCAUAAAAUCCUGAUCCUUCACUUUUACUCAAAUUAUAUAUGUCCGUUGUCUUAAGAUAGAUGGACAUUUAUAUGAAAGUCUUGGUUUGAUUCAAGUUGAGUAAAAUAUGGUCAAAUUUGGGGAUUAAAAAUACAUAGUAUUUAUAUUUUGCUUAUGUCAUAUAAGCUGCUAUGAUCUAUUUCCUCUCACUUUUAUAGGUCUUGGUGUUGAAUAAGAAACUAAGAUUUUAAAUUGUAGUUGAUUCGCGGAAUGAGCAAAGUGAUCCUAGUGAGCUAGUUUCAAAGGGUUGUGAACUACAAAGUUUGAUGGGCGAACCAGAGGUGAGGUCAAAGAAAGGAAUUGAAGAGGGUUUCAUGGAAGAAGCAAGUGAACAUUCGAUAGGCAAACAACAUUUCUCCUAGCCAAGUAAGGCGGUGUUAGUGACCCUUUGUGUUGUGAAUUCGAUGAAAAAUCACACCAAUAACAACUUGAUGUGUGGAGCAAGGGAUAAUUAAGCAACCAAAAUCAAAGCGUAUGAAAGUUAUAAAUACAAGCCAAAAGUAGAAAACAACGGCGAGAAGAACACAAAGAAGAAGAAGAACACAAAGAAACUUGUUGACCCAGUUCGGUCCAAUCUGACCUAGUCUGGGGGAGAGAGCAGCCCUCCAAUCCACUAUAUGAUGAGUUUCGUUACAAAGAGAAAUCAAUGGGUUACAAGAAUAAGUCUCCCGAUUAAUUCUACUCAAAGUCCCAAUCUCUUCCCGUAACCAAGAGACUCCAAUCCUAAUAGUGUUUCCCAAGGUGAAUCAACCCACAAACCCUAGUGUUUGCUCCUAAGAGACAAACUCUAUACAAACCCUAGUUUUGUUGUUGCUUUUCUAAACCCUUGUUUCAGCCCCCUCUAUCUCAAAGUUUGCUUUGAUACAAGGUCUAUAUUUAUAGUAAAAGUAUAACUCAUAAAUUUGGAACAAAUACCACACUGAAGAUUCGUUUUUUUUUUCUCCUUCAGUGAAAGAAUAUUUGCAUCAAAAAUAUAAUAUUCCCUUUCAAAAUAUAUUUGCAUCAAAUCGUUCUUCAUACGAUACAAAAAUAUAUUUAUUGUCCAUAAAUAUAUUUUCAGCACAAUAUAUAUUUGAAACAAAUCUUUUAUAUUUUUAGCAACAAUAUUCUCCAUCCAUCAAUUUUUGAGUCAUACUACAACACUUUGGAUGAGCUCGCUUUUCCCUCCACCUGAAGAAACUUAAGAUCGCUAGACGAGCAAAUUUUUCUAGGAAAAUAUGCACUUUUUUUACUUAUAUAUAAAUAGAUGUAAUACACAAUUCAGAGAUAUCUUACGCAUCUUAAACUUGUUGUUAGAGAGAACGGAGAGGAGAACAUAGAUUCAUCAUUGCAGAAUUUAUCAAUUCUUUUAUUUCAGGCUCUAGGUGCUUGUUUCAAACCAUAUAAGGCUUUGCUCAAUCUGAACACUCUAUCUUUCGUCCCUUUGAUUGUGAAACUAGGUGGUUGAGUGACAUACACAGUCUCUUCUAAUGUACCAUUCAGAAAUGCAAACUUUACUAGUUGCUAAUACUAUAACCAAUCUGAUAGUUUCAUGUCUUGCAUCUGGUGAGAAAACUUUAGUGUAAUCAAAACCUUCCUUCUAAAUAAACCUCUAGCCAAAAGCCUUGCUUCGUGAUUCACAAUCUUCCCUUCUUGAUUAAAUUUUAACUUGAAAACCAAUUUUAUAUCUAUUGCCUUUUUUCCAUCUCGAAGCUUUAUCAGUUCACAAGUCUGACUCUUCUCAAUAGAUUUUAGUUCACCUAUCAUAGCUUCCUUUAAUGCCUUAUCACAUAGUGCAGCUAUGUAAUCUAAUGGCUCGAUGUCUGCUAGCAUUGCAAAAUGCACCAAUUAACCAUCACUAGUUCAUCAUCACCAGUUACCUGACAGUCUUCUGAACUUCUUGGAAUUUGUCUGUUUCUUUGUGGUCUGGCUAUAGUGGUUGACUCUUCAUCUAUGAUUUCUUCAUCAUUAGCAACUUCAUUUAUGGUGAGCUCAUCAGAUUCUCUAUUAUCUUCAAUGAUAACCUCCUUCUCAGAGACACUGCACUUAUUUGCAGUACAAUCCCAAUAUUCAUCUAUUUAAGAUGAAUAUUGGGAUUACACUAAAGUUUUCAGGGAUAUGCUUAUAGCAUAUUGAGCCAAAUACCUUCAAAUGACUGACAUAUGGUUUUCUACCUGACCAAACCUCUUCAGGCACUUGAUUCUUCAAUUUCUUAGUGGGACAUCUAUUUAAGAUGUAAGCUGCAAUAUUCCCUACUUUACCCCAAAAUUCAUGAGGUAGCUUCUUCUCUAUCAGCAUAAUCCUAGCCAUAUCAAGUAAACUCUUAUUCCUCCUUUCAGCAAUACCAUUGCGUUGAGGAGUGUAAGGAGUUGUCACUUCAUGAACUAUACCCUGACUUGUGCAGUAAGAUUCAAAAUAUCUAGAAGUAUAUUCACCACCUCCAUCUGUUCUGAGAAUAUUCACCACCUUCAAAUCUUACAAAGAAUAUGAGAUGGUAGAAUUAUGAGAAUUUUCUCCAUGAUUGCUUUAUCAGAAAGAGUCUCACAACAUAGCUUCAUCUGAUUUGUGAUUGUUUGAAUUGAUUAGAAAUAUUCCUCUAUGUUCUUUUCUUUCUUCAUCUUCAGCAAUUCAUAUUGUCUUCUCAAUGAUUGCAAUCUUAUCUUCUUCACCUUAUCAUCCCCACUGAAGUAUUUCACAAGUGUAUCCCAAGCUUCCUUAAAGCUUUUUGCAUAUGCAAUCUUUUCAAAUACCUUGUUAUCCACGCAUUGAUGAAUAUAAAAGAGAGUCUUGAAAUCUUUCUUGUUCUUGGCUUCUUUAUGCGCAUUCCUUUGAAUUUAUGUGGGAUUUGCAGGAAGUGCUUCAACUUCAUUGUUGACAAUCUCAAGAACAUCUUGAAACCCAAAGAUCACCUUCAUCUGUUUCACCCAUCUUUGCCAAUUCUUCCCAUCAAGAACUGGUAAAUGUGCAGAGAUGUUUCCAUUGGAAUUCAUGGUUAACUCUCUUCUUCUUGGAUCAAAAAAUGAUUAUGCUCUGGAUACCAAUUUGUUGGUGAACAAAUUGAUCUAGGGUUUAUGUGUUUUGUGUGAUUGAAGGAUAAGAAACAGUUUUAGAGAAUGAAAAAGAGAGAAAGAGAUUGGAGAAUUAAAACUGAAUGCAUUGGCUUUAUUAAAUGAGGAACCAAGUAUAUAUACAACAUGUUCUAGCUAUAGCUUGCAUUACAAGUAAAUGCUAAUUGUCUAACUAACUUUCUAAAAACAAGGUAAAGUAGUUACUUAGGUAGCAAGGUAACUAACCCUAAAUCAAACUAUGAGUUUUGAAUUACAAAUUCAACACUCACAAGGGCAUGGUGGCGGAAACUCUAACCCUAGGAGAGCAAGAAAUUUCUUGAGAGGUUUUGAUUUUGUCUAAAAAAAUUUAUAUAAUCUCUUGGAUGUUGAACUCUAGGACGUUACAUAUCUUAUUUACCGAAACCAUUUGAUUAUGAUAUGUGCCAAAAAUAUUUAUAACCAAAUGCAAUAAAGUAAAUACAAAAUAUACAAUAAAUUACACUAGAAAAUAUUCAAUAAAUUACACUACAAGUUAAUAAUAAUGUUAAUUUGCAGACACUAAUAUACGUUUUGUUCCGUUCUGCUUAAUUUGCUCUAUCCAAGAAAAUAAUGAAGUUGAGAUAUAUUCAUAUGAGUGUCUGAUGUGUUGGUCUAUGGUUAUUUAGAUUUUAGACUAUUUUGCAAAGCAUAAGAAAUAAAUAAAAACAAACUAAAAGUCUGAUAUUAUAAAAAUCUGGUUUUUAAAAAAGGCUAAAAGUAUAUUAUUUUAUAAUUUUAUGUUUUAAAGUGUUGGUUGUAAAUACCAAAGUAAGAAAAAACUCAUAAACAUCACAUACAAACCCGCAUAUUUAAACCGCAUAACCUACGAUUAAGCAAUCCACCUUAUGUGAACCAAAACGAAAAUGGUGUGAAACAUAUUGGUCUUUAUCCACCUUGGGCCGCGAGUUAAACUAGUUGGUUUGCAGCCCCGGGCCAUAUUCACAACUCCUAUUUUUGUAUAGUUUUUAUUUGAAACAUUAGAAAAUUAAGCGUCAAACCAACAUAAUAUUGAGAGAGUUGGUAACAUGACUCUUCCUCAUAAAAAAAAAAAAAAUUGAAUUUCAUUCUUAAAAUCGUCUAUUUGAAAUUGAGCGAACUUAACCCGUUCAAAGAUCAUAUGUCUUCCUAUCAAGCUAGGAAGGUACCUUGAAAUGUUGUUAAUUAUAAUUAUGAUUAAGAUAUGCUAGAAGAAAAAAUUGAGGGCCAAGGGCAAACUGGCUCAUUUAAUAGAUAAAUAGACUUUAAAGCAAUUGGUAUACAAAUCCAAGUCACACCUCAGCAAGGAAGUUAAAGUCAGCCUUUAAUUGUUAGCAUUCACAUAUAUAGUAAAGACUUUUGGUUUAAAUUAGGCAAUUGUACCACAUCAAGAACAUUUAGAAGAUGCCAAAAAAUAAGACUAAAUAAUACAAAGGCUUUGAUGAUUCGAACUAUUUUGACUCUUUGUGUAGAUUUUAGGUAUGUUUGGUGGGUAACGUACAACAUUCAAUCAUUCCCAUCAAAUAAUUAAAUGAAUCUCACACUUAAUAUAAAUUUAAGAAUCAUAUCUUGUUCAUGAUCAUAUACAAUCUAUAGUGGUGUAUGCCUAUAAUAGUGUCAUGGUAGGUAUCAUAUUAGCUUUGUCGCUACUGAAGUAAAAUAAUUGUUUGACCUAAAAUAUUACCACUGUCGCUCUGUAAAAAAUAUAAUAUAGAAACAAUAUUCUUGUGAGGUGAGGAUUACCCCCACUUAUAAAUACAUUGUCAGGUCAUGUUCUAUCUGAUAUGGGACGCUUAACAUCUUAGAAAUCGUGGUUUGGGCCUAACACAACAUCACAAAACGGACUUGUGAGGUGAUGAUUGCCCCCACUUAUAAACAUAUUGUCAGACCAUAUCUUAUCCGAUGUGGGACUCUUACGUACACAAAAUUAGCAUAUUACAUAGGCUACAUAAUUUUUUAAUACAUGUAAAAUUAGCAUAUUGCAUACAUCUAGAACUAUGUUUACAUUUCAACAACGUUUAUUUAUUUUCUUACUGCAAGUGACGGAAACAGAAAAAAAAAAAAAAAAAAAAAGUUUAAGUAUAGGAUGCUCUAUUGCGGAUGGUCUUAGUCUUCCCAAGAAUCAUCAUAUUUUUUAUAAUAUCUCCACCAAGUAUGUCUUUAUAUACUUGUGUUAGUACAAUCAAUCAAUGUCGUAAUUUUUUUUUUUCUAACAGUCGACAUUGUCUAUCCAUUUAAAUAUUUUUUUUCAAUACCAAAAAAAAAAAUGAUCUUUCCUAAAAAAGACCUUAAAUUUUUUUUAGAGAAAAUAGCUUAUAGCUUUUCAUUAUUAAUCAAUGUCAAAAUACUAAGAGGUACAUCAUUAAAAACUUGGGAACUAGGUAAGAAUAAAGCCUCUCUAGCAAGAGUAUGAGCGACCUCAUUCGCUUGUCUCCAACUAAACUCCAUCUUAAAGUUUUCAGAAACAUUGUUGUUGCCUUUGGUAAAAUAAUCUACAACUAACUUCGCAUCCAUCUCAAAAUCUACAUUUGUAAGUUGUAGUUCGUGUACCCAUUGAAUUGCAUAGAGUAGACCUAAUACUUCCCCAAUCUCUGGCUUACAUAUGGGAUUAGACCACAUCAUCUUUGCCUUCCUGAAAUUACCAGCAGCAUCCCGUAUACACAGCCCAACACUACUAAAAAAAACAAAAAUUAGUGAGGGAUAUUUAGUGAGGGAAAAUAUGAAAUCCCUCUCUAAUUCCCUCACUAAAUUUUACGACCAAGGAAUUUGUGAGGAAUUUCAUUUUUUCCGUCACUAAUUUCCCUCACUAAUUUUGCUUUUUCUAGCAGUGCAAAACCAACACGAUUUGAAUCUUCCGAAAACGCCGCGUCGAUGUUGCAUUUUAGCUUACCAGCUGCACUACACUUCUGCUUCCUCAUAUUUCCUCAUAGUCUGGCAUGUAAACAAUGUGUUGCUUAAUAUAACAAUUUUCUAUAUAUGGCUGCCAGAUUUGCUCCCCUGGUGAUUAGACAGUAAACAAUAAAAAACGUUACACGCAAUUUCAUGGUUGGUUCAAUAUUUUGUUGUCCAGCUAAGUUAUAACAUAGUUUCAAAAAAGACAAUUUGUUAUUCAAAUUUGAAAAUGAUGCAAUGAUAAAGACAUUUUAUCACCUUAUCAUUAAAAAAACACGUGUAAUAAUCACUUAAACACAUGGACAAAUAAAAUCACGUAAGCAAUCUUGAUAUUAAUUAACGAAGGUUGACUCAGUUUAUAAGAAAUUGAUUCAUCUGUACGCCAUAGAUUCAACAUUUAUUGUCAAUGUAAAUAUCUUUUUUGUAAAUGAUAUGUAAAUACUUCUAUAAACAUUAUUUAAAUCUUGAAAUAUGCCUUAACUAUAAUGAAUUUUUGGAGGGUAACCUAUCAAAAUUUAUUUAUAUAAUAAAUAAAAGGUAAAUAUUUUGGCUAGGAAAAACCAAUGGUAGGAAAAAAAAUUACAUGUUGUGAUGUCAUGGAAGUCGAUGUAUGAGUAAACCUAGCUACUUGCUGGAAAUGAAAUAUGUUAAAGAUCUUACACACUGAAAGGAUCAAAUAUAUGUUCCUUUCGCACGAAUAGUUCUCUCUCUUUCUUUUUUCUUAAAUCAUAGCCGUCACAACUUUUAUUCUUUUUGGUGUACAAAAAGAAUUGAUUUAGGAUCAAUUACGAUCCAUAAUCACCCCUUUAAAUUGUUAUUCUUUCUCUUUUAGCAAAGUAAGUGAUUUUCACAUAAUUUUCUUUCCUUUGUUUUUGUGAUUUUGUCGUAUAACACGAUUUUGUUUAUUUUGAUUUCUCGUAUUUAUGCAGUGUUUUUAAUUGUUAGCUUUCACAUAUAGCAAAAACUUUUGAUUUAAGUUAGGCAAUUGUACUACAUCAAGAACAUUUAGAAGAUGCCAAAAAAUAAGACUACACUAUGCAAAGGCUCUGAUUGGAACUAUCUUGACUCUUUGUCUGGAUUUUAGGCAUGUUUGGUGGGUAACCUACACCAUUCAAUCAUUCCCAUCACAUGAUUAUUAAAUGAAUCCCACUUACUAAAAUUGAGAAUCAUAUUAGCUUUGUCGAUACUGAAGUGAAAUAAUUGUUUGACCUCAAAAAAUAACAUCCGUGUAUAAAAGGAUAACAGAGAAACAUUCAUACACAAAAUUAGCAUAUUACUUUCACUAAAAAAAUUUUAGGCUUAAUACAUGCUUUCGUCCCUUAACUUAUUUUUGAAUUUCAUUUUGGUCCCUUAACUUUAAACCGUCUCAAUUUGUUCUCAUAACUUUGCCUCCGUUUACAGAAGGGACCACUUAGGUAAACGGAGGCAAAGUUAUGGGACCAAAUUGAGACGGUUUAAAGUUAAGGGACCAAAAUGAAAUUAAAAAAUAAGUUAAGGGACCAAAGCAUGUAUUAAGCCUUAAAUAAAUUAUACUAAGAGGAUAUUUGUCAAAGAUACAUAUUUUUAUUGAAGAAAAAAAUAAUAUUACAAAGCAUGAAAAAAGCCCAAUAAAUAAAAUGGUUGAACAGUGUUGGGAAAAAUAUUGCAAGAUAAAAUAAUAAAUAUAUUACAACAUCAACAAAACUCGUAAAAUAGUGUGAGAAUAUAGGAAAUUUUUCCAUGACAAUAUAGGAGGUGAACAAAAUAAAUUAUGUUAAAAUUAAAUUAGAAAGUAAUGAAAACUUUGGUAAAAUAAAAAGUAAUAAAAACAAGCAAAUCUCUAAAAAAAAGUAAUAAAAACAAACAAAUCCCUAAAAAAAACAUAUAAAAUAUUUGGACUAUAAAAUUAAAGUAGAUAUGAAUUAUUUGUUGAGAUGUUUAUGUCAAAUAGAAAAAUGAGUUUUCUAAAAAUAAAACAUAAAUGUUAAUUUCAUUGGAACACCAACAAAAUAAAAAUUCAUAGGGAGGUAGUUCUAUUGCAUCAAAUAGAUCUAUUAUGAGAUAAAAAUAAAUGAACAUCAUAAUAUUAUUUUUAGUAAAUGUAAAUUAAUGUAUCACUCAUUUUUUAUAGAUUAGAAAAAUGAUUUUGACAUUCUAUAAUUUAGAGAUUAUUUUUUAAAGACUUUAUUAAAAAGUAUAAUCAAUUUUGUGUUUAUUUUUCAGAAUAACAAUCACUUCUUUGAAAAAAAAUAUAUGUUAAUUUGAUACAAGGCUUAAUAAAUGCUUUGGUCCCUUAUUUUUGAAUUUCAUUUUGGUCCCUUAACUUUAAACCGUCUCAAUUUGGUCCCAUAACUUUACCUCAGUUUACCUAAGUGGUCCAUUCUGUUAGUUUUUUUAACAGAAGGGACCACUUAGGUAAACGGAGGUAAAAUUAUGGGACCAAAUUGAGACAGUUUAAAGUUAAAGGACCAAAAUGAAAUUCAAAAAUAAGUUAAGGGACUAAAGCAUGUAUUAAGCCAAAAAUUUAUUACGUGUUCUGGAUCGAUCAAAAGAUCAAUCCCAUGUUGACACGUGACCUAAAUUUGCACUGCCUUAAAGCUCCGCGCUUGAAGGAGCAUGCCAAUUUUAGUACACCGCGUCACGUUCAAGCACGCCUCGGCGUGAGGUCACCUUACACGUGUUCUCUAACUGUCUCCUGAUCACAUGCUGCAAAACUCGAAGACAUCUCCACGAGUGCGUGUAUAAGGGUGACUUAACUUCACCCUCAAAGUAUGAUUCACUUUUCACAACACUUUCUACAUACUCUUUCAAAGGAAUAAAAAAAACAUUUGUUACAACUAUUUUUAUUUAAAGAAUCAUAGGUGCGGGAUGAAAUAUUAAAAAGUUAUAAUCACUUAAUAAAAUAGAAAUCGAUCCUCACUGAACCGACGUGGACCACGAUUGAUGACCAUAUAUAGUUGAUGAAACCCAGAGAUGGGGGGUGGUUGUCUCCGCCACUGAUAUAGUAACAAAAUAAAGGUUUAAUUGCACUUUUGGCCCCCUAUGUUUCAAGAAGUUGCGAUUUUGACCCCCUAACUAAUUAAAAUACAAAACAUCAUUGAGCUCAGCCACCUCCCAUCUCUGGGCUUCAUCAACUAUACAUGGUCAUCAAUCUUGAUCCACGUCGGUUCAGCGAGGAUCGAUUUCUAUUUUAUUAAGUGAUUAUAACUUUUUAAUAUUUCAUCCCGCACCUAUGAUUCUUUAAAUAAAAAUAGUUGUAACAAAUGUUUUUUUUAUUCCUAAAUUCAAACCUCUGAACUAACGUACACUAAUCUUUUCCCUCAUGAACAAAUAGUACAAUAAUCCUCAAGAAGAAGCUUCUUAGUCUUCCUAAGGCGUGUUGUAGAAAUUAAAUUAACAAUAAUAUUUUCACUCAAAGCUCGUCAUGUUUUUUAUAAUAUCUCCAUCAAGUAUGUAUUUAUAUACUUAUGUCAGUACAAUCAAAUUCGGUCCUCGUGAGCAUAGCUCAGUUGAUAUGGACAAUGCAUAAUAUAUGUAAGGUUUGAAGUUUAAAUUCCGACAACCACAAAAAAAAGAGUACAAUCAAACUCGAAUCUGACAUCUCAUAAUUGUGAUUGCGUGUAUGUAAAUUUAAAAGGUGGUGAUAUUUGUGAGAUCUUUAUUUUUCUUUCUUUUUAUUGGUUUAAAACAAUAAAGAAAAAAAUGAAGAGAAAGAAUAAGAAUAUAAUGCGAAUAUAAAAGAAAAUUGUUGAAAAAUUGUUACAAAAUAAAUGUUAAAAUAUCAUUUCUUAAAUCUAAAACGUUGCUCGUCACUUUUUCUACAUGUCAAAGUUGAAUCUUGUGAAGAAGUGAUUGUCCCAAAAAUAAUAUUUUAUUAGCAACAGUACUAGCAUCAAAUAUUUGUCAACAAAAAUAAAGUACUAGCAUCAAAUAAACUAACGUGCUACAUAUGAACAUAACCUCAAAUAUUGACUAGCUCCAUGCAUAUACUUUUCCCACGUUAAAAAAAAAGCCUAAUCAAAUUUCUAAUAACAAUUCUAAAAUUACUAUACACUCUUUCCAUAGACAUCAUUAUUGAUGAUUGUGGACAUGACCCCACAAUAUUAAUUUUGGUACAUGCAUAUAGCUCGAGAUACAUUUUUAAGAGAAAUAUAAUUUGUAUGAUAAUUUCACGACAAUUUUUAUGAUAAUUUUUUUUUUCUCACACUCAUGUUGUAUUUUUGUUCUCUCAUUUCAUAUUUCUUUGUCUAUUGCUUUUUUCCUAAAAAAAGAAAAAAAAUGAUUCUCCCAAAAAUACUUGUACAAAUAUCCACUCUUAGAAAAAGUAAAAUUAGGAAGAGAAAUUAGUGACGGAAAACAUUAAAUUUCUCACAAAUUCUUAAAUCGUAAAAUUUAGUGACGGAAUUAGUGAGGGAUUUCACGUUUUCCCUCUUAAAAUUUUCCUCACCGUUUUUUACUUUUAGUAGUGAUCAUUGAUAAAUUUUUAAUUCAUCUAUUGAGGAGGAACUAAAUAACCAUUUGUGUAAAUCUUUUCUUUUUUUAUAUCUAACAGGGUGAUUUAUAAGAAGAAGAGUCUGAACAUUUCGAUGAAGAAAAUCUAUAGAAAAGAAUUAAUUUAGUUAAAAGUGAGCCAACUUGGUUUUACUCCAAAAAAAUAUUCUUUAAAAUUUUUGCUCAUUCAAAAUCUAAAAUUGUUGUUUUCAAACGUAUAAUUUAGCAACUGAUUAUUAAGCAUUAGGAAAAAGCCCAUGCGACAGUAAAAAAUUGGACGCUAACAUGUCAAUUAGCGUCAACCUAGUGUGAGGCUCGUGGUUGACAAUAAAAUGCUUGAAGCUAACCAUUUGUGUCUGCAAUCCUGAAGCAAUUUGUAAGUAAUAUCGUAGACCAAUUUAAAUUUUUUAAGCUAAGCAUUAGCGUCUGCAAUAUCGAGGCUACAUCGCGUGCGCUUAGUGUAGGUCAAUUUAAAUUUUUAAAAUUCUGUAAAAGCAUUGACUAAAGGGGUUGGCCAACAAAAUAAAACAUAUUAGAAAUAAUUAACAAUCCAUUAAAGAUAGAAAAAAAAGUAAAAUAUAUAUACAAAGCAAAGCACAUAUUUGAGACAAGCAUCAAAUGUAAUAAAAAAAAUGCUACUAUGUUAUUUAUCCCAAAAAUAAAAUUAAAACAUCUUACAAUCAUGUGCAACAAACUUCUUUCUAUUGCAAUGGAGUCAACAUGUGUUAAACCAAAUAAACCAAAUAUUUAGAUGAUCUCCUAAAUAUUUUCUCUACAUCUAAGAAAAGAAUGUUCCAAAAUCUUGGCUAUAUUAAAGUUGAUAGGGUGGAAAUAUAAAUCUUGUUCAUUUUCGUUUUGGUUUUAAGCACAUCCUCUUUGUUUGAUUUCAACCUACUCAAACAAGCACAAUAAGCUUCAACAUUGUCAAUAAAGAAAGCACACACAAUUACAAAAUAUGUCAUAUAUUAGUCUACAAGAUAUGAUGAUUUUUUUUCGAUGUUGACCAAGCUAAUUACAUUUUAAUAAAAAUAAUUCUAUCAAUGAAAUUAUUAUGACAUCUCUCUUUAUCAACCUAAAAAAGUUUUUCAAAGCAAAGCAGAGGGAGUUCUUCCUACUCAUGUCGAUUAAUCAAGUCAAAAAGCUAAAAAAAAAAAAAAAAAACCAUUACUACAAUAAAGGAGAUUUCACCUCGGUUGAAAUGAAGUUUUCACAUUGCACCGUUCAUGAGGUAAGGUGGUGUGGUAUGUCUAACACUAUUUACAUCGGGCACAUCAGGUUGGUACCCAAUGUGAUAAGUACUUUUCACAUCGUUUUAUCACCGGAUGUGAAAUCCCUUUUAUAAAUUAGAACAUGUGAUUUACAUUUCACAUUAACUUUCACCUCAAGUGAUGUGAAAUCCAUUUUUCUAAAUGGUACAUUUUUAACCAACUUAAAAUGUCUAAUUUUUUAUAACAAAUAUAUAUUUUUAACCGACUUAAAAUAUAAAUUCAUGUGCUCUAUGAAACUGACACUCACUAAAUUGAAUUAAACAACUCCAACAUUGAUACGACAAUCAUCACUAGCAUUUAACUCCACAACCUCAAAUUUAUAGAUCAGAGGGCCUAUAAUACAUGGUAGUUACAAAUUAUCAACAAUUGGACGAGAUUAAAUAUAUACAAUAUUGUUUAAAAUAUAUGAAUUCAAAGUCAUAGUAGCAUAAAAAAUAAGAAGGGGUUAAAUUGGAAGGGUAUUGACUACAAAUUAACAAAUCAGAAAAUCAAUUUGAAAAGAGUAAGAAUACUAAUUUACUUAACACAAAAAAAUAGAUCCAAAGCAUAUUAUGAUGACUAUUGACUAUAAUCCCCAUUACAUAAGAAAUACCCAACAAAUAUCAAAAAGAGAGAUCUAACUUUCUAUCUCCAUUUUGAUUAUAAUGAGUUCACAAACAAAAUUCCCUAAGAAACAAUAGAGACCAUCAGAAAUCAUAAGCAAAAUGUUCUAAAAGAUAACAAACUCUAAAAGCUAAAGAAUAAAAACAUAAAAUUGCAACUAAUAGAGAAAAGAAACGAUUUAAUUCAUAAGAGAAGAGAACAAAGGAGUUGAAAAUAUAAAAUAAAGAUAUUGAUUCAAGAACAAAGACGAUUUUACCUCUGAACAACUUGAACAAAGCAACAAACAACGAAGGGCAAGAACAUAGACAAUUUUGGGUAUGAAAGGUUUGUAUCUGAGUGAAGCAGCGAAUGGUUUGCCUCUGAACGGUGAAACAACGAAGCUCUAAACAUGGAGGACGACUUGGCUCAUAAUGAGUCUAAUUUUUUUAUUUUUUCUGGAUCUGAGUUUUUUUUUCCCAGAACUUUAUGGCUUUGAAGGUUUUUUAAUGAAAGUGUGAAAAGAAAAUAUUGGGAAAAAAAAGGUGAGGGAAAUCUUAAAAUAAAAGUAGGAAAGAAAAGGGAAAUUGAAAAAUAAUGGAUAAUUUUUUUUUUAGCUUCACAGAUAAUCGAUGCUAUUUAAAAAUAAAAUAAAUAGUUUUAGAAUAUAUUGACGCUAAUUAAAUAAUUAAAUUAAAAUAUAAUGAAUUGAAGAAAGCGUUAGAAUUUGUGGAUGCUAAUUAGACGCUGUUAGCAUCAGAAAUUGUCUCACGCUAAAAUUUAUGAAGCUAGAUUGCAAUUUUUUUGUAAUAUGUGAAAGGGUACCAUAGAAGUUCCCUUUUUAUUAUCUUUGGUGGAAACUCCCAACAAAUUUGAAAUAAUGUUACCCGAGAGGGAUACAUAGAACCUGUAAAAAUUUGCUUUUGGACGCAUUCACCACAUGUCCCGAAGCCUCGGAAUAAGAGUCAAAUAUUCUCAUAAGGCAGCAUACAUUCUUAUUUGGUACGUUUACAAAAAAAAUUAGAAUAUCGUCUGUGCAUAUGUUGGCCAGCUUGCCGAGCAAGAGUAAUCGAACGACUAAGAACCUCUUUUGCCAAACAAAAAUAAAAGAGGGGAUAGAAGGUCCCCCUGACGAACACCCCGCCCGCACACAAGAGAAGAAGCCCAUCGCUUUACCAUUCACCAGAAUAAAAAGACGCGCAGAGUGCAAAAUAUAGAAGAAAACCUGCAGGAGAAAGCCAGGCUAAAACCAAACUGAUGGAGCACAGCUAGCAAGAAAUUCCAAUCUAAAGUAUCAAAUGCCUUUCUGAUAUCAAGCUUGAGCGCUAAAUUACCCCCAUAUUGAUUACGAUUCAGAAGGUUAAUAGCCUCAGAAGCUAUAGUAAUACAUUCUGAAAUGUAUCGAUCACGAAUAAAGCCACGCUACUCCAAUCAGAUUAGGUAGAAGCUCUCCAAGUCUCCCCUAUUAUAUAAAUCCUUAACCUACUUAUUUUCUCUUAUUUCCAAAUCUGCCCUCCAAGUCUCAAUAUUCUAUUCUAAUAUAUUUCUAUAACAUAUAAGAAAUAUAUCUCUAUAACAAAUAUAUUUCUAUAACACAUAUAUUUCUACACCAAAUAAGAAAUAUAUUUCUACACCAGAUAACAUAUAUAUUUCUACACCAAAUAACAAAUAUUUUACACCAGAUAACAUAUAUAUUUUUACACCAAAUAACAUAUAUAUUUCUACACACCAGAUAACAUAUAUAUUUCUAUACCAAAUAACAUAUAUAUUAUACUAAUAAAUACCAACAUAUAACAUAACAAAAUAUCACUCAUCAAAAUAAAUCGACUAAAUUAUAAAAAGACAUCUAAACUCAAUAAAAUAAAUAAAUAAUAAAAUAGGACGUUACAGGAUCUGGGUUUUAUUUUUUUCUUUUCAGAACUUUAUGCUUUUGAAGGGUUUUUAAUGAAAGUGUGAAAAGAAAAUAUUGGAAAAAAAAAAAGGUGAGGGAAAUCUUAAAAUAAAAGUGGGAAAGAAAAGGGAAAUUGAAAAAUAAUGGAUAAUUUUUUUUUUAGCUUCACAGAUAAUCGAUGCUAUUUAAAAAUAAAAUAAAUAGUUUUAGAAUAUAUUGACGCUAAUUAAAUAAUUAAAUUAAAAUAUAAUGAAUUGAAGAAAGCGUUAGAAUUUGUGGAUGCUAAUUAGACGCUGUUAGCAUCAGAAAUUGUCUCACGCUAAAAUUUCUGAAGCUAGAUUGCAAUUUUCUUGUAGUGAUAUGUGAAAGGGUAAUGGUAUUUUUAUUACCUUUGGUGUAAGCUAGAUAUCCUCCGCAUGCAAUUGGAAAAACUAAUUCCUCAAACCUUCUGAGAAUCAAAUGAACGGAAAACUCUCCAUUAAAGACAAUGAUAUUUGAACAAUCAUAUACCUUCAAUACAUUGAUAUGAUAUUGAGUAGCCCAUUUUAGCAAGUAAGUUGUAAUAUAAUUAUAAUAAUAGUAAUAGCAGAAGACAAAAAUAAUGAUUUUAAUUGUGAUAAAUUAGUUGCAUUAUGUGUUAGAAAUGAUAAAAUUGAUAAAAUACUAAUUCUUGAUAAUUUAUCAAUAUAAAAUUCUAAAUUUUUAUUUUAUCGUGCAAAACAAUAGACUAUUAAAAGGUUAGAUUAACUCUAAUAUUUAGAUUUCUUAAUUUAUUUAUUAGUGGAUAAAACAGAAAAAUGUUCUGAAAAUUAUUGAGGCAGCUGUGUGAGAAAACAUAUGAUACAUGUAUAAUUUUUCAAAGUUUGUUAAGGAGAAAGGACAGAUUAAUUUGAUCAAAUACCCAAUAAUUAAUUCAUCAAUGACUACGCGUAUAUUGAAUUUUACUUACUUUGAAAUAGCUUACAAAACAAAAAUAACAAAAUAAUUUUUUUGAAAGAGAUAUAAUAAAAUAAUUAUUGGUCCAUACUUACUAUAAAGAAAAUAAGAGCAGUGUCAACAUUUUCCAGCUAAUAUGCUCACUUACUUUAUUCCUUUCUUUACAUUUCUUUCAUGAAUAGCCAACUUGAUUCGAAUUGGUCCAAAAAACAUGCUCACUUAUUCAAAGGCAGGCCAUUAUUUUUUAAUGAAAUUAUAUGCUUGUAUUUUGAUAUAAACUUUUUUUAUAAACAUUCUGCUAAAGAAAACUAGGUAAAUUGUAAUAAGGACACCAACCAAGAUGAAUAGUUAAGGUAAAAUGUGUAAAGAAAAAACUAUAUAAAGGGUGAUGCUAUCUUUCAUAAUAGCAACAACAAAACACACUUUGGGAAAAUAUGGGGUCUCAAAUGGCCUCUAUUACUCUCACUAUUGCAUUGGCAAUAAUCUCUCUUAGCUUCCCAUCUCAAAUUUCAGCAAACAAUUACAUCUAUUCAUCUCCACCACCACCAAAGCCUUACUACUACCACUCUCCACCACCACCAGUGCACUCCCCACCUCCUCCUUACCAUUACAGUUCACCACCACCGCCACCAAAGAAGGAAUACAAAUACCCUUCUCCUCCACCACCAGUAUACAAGUACAAAUCACCUCCUCCACCGGUAUAUAAGUAUCAAUCUCCCCCACCACCAGUUUACAAGUACAAGUCACCUCCUCCCCCAGUUUACAAGUACAAAUCUCCACCCCCACCACCCAAGAAACCAUACAAGUAUUCAUCACCACCACCACCAGUUUACAAGUAUAAGUCUCCUCCUCCACCUGUUUACUCACCACCUCCACCAGUUUACAAGUAUAAAUCUCCUCCUCCACCAGUUUACUCACCACCUCCACCAUACAAGUAUUCAUCUCCACCACCUCCUCCGUACAAGUACUCAUCACCACCACCACCAGUCUACAAGUAUAAGUCACCUCCUCCUCCUUACAAGUACUCAUCUCCCCCUCCACCUCCAAAGAAACCAUACAAGUACCCAUCUCCACCACCCCCAGUUUACAAGUAUAAAUCUCCUCCUCCACCUGUCUACUCACCACCACCAAUUUACAAGUAUAAGUCACCUCCUCCACCUGUCUACUCACCACCUCCACCAGUCUACAAGUAUAAAUCACCCCCUCCACCUGUCUACUCACCACCUCCACCAGUUUACAAAUAUAAGUCACCUCCCCCACCUGUCUACUCACCACCACCACCAGUUUACAAAUAUAAGUCACCUCCCCCACCUGUCUACUCACCACCUCCACCUGUNNNNNNNNNNNNNNNNNNNNNNNNNNNNNNNNNNNNNNNNNNNNNNNNNNNNNNNNNNNNNNNNNNNNNNNNNNNNNNNNNNNNNNNNNNNNNNNNNNNNNNNNNNNNNNNNNNNNNNNNNNNNNNNNNNNNNNNNNNNNNNNNNNNNNNNNNNNNNNNNNNNNNNNNNNNNNNNNNNNNNNNNNNNNNNNNNNNNNNNNNNNNNNNNNNNNNNNNNNNNNNNNNNNNNNNNNNNNNNNNNNNNNNNNNNNNNNNNNNNNNNNNNNNNNNNNNNNNNNNNNNNNNNNNNNNNNNNNNNNNNNNNNNNNNNNNNNNNNNNNNNNNNNNNNNNNNNNNNNNNNNNNNNNNNNNNNNNNNNNNNNNNNNNNNNNNNNNNNNNNNNNNNNNNNNNNNNNNNNNNNNNNNNNNNNNNNNNNNNNNNNNNNNNNNNNNNNNNNNNNNNNNNNNNNNNNNNNNNNNNNNNNNNNNNNNNNNNNNNNNNNNNNNNNNNNNNNNNNNNNNNNNNNNNNNNNNNNNNNNNNNNNNNNNNNNNNNNNNNNNNNNNNNNNNNNNNNNNNNNNNNNNNNNNNNNNNNNNNNNNNNNNNNNNNNNNNNNNNNNNNNNNNNNNNNNNNNNNNNNNNNNNNNNNNNNNNNNNNNNNNNNNNNNNNNNNNNNNNNNNNNNNNNNNNNNNNNNNNNNNNNNNNNNNNNNNNNNNNNNNNNNNNNNNNNNNNNNNNNNNNNNNNNNNNNNNNNNNNNNNNNNNNNNNNNNNNNNNNNNNNNNNNNNNNNNNNNNNNNNNNNNNNNNNNNNNNNNNNNNNNNNNNNNNNNNNNNNNNNNNNNNNNNNNNNNNNNNNNNNNNNNNNNNNNNNNNNNNNNNNNNNNNNNNNNNNNNNNNNNNNNNNNNNNNNNNNNNNNNNNNNNNNNNNNNNNNNNNNNNNNNNNNNNNNNNNNNNNNNNNNNNNNNNNNNNNNNNNNNNNNNNNNNNNNNNNNNNNNNNNNNNNNNNNNNNNNNNNNNNNNNNNNNNNNNNNNNNNNNNNNNNNNNNNNNNNNNNNNNNNNNNNNNNNNNNNNNNNNNNNNNNNNNNNNNNNNNNNNNNNNNNNNNNNNNNNNNNNNNNNNNNNNNNNNNNNNNNNNNNNNNNNNNNNNNNNNNNNNNNNNNNNNNNNNNNNNNNNNNNNNNNNNNNNNNNNNNNNNNNNNNNNNNNNNNNNNNNNNNNNNNNNNNNNNNNNNNNNNNNNNNNNNNNNNNNNNNNNNNNNNNNNNNNNNNNNNNNNNNNNNNNNNNNNNNNNNNNNNNNNNNNNNNNNNNNNNNNNNNNNNNNNNNNNNNNNNNNNNNNNNNNNNNNNNNNNNNNNNNNNNNNNNNNNNNNNNNNNNNNNNNNNNNNNNNNNNNNNNNNNNNNNNNNNNNNNNNNNNNNNNNNNNNNNNNNNNNNNNNNNNUAUAAGUCACCUCCCCCACCUGUCUACUCACCACCUCCACCAGUAUACAAGUAUAAGUCUCCUCCCCCACCUGUCUACUCACCACCUCCACCAGUAUACAAGUAUAAGUCCCCUCCUCCACCUGUUUCCUCACCACCUCCACCACAUUAUGUUUACUCUUCCCCUCCUCCUCCAGUCUAUUCCCCUCCUCCACCACAUUACAUUUAUUCAUCACCCCCUCCUCCUUACCACUACUAGAUAGUGGUUUACGAUAGUAUCAAAUGGUAUGCUUCUUCCUAUGUACAACCCACACAAAACACUUCAUAAAUAAAACAUUUUAAGACAAGUAUAUACAUUU